CGGCACCAGGUGACGGUGAUCAGCCGGCAGUGGCCUGCGAUCUUGGUGCGGUAAAUGGACGUGACGAUGCUCUGGCCCGACUUGGUCGCAGCUGCGGUGGUGGGAUCCUCGGGGAGCCGCUCGCCGGGAGCGAAGCAGGAAGGAAACGUAAAUAGCGGGUCCUGCAUCUGCCAAUACGAGAGAGAGAGCCAAGCAACGCUAUGAAGACGAAAUAGGGGAUGAGAGAGACCAGAGGGGGAGGAGAUAUAGACUGCGGUCGCCCAUCAUCAAGUAUAAAAAUAAUAUGCGGAAAUUAGAAGCUGACUCAUGAUUGGUGUUGGGUUAAUGGAGAUGAGGAAGAAAAUGGUGCAGCCCACUGGUCUUGAAUGUGACGAGGAAAUUGAAGGAAACAAGGAAGAAGAAAAGGGGACUGGCUUUUCUUUUGCAGAUCAAAGGACAUCAACCCUUGGAGCAAACAUGGGUGUUUGUACUGUCUCGAGCUUGGCUCGUGUCAGCCAAUGCAGUCAAUCCUCUCACAUCCUCUCCAUGAUUCAUCAUAAACUGGUUAAGCUGAACUCAUCUUGGCGCUGAAAAUAAUGUUUUUGUUUGUUUCUUCUCUCUCUCUCUCUCUCUCUCUCUCUCUCUCUCUCUCGUGGGUGUGUGUGCCUGUGAUUUCUGGUUAUAUGAAUUAUGGAUGGAUGGGGCCUUCGAAGGGUACAUGACAGCAAUGACCGGACGAAGAAGAUGGAAGCACCACCUGCAAACAAAGCUGAUCCAACUCCCAUACAGCACCGAUUCAUGGAGAACCCAAGCUGAAGCAUGUGAAAGAUAUAUUUUUAGUUCCAUGGCUUAUAAAUCCAAAAGAAGGUAAAGGAAAUCAGUAACAGCUAAUCUUUUAGAGUGAUAGAAAGGUCACUGUUUAAUUUUACAUUGAUUUUAAGUACAAUGUAAUUCAUAUUAUAAUAUCAUAAAAAUUUGUGUAACUAAUCUCAAACUCUUACCUUAAAAAAAUAUAUAUGAUAUAAAUAAUUAAUAUUUUUUUUUAUUUUUAUGAUUUUUUCAAGCCUAAUUUAAUAUGUAUUAUGCGAUCGAAUGUAAUACAAUUCAUUUAUUAUCGUAAUACUAUAAAAUCUAUUCAAUUCAAUAUACUGUUUCAAAAUACCUGAUAUACUUUUUUUUAAUUUUCAGAUGAUUAAAAGGUCUUUAAAUCGAAUUUGGGUGGAUUCAUAUUCAAACCCUGUAAAUCAUAUAAUAAUUCUUGAAGACAAUAAUAUACUUAUUCUUUAGUAAUUCUAAAAUAAGAUUUUUUUUGGAUAAACUCUCCAAAUGGAUAAUGAAACUACAUGAGUAAUACAAAUGAAGUAGGAAGAAGAUGUUUUUCAUGAAGGAUUUUGGUAAAGUGAGCAGAAAGUGACAAGUCACUGAAUGAUUCAUAAAGUGGGUAAAAAAGCAUCCUUCAAUCUGCAAUAACAUUUCCCUCUGAUUGCUGCAAUCAAAUUAAAGAUGGUUGACUGCAUCUGCAAGAGAAGGAAAAGAAUUGCCAAUGAUGGGAGUCCAGAGUUGCAUGCCAUUGGUGGCCAGAUGGGACCCAGCCUACCAACCUUGUCCAUGUUCAUUUGAUUCCAAAGAUGAUCAAGCUGUCCUUUUGUUUUAUUUUCCCCUUUUCUUUUUUUAUUUUCUUGAGGUAAAUGGAACCAUCUACAAUUAAUUGCUGCUUAUGGAUGGUGGAUAUUGGUGUUUCAUUAGAUAUAGAGAUAAUGAAUUAUGGGUGAAUUUUGAAAACAAAGUUUUCUUAAUGAGUGGUACUCCUUUAUAUAUAUAUAUAUAUAUUUCUCAAAGGUCAUGAUUAAUUUACCAUAAUGUCUGAAAUGUUUCCUGAUAAUAUAAUGAAACAGUAUCUAUUUACACCCGAUGAAUAAUCUAAUUUUUAAAAAAAUAAAUUUAUAUUAUUUAAAAAAUUAUAAACCUAUUCAAAAAUAUUAUAAUGUAUUCUGAUCUAUUGUCUUUUUAAGGAUAUUUUAAAAUAUAUGAUAAAUAAUGAGUACCCUUCACAAAAUAUGAUGUAGAGGUAGCUCCCUAGAAAAAAAAUAAAAAAUAUAUUUUCCUAGAAAUUCACUGAUUACUUAAUAUAAUUUUAAAAAUAUUUUAGUUAUUCAAUAAUAUAAAUCAAAUUCAGAUUUGUUGGGGCACAUGCGACACUCCAAUAGCAGGCUACCACGUGUGUAGAGGGGGGGGAAGGGUGACAUCUAAUACUGUUCCUGCGGAGCAGCAGAACUUCCCCAGAAAGCAAUUUAAUGGCGUCCAAAAAUACGCAUUGGCACAGACGUAUUUGAGACGUCUGUUUUUGUUUUCCCACAGCCGGACACAACAGGAGAAAAACGAAAACAAAAAACAAAAACUCCGACCCCACGCAUGCCAAGGAGCGCCUCUGCCCCCUGCCUUUUAUUAACACCCGGAUCGCGAGCAAUUCGACUCUCUGUUCUCUUUGGGUAAAUGCGUCGAGCAAUUUCAAAGCUUUUCCAGGAUUAGUGCUCGAGAGGGUUGGGGACUGGCGGAGAAAAAUGCACGGAGGUUCCACGCCGGAGCAGGAGCCGGAGGAUCCGGAAGCCGAGUUCGUGGAGAUCGAUCCCACUGGGCGCUACGGCCGGGUCAGUUCUCCCAAUCCAUAGCCCUUCCAAUCCUUUCAAUUUGCCGGAUAAUUGUCGUAUUUGCGGCCGGUGGCCUCUUUUCAUCACGGCAAUCCCGUGCUGAUGUUCUAUGAUAGCCGAACACGAUUGCUUGUAGCAAAUUAUUGAUUGAUUAUGCCCUAAUUCGUUCAUCCUCUGUUGCGCUUGAUGUUGCAGUAUAAGGAGGUUUUAGGAAAGGGGGCUUUCAAGACCGUGUAUCCUUAAUCCGUGGUUCUUGGCUUAAGUAGGGUUUGCUUGUUUGUAGUUUCCUUUUUGUCUGGUUGUGUGUUGGCAUUUUCGAGCUGUUCGGAAUCCUUGACGAGAGCGCGAUUUGCCAGCUACAAGGCUUUUGAUGAGGUGGAAGGAAUAGAGGUGGCUUGGAAUCAGGUGAAGGUGGCCGAUUUGCUUCGGAAUGCCGACGACCUGGACCGGUUCCACUCGGAAGUUCACUUGCUCAAGACCCUGAAGCAUAAAAACAUCAUCAAGUUCUUUAACUCAUGGGUCGACACCAAGAAUGAUAAUAUCAACAUCAUCACCGAGGUCUUCAACUCUGGGACAUUGCGUCAGUGCGUCCUUUAUCCACCGCUUUCGGUUUCUCUUUAAGAAUAUUCAUAUUUCUUUUGUUCAGCUAAGAUCGCUAGAUAAUUGUUUAUUGUCUGUUUGCUGGAUCAGGUACAGGAAAAAACAUAAGCAUGUGGAUGUAAGAGCAUUGAAGAAGUGGUCGAGGCAAAUCUUGAGUGGGCUUCACUACCUCCAUAGCCAUGAUCCACCAGUAAUCCACAGAGACCUGAAAUGUGACAACAUUUUCAUAAAUGGGAACCAGGGGGAGGUGAAAAUAGGUGAUCUAGGAUUGGCAGCCAUUCUUUGCCAUGCUCACUCCGCUCAUAGUUGCAUUGGUGAAUACUGUCUUCCUUUUGGUUGGAAUGUUGAAUUUCAAAUGCUCGUAAAAGUUGGAAUAAGUGGUUUUUAGCAGUUAUUAUGUUGUUGCAGGGACACCCGAAUUUAUGGCUCCAGAACUUUAUGAGGAAGAAUAUAAUGAGCUUGUUGAUAUAUAUGCAUUUGGCAUGUGUUUAUUAGAGUUAGUGACAUUUGAGUACCCGUAUGUGGAAUGCACCAAUGCAGCACAAAUAUACAAGAAAGUGACCUCAGUGAGUUUACUAUAUAUUCAUGGUCGAUUUAACUUUUCGUUGUUAAUUUACUGAGCACUGGAUUCAUUAAUACAAUUAUUUUGUUUGGUUGCUUCAUUUGACUCUUGGCAUGAUACUAGUUCAAAAAUCUUUUUUAUCAUAUUACUAGAACAAAAAGUAGAUAGUGUCAAUGUCAUCACAUUAUGUAUACUUGUGCUUUUCAAGAGCCUCAACAAGCAAGGGUCAACCUUCAUAUGAAGCUCGACACUGUAAUGGCCGUGAGAUACCUUAUGCAUCUUGAUGACUUUUGAUGCCUUGAUGCAUUUGAUAGUGACCAUAAGUUGUUAGAUGAGUCAUAUUGCAACUAAAGGCUAUUAAAAGAUCAUGAAUUAGAUGCUAUUUUUUAUUUUUUGUAUAAAAGAAACCCCUGUGUUUGAAUACGAGUUCCUAAAUAUUGAGAUUAAUCCAUCUUUUGAGAUGGUUGAGUUAGGUCUUCUUCUGUGUACUUAAGGCAUUUGGUUGAAAGUUCUUUUUAUUGAAACUGAAUUGUUCUUGUUCAGUCAUUUUGGCUGCUUCUGUAAGGAUCCCUGUUUAACUCAUAAUCGGUUUUAGUGUACCAAAGAAAUGAUACUGAUGGAACAUGUGUUAAUCCCCGACCUGGACUCACUAACCAAUUUGAACCAGCUGGAAAUAAACCAAGCUCGGUCGAGAAACUUGUUACUUGGGUAAUUGGGUCAAAUUUGGAUAAACUGAUCACAGAUUGGGAUUUUACACUAGUCCCAGAUCAUGUUUCCUGUUCUGAUGUGACAGCUUAUCAAGUUGAAAAAAUAAUCUAAGUUUGUUCUCCCCCACACUCAAAUGUAGCCACCCUUACUAAGUGGGUCAUGGUUCAUUAAGUUCUGUAUUUCAUUCUUUUAUGGUCAGGGUAGCAGAUCAUUAAGUAAGUUGGGAUCAUGUGCUAUGAUUUGACAGAUUUUAACAUAUCCUUUUUUUUCUUUUGCUCUUUGAUGAAUCUUUUUUCGUACAUAAUGAUGCUUGAGAAAAUGCUAACUUCCCAUUGUUCCUGUGCUGUUUAUGAUUACAUGUUUUGAAUGUCCUCAUCUAAUAAUUAUGUUAUAUUUCUGUGUGUUGCCAUCAUAUUGUAGAAAUUGUCUUUACACAUCCGAGUAUAGAAGGUUUUUGUUUGCUCUGUACUUUAUCAUUCAAAAUAUUCUAGGAGUUCCUUUGUGUGACUGGGUUCCUAUGCUAUUUGGAAGUUUCACACAACUUUACUCCUGUUCCAUUUGUUUUAUUAGUCUUAAGGAAAUAUUAACUUAGUUGAAUGUCAUAAGCUUAAUGCCUACUUAUGUCAGGUGUUUUGCAAAAUGAUUGUCUGCAGUGGGCUGUCUGAUGAGUUUCAUUAUUGGCAUGUAGGGAAUCAAGCCUGCUUCAUUGGCUAAGGUAAAGGAUCCAGGAGUCAAGAGGUUUAUCGAAAAAUGCAUUGCCAAUGUUUCUGAGAGAUUGCCCGCAAGGGAAUUAUUACUAGACUCUUUUCUCCAAGAAGAUGCAGACACUGACAGCAUAGGUUAUUCCCUGAGAUCAUCAUCAAGUCAAUCAGGUAAAGAAAGAUUGGACUGGAUCUUAUAAUGGUCAUAGUAUAUUUGUUGAUGUUUAUGAGACAUGUAUUUCUUGUGAUUCUGUCAUCCUCUUUCUUUUGGUAAUUUUAGAUUGCAAAUGCAGAUAAUGUUGGUCAUUCCAAUGCAAGUACAAUUUAUGGGUAUGACCAACUAGAACCAGCUACAGCUGGUCGAGAUUUCACUGUGGAAGGUCAACGCAAAGACCUCAACACAAUAUUUUUAAAGCUACGGAUUGCGGAUUCAACAGGUUUACAAGUUUGCUUCUUUGUUUACUUGUGACUGAUGUAUCUGUUCGUAAUUACUCUCAGCUCAAUGUUUCUGUUGCUGAUUUGUUUUACCAUAGGUCAAAUUCGCAACAUUCAUUUUCCAUUUGAUAUUGAGGCGGACACAUCAGUAAGUGUUGCCACAGAAAUGGUGGCAGAAUUAGACCUUACGGAUCAAGAUGUCACAACGAUUGCUGCAAUGAUAGAUGCUGAGAUACAUGCCUAUGUCCCAGAAUGGAUGUCAGGAGAAGCUUUUGAAUAUCAUAGCAAUUAUGUAACAGUUUCUGAUUGUCAUAGCCAUGAUUCGGAAGCUGAAGAUGAAGUUUCUGCUUUGCCUAAUGAAUUAGACAAUCCAGCUGGCAGUCUUACCCUAGAACGGCUCCCUUCUGGUCGGAAGUAUUGGUCUGAUUCUCCAAAGGCAACUAGUGUAGACUCUCCAGCAUCUCUUGCACACUCAAAUGCAUGUUCUGAGUUGGAAUUGCACGGAAGUGAAGACAUAUCUCUUGAGGUUUAUGAUGAAAAAGGUGAUUCCUUUAAAAAGGAUGGCCAGAGGACAUCCCGGUCAAUUGACCGCUCUUCACCUAAACAACAGAUACGUUCCCCAGGUUCUGGUGAUGGUGGUGACAAUAAUCUGGGAACUGGGUCAUUACUAAUAUCUUAUAAUGCGAGAAACCCAUCCUCCACUAACAGUCUAAACCGAGACCUGGAUGAAUCACCUUCAUGUGCUGGAUUUCAGUUGUGUAACCGUGGAGUCCACUCUGGACAGCUUGAGGGCAGUGAUACCAAACUAAAUGAAACUUUUCUUGCAAAUAAGUCCGAGGAUAUGCAGUUCAUUGUUAAAAAAUUAGAGCGUUUGUUGACUGAGCAGCAGAAGGAACUUGAUGAUCUGCAAAAGAAGCAUAAGGUUGCGAUAGCAGAAAUAUUAAAGAAACUUCCUCCUGAGCAACAUAGUGAAGUUCUAAGGAUAUGCUGCUCAAAAGUCAAUAUUAACAGGAUGCAAAAAUAGAUAUAAUCUAUACAAGCUCCCUGGCCUCAGGUCCCUUCUCACUGUCAGAGGCGUAGCCAGGUCAUAGGAAGCUAUCAUGUAGAUGAUCCUUUAGGACCAUCUUAUGUGCAGACAGUCUUUGACUUUUCCUUACUCCACGUGUGACCACUAGCAUACGAUUGAUUUCUUUUCAUUUUUUUCUUCAGAAAAUGAUAAAGUUUAGUAGAAAGCAUGCGAUUUGAUUGCUUUUAGGGAUUUUUCAUAUUUUAGAUGUGCCUUAAAAUCACCUGAUGCUGGUUCAUCCGCAAUCUUAGAAGAGCUUAUGAAGAGCCAAAGCAAUGGGGUUCUCUGGAGAUUCCGGAACAUGUGCCUGCCUGCCAGGUGUCAUAAAAUGUAUGGCAUAUUAUGGCACAUGUCUAAAUUAUCUCUGCUUGUUGUGGUGCUGCGAUAUUGUCACUGACCGUUGCUGCAAACCCUGUACCCUGAGAAAGUGAUCUACUGUUGCAGUUGGUCUCACUACCUCUUCAUUUUCUGGUAUAACCAACAGUUGAAUGGGAUAACUUGUGUACAUUCAGCUACUAUACAUGUGCUGAUGGUAUCAUCUUGCAUAUUUUAAUAAUUACUUUGUAUUUAUCAUUGAGUGCAACUAACAGUCGUAUCAUGUACAAUUAAAUCCUUUUUAUUUUUUUUGGUUUUAUACCAGUGUAUGUGGUUAAAUCUUUGGCUUGGUUAUGUAUUCAUCCAUGCAUGUUAAAGCUUUAAAUUUGUGUGUCAACUAUGGAAUAUGGUUGGAUAGGGUGAACUUGAUUCUGCUGUGAACUCGUGUUCUUUUUGUAAUGGGUAAUUGUAUUACACAUAAAAGUGUUAUUUCUUUUUGCCUCUGUCACCUUUUGAAGUUGGUGUGAUGCUGUGUCUGAUUUGUUCUUUUCCACUCAUCUAUCUUAAAUCUUUUUACCUCUAAUUUCACUUUAAUUCUCAAUUUUUAUGGUGGAAAGAAGUUGCUGUUCUUAGUGUGUAUGAUUGGUAUAAACCGAUGUACAUGUACAGAGGUACUUGUGGUUAUUGCAAGUAGAAUUUCGCUUUUAUUUAUUCCUGACGGUCGACACAAUUUACUCUUUGGGUGGACCUCUUUUUGUGUUAUUAAGAUAUAAAUGUUGAUGUUUUCAAUUUUCUUCAUCUGAUGAUGUGGCUAUGAAGUUGUUAUUCUAGCUGGUGUUUCUUAAGGUUCUUAAGGUUCUUCACAUUUCAAUCUUGGUAAAUGAUUUUGGAGUUUUGGUUUGUAUAUCAACUGAGGUUGUUAUUCUAGCUGGUGUAUUGGAAAUUAUGUUCAAUUUUUGUAUUAUUUUAUCCAGUCCUAUAUUACAAGUACAGGAAUUACAAUGCAAUUUUUUACUUUAAUAGCUGAGAUUGCACUGUGAUACCUGAUUUCUUCAUGGCUCGUUGAAUGAUGGUAAGAAUUCCACUUGUUGUCAACUCAUGUUUAUUGACAUUAUGAUCCCUUGUGCUAUGCAUCCAUAUUCAAGUCAGCCUGUCUGUUGACCCUUUUUUUUAUUCUUUCCCAAUCGAUGUAGUAUUUGUUGAUUUGUUUAAAUUCUUGUGAUAUUUUGUUUUGACUUAUUCAGAUCCCCGAGCAUGGGAUCCUCCUCGGAGCCCAACUUAGGAUGCAAGUAUAUAUCCCUUUCAUGAUCACAAACUUUUACUCUCUGAUGCAGGCUGUGCCGUAUCACUCCAGCUGUGACUCAAUCAUCACACUCUACCUUGUGUUCCAAACAAGUACCUCAUCCAUGCGUUUAAUGGUUUCAUGCUCUCGACACAUUUUUUUUAUUAUUAUUUCUCUUAAAAGCAUCCUACCAUGUGAUUAGCUAACCAUGCAGCUUUCACCCAAGUGCAUCAUCACCUCUCCAACAUAUUCCCCAGGCUUGGUUCUUAUUUUUGUGGAGUGUCCCACAUGUUCUUAGUAGUUAAACAUUUACAUGUCAAUUAAUUAUGGACAGAGAGCUUAGUUUUAGUCUUGUUUGAGUGCAGCUUUUUUCUUUUUGUAAAUAGCUAGAGAUUAGAGAUUAUUUGUUGUUAUUACUUGUUGAGUCCACCCACUUGCUUUUAUGCUUGCUAGAGAUACUAAGAGUUCCAUUGUGGACAGAUAAGCUUGCAGAUAAAUACUCUGGGCAGAUGAGAGGGAUAGAUACCUCCAAACCUUGUCUUUGUAAGUAUCCCAUUCCCAUACCUUGUGUUUAAUUAUAUCAUUUUCUUUUAUAUAGUUUUAGUCAAAGAUGAUAUAUAUUAUUAUCAUAAUCAACCUUUGGUAAUUUGUGUAUGGAUGUAAAUUUACUCAUAAAAUUAAUGCAGUCUUACUACAAUAUUCAAGUCUCUUGUGAGAUUUAUUUUCUUGGUGGAUCCCAACCCCCAACCGGGUUCCAUGUUUAUUUUGAAUUGCUUUUGCUUUAUACAUAACACAACAAAUAAAAGAAAGCAGAAACAGUUCUCGGAUUUGUGAAAUGGUUCAGGUCAUAUGUUUCAGAAACAAAAACGAGGCUUCUGUUUUCAGAAAUCAAAACAAGUUUUCCGUUUUUAGAAACAAAACAGCCCAAGAAGGCAAACUAGUCUGGCUGGCUCGGGAUAAGGAUAAGGGGAAGGACAGGACAAGAAAGCCGUUUCCGGACCCCAGAGAGAGACAGAGGGAGACCGACAGAGAGAGAGAGAGGGGGGGGGUUUGGGCGGAGUGAAGAGGGCUAUUCUUUUCUUCGCUUCGCUCGUUGUUGUUUCCUCCGCAGCCGAACUUGAAUUCCACGCUGUCGAACUCCACUUGCGUAUUUUUCUCGUUACUCUUCGUGCUUCCUCGUGUUCUGCUGCUCCUCUUCGAGACGCCGGUCACGGAUCACACGAGGACUCCGUAGUUCCCCGUAUCUCUCCCUUCCCCUUCCCCUUCCGCUUCCCUGCCAUCUCCUCCAUAAGGAGAGGAAAGCGGAGGAGGAAGAAGCGGAAGCAGCACCACGGCACUCCUCCGCUCACCGGUGAGCGGCGUGUUGUCGCUCGCCUGCAUCGCGUCCGCCAUCGAAUUCAGGUGCGAAAUUUCUUUAUUCCCCCUUCCCCGGUCGAGUCAAUUGGGAUCUGUUGUUGAGAGCUUGGAUGAAAUUUGGGCGUUCGUUUGUUGCUCUAGUCAACGACUCGGCGGAUUAGUUCCCAUUUUUACCAAAAGAUGGGUUUUUGGUGCUGCUAUUUGUUGUGGAUUUGAUUUAGAUUGAUGUGAUAAAAUUUAACCGCUCGCCCUCUUCUCCCCACAUCGUAGAUUGUACAUGAACCGUGUCAACGCAGCUAGAAAUAGAAGCUUUAGCAUCUGGGGUUCGUUUGACGAACACCCAUCUCGUGCAAGAAGAGAUUUUUCUGUAAUGUGUCGUUAAUAGCGGCGCGUUCAUCAUGAAUUUGCAGCCGGACAACCAACUUGGCUAUAUCUUGUUGACGUAUUAAACCACAUUUCAUUUUAGGUGAUUUGGCAAGGACAUGAACAGAAAUGUUCUGCACACCCAAUCUUUAGUAUGUGGUGUCUUUGUUCUUUAACUUUUAUCCUAUAAGAGGAGUUUCUCUGAUAGAAUCCUCAGCAUUGAAAGUAAGCUUUUAUGAUAAAGUAAGAAAUUUGUGUCCUUUCUUUCAGCCCUCCUCAGUUGUCUUAGAAUUUGCACCGCUUAUGAGUCCAAAAUUUGACCUGUUAUGCACCUUUGCACGUGCGAUCUUUCCCUCCACUAAGAAGGACAGUUGACUCAGACUCGAUGAGUUGAGAAAAGCAUGUGAAUGGUAGGUACUAGAGCAGUGGUGGAAAGUCAGAUCAUAGAAUACUGGUUGUUCUAACUAAUAGUAAUGUGAUAGACGUAUCAACUUCAUUGCAAACUGAGGGCAGUUGUUAUUUUUUGUUUUAUCACCGGACAGAAUAGCAAGAUAAAUAAAUGUCUAUUAUUCCUCAGUCACAAAUAUCCAAAUUUUUAUGCCUAAUACUCCAUAGAUAGUUUGAAUUGUAUAGGAAUAAUGAUCAAUUUUAACGUGAAUUAUUUGUAAGGAAACCCUGCCCUCUCUGAUCCAUUUGAUAUGUAAUUUCUUUUCUGUCGAUCUGCCCUGCAACUUGUGCUUGAAUUCCUGUUGAAUUCGGUUGUUCAGCUAAUUCAGCAGCAUUGAUGCACUAUAUCAACUUUUACAAUGUGUCAUACUAUCUGAUGAAGCCAUCUGACCUAAGGAGUCAAUGGUGUUAUUUUUGUCUUUUGGUGCUCAUUUCUCUAGCUUUUAAUUUCAUUGUUAUUUAAAUCCUUGUGGUUUUUUUGUUAGUAACAAUUUGCUUUGAAUAAGAUGCUUUCACUUUAAUUAGAUAUAUAUUUCUAUGUCGGUCAACUUUUUGAUGCUUGAGAUGUUCAGUUAUUUGUUGGGCUUAGAGCAACUUACACUGUUUUUACCUCUUUUUGAGUAUCUUUUAUAAAUUUAGGUUUUCAUGAAGGCCCACUUGUCCUUUUGAAGAAAGUAAUUAUGAACUUUCUGAGCAAUGUGGAGCAGCUUUGAAUUGCAAGAAUCAGUCCGUCUUUGUGAUCUGAAAACACAUGGCAAAACCUGGAAAUAUGGGGCACAGGUUUGUAGCUUAACUGUUCUUUGGCUUCAAGUUCUUAUGGCAGAUGAAAGUUCUGAAAUUUGUUGAUCUGCGUUCAAUCUUCUAUUUGAUUUGAUGAUUGUUGUCACUUUCUGUUAUGGCUUGCAGUGGAUUUCUUAGGUAUCCAAAUGACUGUAUGAGAAUUAUUAUAAACAUAUUUGUUGGAGUCGUUAUAGGCUUUUUUAUUGGAGUUUCCUUUCCAACAGCUAAUAUGCCAAAGGUACACUUCUAUCUUUUGCUGAACAUACAUGUUCUGUUGCAGUAUUCAACAUAAGCAUUUUACCUGGUUAAUUUGGCAGCUCCACUUGGCUGGUAGCAUCACCACAUGCAUUGAGGACAAGAAUUCAGCCUUUGCAACCCAAGCAUUGCUGAAUCACACUUGGCCUUCUAUACAUAGUCACAACGGAAACAACUCAACAGUACAUUAUAAUGAUACCUCAAAGGUAUUUAUUUUAAAUAGUAUAUUAACUGUGAGAUAUACUUCAAAUUUCUUUUGUGGAUAAGUAAACUUUUUUGUCAAAUUCUCAGUAAUAUACACAGUAUUUAAUUGAUGGCAUGACCUCUGUCAAUAUUGAACUUGUUCAAAAUAAUCAAAACAUGUCAGGAAAAUCAGAAAAAGAAUGAAAAGAUCUACUAAAUUCUAAAAAAUAUAUAUUUUUUAAUUAUUUUGCCUUAUGCAGUUUCUUGAUUUAUGUUGAAACCUGAAUAGGUAGGAUGAUCUAGGAUAGUUUCAGCAAUAACUGUGUAAUUUUUAUGAUGGUCUUCUAUAUUUCUUUGUUUUUUUAUGUUACAGCUGUGGUAGCAUCAAAUUUUGGUUCCUAAGGCAUUUGUGCAAUAAUUAAAAUUUGUGCUUCUUUUUUAACAUAGGUAACUGUUCCUUGGUUCCUAAAUAGGAACAUCAAUAAAAGUAAAUGAGCCUAGAACGAAGUCUUGAAAGUAAAGUUUUGUUCCAGUCAAUUUCAUCAUAAAGGACCCUUCUGUAACUUCAGAUGUCAUAUCCUAACCCUAACAGUCUUCAAAUGAAUAAUUUAAAUUAUAGUGCAUCCACGAAAGUGUCAAAAUUUAUCUGUUUCAAUGAAGAUGCUUUGGUUUAAGUAAUCUGUUUCAUAGUCUUUCUUAAAACAAUCCAAUGGGAUGUGUAUCAGAUUGAGAAGAUUGGUACUUCAAUUUUCCUGUACUGAUGACCAUAUCCUUACCAGAUUUUUUAAAUGGUCUAGAUCUACGUUCCUAAAAAUCCCCGAGGUGCAGAAAGGCUCCCACCAAAUAUCAUCGUAUCCAAGUCAGAUCUUUAUCCACGAAGGUUGUGGGGGAAUCCAAGUGAGGUAAGUGCUAUUGUUAUUUUUCACUUGAAUAUUGGUAUUGCUUUAUGUUGUUAUUGUGUGAUAUUUUAUAUGCAUCUUGGAUUAUUUGAAUGAAAACUUUAUAUUACUGACUGUAGUUGCUGAUAGUAUGCUUGGCAGGAUAGAUAUAUCUUUCCAAUUGGACACAAUCGUUGCACUAAACAUAUUCAAAUCUCAAAUCUGUUUUGCAUUAUUUCAUUUUAGUAAGAACUAAAUUUUCAGUUUCUUUCUUUUUCAUUUGUAAGAUGGGCUAAUAUUUGUAUAUAUUGGCUACCUUACAUAUACAUGAGAUUGAGAAUACCAUAAACCCCUUUAUUUCAUUAUAACACUAGUUUCGCCCAAGCUAUCUCAUUGUUCAUGAACUUCUGGAUAUGUAUGCAUGAGACUGACUAAUUAGCAUUGUUGUCAUAUAAAGCCAAUUACAAUUCUGCAAUUGGGUAUUCCGUAUGUAAUUUCUGUGAUGUGCUAUGCAAGUUUGGAGGGUUUUUUUUUUGUUGUUGCAAGUUUGGAGUUGCAGUGGCUCUUUAGAUCAAUAGAGAAACACUGACAGUGUAAUAUGUUUAAACUUUAUUGUGAAUAUUUUUUCCAUUUAUGCAUAAUCCACAAAGCACUGAUAUUUUGUGAUCUCUUCAUAGAUUGUCUGUAUAAAUGCUGAACCUAAUAACACUGCACUUUUGCUGAUCAUGUAAGUAAUUUACUCACUUUUGCUGAUCAGCUUAGUUGUAGGUAAUUUACUCACUAGCUGGAGAAGUGCAUUGGUUUAGUUUUCAUAAAUGAUUGAUGCUAGAUAACUGUCUUACUACCUAGCAAAGAACUUUGCAUGAUGAAAGCAACCAACCGAGAAAAACCAAUGGAUCAUUCUACUUCUGUUCCUUUUAUGCUUAACGCGUUCAUUUUUUUUUCUGUUUCUGCUAAGGAAACAUAUGGUUGAUGUUCAGGAUUUUCAGAUACAGCAGAAGUACCUAGUAACUUUCACAGUUGGAUAUGACCAGAAAAACAACAUCGAUGCAGCAGUUAAAAAGGUUAGUGGAGGAGCACCUAAAGUGAUCCCUUUUUGAACUGCUAGCCUAAUGACUCUAGGUAGUGAGUGCUGUCAAGCUGAUGUAGCUUGUUCUGAGUGACGCUUCUUCCCCUCUUUCUGAAUCUUGGUCUUUCAAUCAAAAACUUCAGUUCAGAUUGCCACACCCAUGCGACAUAGUACACUCCACCACCCACUCUGAGGACUUGGCUUAAAUUAAUCUUUUUAUGCCACAUUUCUUUUCCAUAACUAAACCCACUUCAGGUAUAAUUUGAAUGUAUUUUAUGGUCAGCAUAUGUUGAAAUAUGAUUUUGUGCAUCUUCAUAUCUGAUGCUAAAUAGUUCGCCAAAGGAGAUAUAGAAUUUCAUAUGCUCCUUAAGUUUUUAAGAACCUUCAGAUAUUGGCAUUUGAACUAUGCAACAAACCUAUUAAAAGGAUGUUCCUGAGAUCAUGCAGAGGAAGUCUAGCUUAUAGUCUUACAUAAUAAAAGUACUUGUGAUUCUUUUUUACAGAGUCUUGAUAGUAUAAUGCAUCUCUUAGGCACUGACAUGCAAAUUAUUACUACGUUUCAAGUUUGCAUCUGACUUGUGAGAAAUUUGAUGUUGUAGUUCUCGGAAAAUUUUACAAUCAUGUUGUUCCAUUAUGAUGGACGGACAAGUGAGUGGGAUGAAUUUGAAUGGUCAAAGCGGGCUAUUCAUGUUAGUGCCAGAAAACAAACUAAAUGGUGAGUGAAGAAUUUCAAAUCUUCUUACACAGAGUUGCAGCACGGGUGACAAUUGAAUUAUUUAGACAUUCUGAUUCUCCUGUUUGAUUCAAGGUGGUUCGCAAAACGGUUUUUGCACCCCGACAUUGUGGAUUCAUAUGAGUUCAUAUUCAUUUGGGAUGAAGAUCUAGGAGUCGAGCAUUUUGAUGCCGAAGAGUAAGUGUGCCUUUCCCUGCUUGAGUAUGCAUGUUAAAUUUUUGAUGCACCUGUAAAUUAGAAAUUGGUUUGCCGCUGCAGAUACAUUAAGCUGGUAAAGAAACAUGGGCUGGAGAUUUCACAACCUGGCCUACAGCCUAGUAAAGACUUAACAUGGCUAAUGACGAUGCGGAGAGAGGGAAGCGAAGUCCAUAAGUGAGUUCUCAUUCGAUUCAAUUGAUCUAUUUUAUCCACUCUUGUUUCCUUUCAUUAGAAUACCACCACAUUUUAUUAGACCGGCAUAAAGAGUUACAUGAAUAUGAAUUCUUGCCUUCCCAAAAGAUUCAUAUUGACAUUAUGGUUGGUUUUCGACAGAGAAACAAAGGAGAAACAUGGCCGGUGUUCCGACCCUCAUCUUCCACCCUGUGCUGCGUACGAAGCCAUACUUGUCUCAUUUCUACCACUUUAUAGUCACUCAAGACUUGUUUCUCAUCCCUUGUAUAGGUUCGUCGAGAUAAUGGCGACUGUGUUCUCCCGAGAUGCCUGGCGUUGUGCAUGGCAUAUGAUUCAGGUAUUUUCAUCUCUUUUCCUUCUCUCUCUCUCUUCAUUCCUUCAUAUGCAACUUCGAACGCCAUUAUCAUCAAUGCAGAACGACUUGGUUCACGGAUGGGGUCUUGAUUUUGCUCUUCGGAGAUGCGUGGAGGUACUUCGUCGACAACCGGACCUUUUCGUGCUGCAUUUUGAUACUCCAGUUUAAUUUCUUUCGCAACUCCGAUCCAGGGGGCUCACGAGAGAAUUGGAGUCGUGGAUUCGCAAUGGAUCGUUCACCAAGGGAUUCCUACGCUUGGUAACCAGGUAGGCAGAUGAGUCGAUAAUGAGCAGCAGCACUAUGUUUCUCUGUGCUCUAACUUCCUCUUUCCAUGUCAUCACAGGGACAGAAACAGAAUGGAAAACAACCAUGGAAGGGGGUACGGAAUAUAUUGCUUGCUUGCUUGCUUGUUCACGUCUUUUGAUCUCCUUAUACUGAUGCUAAGAAACUUGUGUCGCCGUCACCUCCGGCAGGUACAGGAUCGGUGUAGAAAAGAGUGGAAAAUGUUCCAAGAUCGGAUGGCCGACGCUGAGAAGGCAUACAUAUCGAAGAGAUGGUGAUGAAGCCACCAAUCUGUAGAACACGGUGACUCCGAACGUGAUCGAUUCGACAGGUAUCACCAAUCGAUAUAAAUUAUGUACUCUCGAUGGUAAGAGGAAAAGAACCUGCUUUGGAUUAUAAUCUUAAAAUGGAGAUACAACUCCUUUGUGGCCAUGUAAAUUUUGAUGCUGUUCUGGUAUCAGUCCAUCUGAUAACGAAGCCGCAAGAGACCUAGCUAGGGCUUGCCCAGAUCGGUAGCUCCAUUAGAGACUUCGCCAAGCUCCCUUCUUUCUCCCUGCACAACGACUCCCACGUACGCGCGCGCCUUCGCUAGCUUUCCGAUGACCGCCUCUUGCGCUUCCACCUGCAACACGUAAACCCUGUUUUUGUUAAAGCCCUACCGAACCCUGGUUUCUUUCCACGUCGUCGACGACUGCCCGCUGGGUAUCCACCCCCGGCGGCGGCGGCGGCGAUGGGGUGGAGCAAGUCGGGCGAGAGGCGGUCCCACUGCGCCAGCUCCCGCCGGUACCGAUCUCUCAGGUCGUGGAGGCAGCGCCUCAGUUCCGCCUCUGGGUCCGCUGGCUGCCGGCCGAUCCUGCUCCGCCUGCGGCGGCGCUUGUAGACGAAGCCCCCGUCUUUGCUUCUGUCCCAUCGUCUUCGUGUAGCUGUCUCAUUCACCUUCUUCUCUUUUCUCGUUUCAUAUUUUGGCUCCUCUUCUCUUCUCAUCUCUCCCCUUCGAUGCUUGGUCAUAAGAGGACGAAAACAGUGGGACCUAAGUGGCGAGGUAAAGGCGGCCACAUGAAAAUGACACGACAGGAACAUUUAGAGUCUGAAAAUUGAGAUUUUUUUUUUUGAGGAAAUCGCCCUACUUUUAAUCUAAUUAAAAAUAUAUUUUUUUUCAUAGGUCGAAUAGAGGUGAUGGAGAUGGAGAAUUAAUUGGUCGAAGAUAAGUUUACCUUCGCAAUGAUUUGGACUUUUCUUGUUGGUUAGUAUAGAUUGGGACAUGUCCCCAGACACAUGUCUCGCCGGACGCGGAACUUGCCGCGUCUGGGCCUGUCCACCUGUCCUCUUGCUGGUGCACCACCACUUCAUCUCCGCGGCACCGCCACCUGGCUUUCCUUGUCUGCUUUGAGCGAAGGAUUUCCCCGUCGUAGUCACUGUUCCUCCCCCGUUGACAGUGGGAGGAGAAGAGAUGCGUGCAUGUGUAAGCUUCCCACCAACUUCUUCCUCCAUAUCAGGUGGUGGUACCACGCGGAAUUCAUCCACCCCACUAUAAUAAACACACGAUUGCCGAGGUUGCAUGUCAGCAGUGGGGUGAGGAGGAGGGAGAAGGUGGGAGAGAGAUGGGGUUACACAGCCUGCCGAGCGCCGCCGAGGCCUUCUUUCCCUUCGCGCUGCUGGCUUACGCUUUGCUCCCGGUGGCGCUGCUGGUGGACGGGGUCAGAUGGGCGGUGGUUCGAAUGAUCGGAUUAGUCGGUGGCGGUGAUGGGGAAGAGGAGCGCAUGCCAGACGUCGGAGCACGCGUCGUGGUGUGGAGGCACGAGGGUGGCGUCGACGACGGAGAGUGCUGCGUGUGCCUCCAUGGCUUCGAGGCGGCGGCGGAGGUGAGCCAGGUGGCGGCAUGCAGGCACUUCUUCCACAGAGAGUGCUUGGAGAGGUGGCUGUCUCACCUGUACGCCACCUGCCCCCUCUGCAGAUCCAUGGUGUAAGCAUCGUGUUGCUGCAGCGAUUGCUUCCUCUUUUGCAUUUGGAUCAGCGGUUGUAUUGGAUUAUGUGAUUCGGAGAUGUCGCCAUGGAUGGAUACUGCAGAAUCCAUGCAACCAUGUUGCAGUGUGUUCAUGUAUCAAUUAGAAUCACCAUAAACUAGUAUUAGUACGUAGUUUGUACAUGAGAACAGGGGAUUCUACUACUACUUGUCAUCAAUAUCUAAUUUUGAUUUCCUUGUUUUUACCGAAGAUUGAUGUCUUCUUUGAUCGAAGAGAGACCUUUUCUUGUGAUAUAUUGCAGGCUAAUAAUUCGAACAAAUUCCCUUCUACCAGCUGUCAUUGUCUGGCUGUGUCUCUCACAGUCUCAAAGUCGACAGAGGCACAUCACGACACAGUUUCCUUCCGAUGAGGAAAUGGAAUUAGGAAAACAUCAAGUAAUAUUAAUCCCAUUCGAUUAGCCUUAACUUAAUGAAGUUUUUGAGAUUUGAUCCUAAGAAUUAUUAUGAACUUAUUAAGAUUUUAUCUGAAUAAAAACUUGCAGAAGCUUUAGACACACAUCAAGAUUUAUUUUAGAGUCCAAAAUCUUGCAGGAUUCCAAGGUUUUGAGUUGUACAGGCGCAAGUAUUUGUUGCAGUGGCUUUACAGGAGGAAGGCAUACGGAGGAAAAGGGUCAGAGGGGGAGGGACCGGAGGCGGUGGGACGUGCAGUUGCUGCAUCCAUCUGGCCAUCGUUUGGACCCAUUCGCAUUGAGAAGGUAGAGCUUCGUACUCGUCUGUCGAUGGUGACCGGCGCUUUUGGUCCUUUCUGCUGCUACGGCCAAAUGCAAUUAAAGAAGGAAGACGACAUGUAUGGAUCCUUCUUAUGCAUGUCCCACCUAUACGUCUGUGCCUUUGGACAUUGAGAAUUCUUAGGUUCACGAUUAGCAGUUAACCAAUCCCAACUUUAGUUCACUACUUUUCUGCUGGAGGUGGGGAAUUUGCCAUGAAACUUCUCGUGGGUUGCUCUCUAUGUGGUUGCUAUCGAAGCCACUCUUUUUCAUGCUUCAAUUCCUUAUAUCUUAUUCCUCCAUCGUACUAACAUCGUUAUUGAUGAGUUAUUUUCGUUGUGUUUGGUCAUUGCACGAUAGGUGUUCGAUAAAAUGAAUAUAUUGUUUAUUUGUUCAUGUCUUAAACAUUGCUAGUCCCAUUUUGAUUAAGUUUUAUUAUUGUUUUUGACUUAUAAUCAUCGUUGUUAUACGAAUACCGUGCAAAAAUCAAAUUACACAAUUACGGCACCUCCAACCCGUAACUCAAUGUGAUUUUCUAGAACUAAGAUGCGAUCCAACCAUCUAAGCUUCAUAGAACUUUCAAAUGACAAAGGGUUAAAUGGGGUUCUGAUUAGUGUCCCGGGUUAGAUUGUCUCUUGGUAUCAAAAUAGUAUUAUAUGGGUACUUAUGCACGAUGAUUUUGUAUAUAUGAUGGGCUGUCCUGAACUCUUUAUUGGAUAACUAUUUAGAACUUAUCAAGUACUUUCUUUUUUUAAUUUUGUAACACUCACACAUUGUUUGUUUGUGAGAUUCCGAUUAUGUUUUAACGAAGCAAUGGCAACAUUUUGUUCAUACAUUUGCUCGUUCAUUUACUAUUACUUAUUGAUUAACUCAUUUCUUUUUCUUUUUGAGUCCUAUGGGAUUACAUGAGAUUACAAGGAGAUUGGCUCUUUUCAAAUGGAUAUCGGAAGGGGUGUGAUAUAAUAUGCACAAAUAAUGCUUGCAAAAACAAAUAAAAUUAAAAUGUCUCAAUCUGAUUUGUCCACUGCAAUCUGAUCUGGUUGGCUAUAUGGUUGUUUCAGGGGUUUGAAGGCCAAUUAAUCUUCUGCAAAUGUGUUCACAAUGGUGCAUUUCUACUUGUGGCCCAUCAAAAUACAUUGGAGUUGGCAUCCUCACUGAGAAGUCUGUGGGCUCAGUUUGCAUGUUUGUGCAGAAAUAGGAAUGUAGAUGAGGUAAAUUGUUGUUUACAUAGAGAAUUAAAAUGAUUCACCCCUUAAUAAUAUAUGCCUAGAAUCCCAUGUAGCCCAUUAAUUGUUGAUUUCAGCAGGCCAAUUAAUCUUCUGCAGAUGUGUGCCAUUACUUGAUACAUUUCUAGUUGGUGGCUCAUCAAAUAACAUGGAGUUGGCAUCUUCACUGAGAAGGUUCAACACAGGUGUCACAGGUAUCUCUUAAUGGUGUCUGUGGGUUCAGUUGGCUUAUUUGUGGAGGAAUAAGAAUGAAAAAAAAGGUAAAUUGUUUUCUUUAGAUCCACCAGUACUAUGCCUAUAAUCCAUUAUUGUUGGUUUAGGUUUGCUUGCUGGAUUAAUAUUUAUGCUGAAAAAAAAUAAUGUGUUUUCUCCAAAAGAAAAUUAAUAAUAAAAGAGUUGCCCACAUGUUGCUUGGAGAAAUGUGGCACAGAAAUUUUCUUUUUUUCAUUUUUUUAAAAUCUCACAAACAUCAAGCUUGUAUAUUUCAUAGAUUAUAUAUUACUAAAAUAUAUUUCAUUGUUUGAACUUUUUUUAAAAAAAAUUGUGAGAAAUCUGAAAUAAAAACUCCCUGUUUUCCAUAAUUUCAGUAGCAGUAAUCAGGUAUAUUUUGAGAUCUUUAUGUACUGCAGGGUUUUUAUUGUCUGAUGAAUCUUAUCUCUUCUGCAGUGUCAAAAGGGAAGUUGUGAUCUUAAACUUGUUCUUGCCAAGGUAAGGAUUGAUGAUAUGUUUGCAGAAAAGAUAGCAUAUCUUCUUAUUUCUUGGCCUAAAUCGAGGAAAAUUGAAUUCUAAAUGGAAAUCUCUUUGGGCAAAGACAAACCACCAAAAAAAUACAACAUUCCAUGUCAUGUAGACAAUAAAGUCAACUCCUAAUGACAACUUUUGUUGAUGCAAGCAACUAAGAGUGGCCAAAAGUCUAUCAUAUUUACUUAUGAGAAAAAUCCAUUGGUUCCUAAAUGCCUGGCUACAGGAUCAGUAUGAUGUCUUGUGCAAGAGGAGAAGCUGGCCCUUCUUUACUGUUGUUCUUGUUCUUCAUGUUUCUUAGGACAAGAAACAAAAAAGAACAAGCUCAAUUAAAAAUCUCUAUUUUUCUUUUGUUUUUUUGUCUCUGUCUUUGAAACAAGCAUGAUGGUAAUGACUUGAUGUCAAACAAGAAAUUAGGUUUUCCCUUGAGGAGCAGAUAAAAUCUCAAACUCAAGAGUCUGUCAUCAUUUCUUGUUUUCUAUUGAUAUUUUUAAGAAGCAGAUCAUUUUGACUCUCAAAAUCAUUCAUAGAUAAUAAAAAGCAAUGUCAGCAAACAUGAUCUCCUCUUGUAUCUUAAGAAGCUUUCAGAUCACACCUUAACCAGAUACUACAACUUCCAUGUUCCAGUUGUGUUCUGUGCUUGACAUCAUCACAGCUACAAAAGCAGAACUUGGAACUCUUGAGCUCAUAGACUUUGGCAGUUUGCUGUGAAACCUUAAAGGUUGACAAAGCAUUAUUUAAUCCUAUCUGUUCCCUAAGCUUGAGUGAAUGAAUACUUAAAAAGCCAGUUGGCCUAUGCCUUUCUUCAGACAACUCAUAUUAGAUUUGCUGGAGCUAGUUAGGUUGAUUACCUGAAAUCAAGACAGUCAACUACCAUCCUUUCAAGUGGCCCAAAGGUUAGGUUUUGUGGUCCAACAGACAAAACAUGUAGUAGCACUUCAGCAUAUUUUAAUUACCAUAAAAUAACUUGCAUAUUGAGGUCAUCCAAAUUUAUGUUUCUUGGCAACUACAAUGACAUCAUUACUGAAACUGGGAUGCUUCCAUGGAAUGAGCUAAUAGUAUCAUUGACUGAAUUCAUUCUGCUUCUUUAGAUUAUAUAUUGAUUUGCAUACCUCCUUCCUAUUCUAUAGAAAGCCAAAACCUCAAUGAGCUUGGGAAAUCUCAAGCUCAGCUUGUGUACUGUCUAAAUGACCUUCAUGCAGCCAAACAUUGUCUGCAUCAGUGUCUUCUUGGGACUGAGACUUGGCAUUGGAGGUUGGACAACUCUGAUAUCUUGAACAUUACCAAGCUUUGAUCUCUCAUGCUUAGCUGCAAAGAGCAGGUGAAGUUUUCCACUGCUAGCAAGCAAACAAUGCAUGCAGCACAUACUCUCCCUAAGACUGCAUCAGUAAAGUGAGCAGAAUUGGAUGGAGGCAAAGCUGAGUUAGGUUUGAAUACGCAACAAAUCAUUAAACUAGUCCGAGGAAAGUGCCACCACUUGCUGUCAUGAGUCUUCUGAUCCCUCCCUGUGCAGGGUUUUGUUUCUGCUGGUAAUUGGAGUGAGGAGAGUGAGGUGAUGAUCCUAAUCUGCCAUGAACAGUGUGGCUGGUGAGGAACACCAGCUUGGGCCAGUUGUCAUGAACCCUCCCUCAUGUGCUUUUCGAGUCUUUCCAUCACUGUCAAGCAUGGCCAGGAGCAGAUGGGUUUUGGGUGAGAGCAGCCGAAGGACCACCACCAUGGCUUCCAUAUUGUUCAUCUGACAUAGACCAGUUUUUCCUUUCUUAAAUGACAAAAAAGAAAAGGGAAACACUAGUCGGGGGAAGAAGAAAAGAGUAGGUUUAAUCCAAGACAUGCACCAAGAAGAGAACAUUCUGCAGCUAGAAAACAAAGUCCAUGAUGAGAAUCACAGGAACCAAAGCCUAUGAGCAUGACAACCACCUUCCUCACAAUUUCUAGGGCAAACAAGGCUAUUUCUUUAUGAUCUGAUGCAUUUUAAAGUCUAUUGGUGGGUGGGACACUCGUGUGAAAGACUCACUCUAUAAUUAAUCAAUGGCUCUUUAAAGUUCGUGCAGUUUGUUUGAUUUGAUCUCAUCCCUUUUGUUUUCUAGGGUCAUGAGAUGCUUGUGAAAGCAAAAAUGCUAGGAAGAAGAUGUGGUAGGGGUGUUGCAUUAAAGUGAAUGCUCUGCCGUCCAUCACCACCAAUGGUGGAGAAGACAGCCACUUUGGGGUGGCAAUCGAGGCCACCAAUUCGGCACCCGUGAGCCGUCCAUGAUCGAUGUAGCCUCACCCAUACAUCUUGAAAGAGAAGAGAAGUACUGCACUGCAAAAACAACAUCCACCAACCAAUAAUUAUCCGAUGAGAUAUAGUGCAGAGGGAAAUGGCACACCACAGGCAAGUGUAUGAUUCAUUUAAUUUCCAUGCUCUUCGACCACAAAAGUUGUGAAUGCGUUUAGUGUCUUUAAAACGCAUAGUUAUCGUAUUCGGACAUGAACAAAGGAUAUAGUCAUCAAAUUCGGAUGAGAUUGAUUGAUUAGAUCGAAAAUAAAAAUAAAUUGUUGAUUGAAAAUUUAUCGUACAACGAACCCAAUCAGUCGAUUAUUUCAUGAAUGAGAAUAAAUGGUUGAAAUAAUCUCGAUGUUGUUAUCCUCAUAUUAGUAGUAUUUACUUUGGAAUAAGAUGGGAGUGUAUAGAAUAGAGAGACGAGAGAUCUUUGCUAGUUGAUAUUUAAUGUGUCAAGUCUCAAGAAAGGACGAUGAAUGUUAACCCUAUUAGGAUUGAAGUGGCCAUGACAAUAACAAUGACACAACUCGGUGUCAUCAUCUUCCUCUUUCUCCGUUGGGUGACGGAGUUGGAAGGAAACAUUAAAGACAUGACGUGAGCUUAUCCACGAAGACUUUUGCCAUCAUAUGUGUGCAUGCAGUCGCUUGAUACAACAGCAACACCGAGUGGCCGAAGGAAGAAGACAAGGUGAGACAGCAAGCGAGUUGAAGUCUCGUGGAUGAGAGAGAGAGAGACAUGGAGCUCUUACUCUUCCACUCACCUUCUUUUACUCCGAAGACUAUCUAAGGCUGUGCUGGGUCAAAAUAUUCUUCCGCGUCACCACCACCAGCAACGAAGCCAUCCAAGUGCAAUACGAGCCACUGAAGGUGCUCUUGGAACCACCUCUACGUUUAUCGACGCGCAAGAGAAGAGGAAGAAGAGGAGAAAGAAAGAUGCAAGUAGUGGAGAAGUCUACUGAUGGAAUCCAAGUCAAUCGAGCAUAGAAAUGUCUGGUUCAUUAAUUUGCAAGAGUUGUAAUUGGUGCAACUGUUGGUGUCGAAUAGUCUUUCAUUUUAUUUUAUUUUAUUUUAUUUUAUUUUAUUUUAUUUUUGGUCUAAAUCACGUAGCACUCAUCUAUGAAUCUUUCAACUCGUAUGUUAUUUCUGACUUUUAUAUCAAUAUAACUGCAUUAUAUUUCUGACUAUAUUUUUUUUUUGCAUGUAAAUCUCAUAUCCUCUUAAGCAGUCUAUUUAUUUUUUCAUGAAUUCUCAUCUUUUUUUUGGAAUAUCAUAUAAAUAUACUCAUCUAGAAUAAUAAUGUUAGUUUCACCACACUAUUACGUCAUAACAAUUCAAAUUGAUAUGUGCAAAAUAUUUAAUUGAUUGUAACUGAUUAAAAAAACAUUUUUUAAUAUCAAAUGGUAUAUAUGAUACUCAAACCGAUACCUAAAUAUGAGACAAGAAUAUAUUAAUCAAUUUAGAUAUUUUAUUAUAAAUUCUUAUGAUAAAAUAAAAAUAAAAAAUAAUUAUAAAUAUUAGGAUCGUAUAAGUAAAUAAAAAUUAAAUAAUAAUAAUAAUAAUAAUCAAACAGCGUCGCAAUGCAUGCGACGAGCCACAUUGGUGGAUUCGUCUCGGGCAGAUCCAAGCAAUUCUUUCGAGGAGGAGACACGUAGCAGAGAGAGAGAGAGAGAGAGAGAGACAGAGAGAGAGACGAAGGCCGGUCUUGGAACGUGAGCCAGAGUGUGUCUCCCCGCCGCGCCGCCCAUGGAACCCUCGCUCGCCAACACGAACAAAACACCGCCUUUACCGACACACCCUCUCUCUCCCCGGGCCAUAUCCGCGCCGCAUGCUCACCUCACUGGUAUAUACUUCGUCCUUCGACCCAUCCCACAUUCCGGUCUCUCUCCCCUGCUCGAGGAAGCAACAGUUGGGAAUAGCACUCGCAAACUGCUUCCUUUAUGCUUAAUCUUUUCGGUCGUACUCCUUUCUCCAUUAAAGAAGGGUUUUUUUCCUGCGUUUCCUAUGGGGAUGGAUGAGCGAAUUUUGAAUGGGAGGCGGAGGUGCGCUGGGCAUUAUCUGUAAAUAUUAGGGUGGGGGGGGGAGAAAUGGGCGCUAUAUCUGUCAUCAAAUGCAACAUCAAAGACACAACAACAUUACAGCGAGACAAAACAACAAACCAACGAGGGAGAAGAGAGAGAAGGGCGAGGCGAGGAUAGAGAGGGGGCGGAGAUAGAAGAGAAAGAGAAAGAGAACGGCUAUUAUAAGGCGGUUUCUUUGGGAUUAAGACCAUAAGUUUUACUUGAAGAAGAAAAAGAAGAAGAAGCAGCAGCAAGGGCUGAAGAUCUCAGCAGCGAUAGUAGGGCAGGGGAGGGGCGGAGGAGAGGACGGCCGGAUGUCGCUGCGCUCCAGCGAUCGGCUGUGAUCUGAUCCGCGCCGCGCCUGGAAGAAUUCCAACCCCUUUCGAGGAAAAAAGAAGCGAUCUUUUUCGUUAUGCCGGAAGCGGGUUACUAUUGUUCUAAGAAGACGGACGACAUCUGCGAGGACGUCUGCGGCGAGGUGAUUCACCUUUUUCUAUCCCUCGUUUCAGAUCUAAUUGUGUUGCUUGUUUGUUUUCUGUUCGGGUUUCAAGUAUGGAACCUUGGUUCUUUCUUCUAUGAUUGCCGCUUUCAAACCCUACAUGAUGGUGGAUUCUCUCAUUUGUUCUUGGAAUGAGAACAAGUCUCGGCUUUGGAGAUUUGAACCGCAAGAACUCCCAUUUCCCCAAUCUGUUGGGUUCGAUUUCACCCGUCUGAUCGUUUGAUUUCUGUUGCAGCAGACGUCGAGGGCAGCGCUGAGCAUGUCGCGGCUGCGGUGCGCUCUCCGGGGGUUCGAUCUCAAGGCAUUCCUGCUGCUCUUCAUGGGCGUCCCCGUCCUCAUCUUCAUCAUCUACCUCCAUGGCCAGAAGAUUACCUACUUCCUCCGCCCCAUCUGGGAGUCCCCUCCCAAGCCCUUCCGCACCAUCCCCCACUACUACCACCCUAACAUCUCCAUGGAGCGCCUCUGCCGGCUCCACGGCUGGGGCAUGCGUGAUACCCCCCGUCGGGUCUUCGAUGCCGUUCUGUUCAGCAACGAGCUCGACAUGCUCGAGAUCCGGUGGCACGAACUCAGCCCUUACGUCUCAGAGUUCGUCCUCCUCGAGUCCAAUUCCACCUUCACUGGGCUGUGGAAACCCCUCGUCUUUGCUGGCAACCGGAGCCGCUUCAAGUUCGUGGAAUCGCGGCUGACCUAUGGCACCAUCGGGGGGAGGUUUGUCACGGGGGAGAAUCCGUUCGUUGAGGAAUCAUACCAGCGAGUGGCAUUGGAUCAACUUAUUAGGUUUGCAGGCGUUGAAGAUGAUGACUUGUUGAUCAUGUCCGAUGUCGACGAGAUCCCAAGUGGCCAUACGAUCGACCUCCUGAGAUGGUGCGAUGAGAUUCCCGAGAAGCUUCAUCUCCAGCUCCGGAAUUAUCUCUACUCCUUUGAGUUUUACCUUGAUGACAAAAGCUGGAGGGCUUCGGUUCACAGGUACCAAGCAGGGAAGACCAGAUAUGCUCAUUUCCGGCAGACCAAUGAUCUAUUUGCUGAUUCAGGGUGGCACUGCAGCUUCUGCUUCCGUCAUAUAAGCCAAUUCAUAUUCAAGAUGAAGGCAUAUAGCCAUGUCGAUCGGGUGAGAUUUGCCUACUACUUGAAUCCUUCGAGGAUUCAAGAUGUGAUCUGCCGAGGAGCAGACCUGUUUGACAUGCUUCCGGAAGAGUAUACAUUCCAAGAGAUCAUUGCCAAGUUGGGGCCGAUACCUAGUUCGUAUUCUGCUGUUCACCUUCCUAGUUAUAUACUUCAGAAUGUUGACCGGCAUCGAUACCUCUUGCCUGGGAACUGCAAGCGAGAAAGUGGGUGAGUUCUAUUGGUGGCAUCGUAGGUUGCUUGCAAAUUCUACGAGAGUGUUGCUGAGAAUUUGAUGACCGUACAACUAUGAUGAAGAUGAGUAUCUGACAUGGUUGGAUGAUUCUUCUGGGACAAAGGACAAGCAUCAACAUUUUCUUGCGCUUAUCUCUGCAAUAUCAUUUGGAGCUGAUCAUAUCUGUACAAGUUUUCCUGAUGCCACCAUUUAUUUUUGAGGGAGAUCAGUGAAUUUAACUACCAUGGGAGGUUGUUCACCCCUUCUUACCUUAUUGGUAUGUGACAUGACACCGGUUGUUGUAGAAUGGAAACUGAGUGAUGUAUCCUAAAUUUUAUUUAUGGGAUCUUGUUUUCCUUCAAAAACUGAUUUAUCGAUGUAUUCUUCUUCAACUUCCCUGGAAAAUCUAGACCUCAUCAUUGUACCAUGUGGUUUGUUUCACUCACUUCACUUGGUGAUGCCUGUGGAAUUGUGGAAGAUGUCCUUUGGAAUUCCAUAUGGUUUAUGCUCAUGAUUUGGACUUGUGUCACAACCAAGAUCGUGGCUCCAUGCACAAUUAGAAAUGCAGGUGCAGGAACCUGCAAGGCAAGUUCUUAAGCAAAUCAAUAGUCUCUGGGAUAUAUUCCAUGACCUUUUGACCACAGUGACUAGAUAACCAGUCCACGAAAAUUUCUUAAUACUUUUGCAGGUUAUUAUUUAUGUUAAACUGCAUCCAGAGAUCUGAAAAUACAUGGCAAUGGACAUUUUAUAAAUUGUUUUCUUUCCAGUUUAUUUCAUGAAACUGUAUCUCUAGGCACUUUUUUUCCUGAUGGGCCAUGUGUCAUGCACACAUGAUAUUCCACAACAAGAACACCAGAAGCUAUUGCUGCUGUGGUCCACCACAUGGAUCCUCGCAUAUCAUUUAGCAUCUUCAGGCGUCGCACUCUCUAUCAGCCACAUAUUUAUGAUGUCUUUAGCAUUGCUUUUAGUGAAGUCCUGUGUUUUGUGACUUUUGCCAUUAGAAUUGACUCAUUCUUAUGCAAGUCCACUUCUUUGGACAAUAGAAGUGCAUUCUGUUGUAUGCUCAAUUCUUUGAUGUGAACUGCUUGUUGGCAUCCAAGCAUUUUAAUUUUUUACAUUCUUGCUCAGUUACUCACAAUUUCGUCCAAUUUCCAUCUAAAUUUCUCAUCUUGAGGUAUUAUAAUUUGCAUAUUUUCCUAUGUGUAGAUUGUUCUUUUGCUGCAUUGAGGAAGGAAAUUCUUUCCUGCUGAGGCUUCUAUUUUUUUGUUCCUGUGUAAAGCGAUUGAUGCUGGCGUGACUGCAGCAAACAAGGCCAUUCUAUUUAUACUCUUGUCUUGUUUGCAAACUAUUUGUUCAUGUCAUAGCUCAUAAAAGGCCUCUGAGAUUCUUCAUUUCUCACUUCUUUCACCUCUGCUGUUGUAGUUUAGCAGAUGAAUAUAUGGAGAUUAGAUGCAGCGAUUAAACAUACAAGUGAUCCUUUAUGUCAGCUGCAGGCAAUCUGAGGUAAUAAUUGACAUUUCCAAUUUAGAGAUCUAGAGUUCAAUUUGAGUAGUCUGCUUAAAUAUGCUUCCAGAUUGGUUUUCUAGUUGAAACUACUUUUAACUAGAUGCAUAAAUGUGUAAAUUCCAGCUGUAAAAGUCUUGGGUGAAAUAUAGAAUCUAACAAAAUGCCUGAGUUACAGAUUAGGGCUGUCUUUGAGCCUUGAUUACUUUCUUUAUCUAAUAAUACAUCAUUAUUUACAUACUAUGGUUAUGGUGACUGAUUCCUUUUAUACAACUAGCGACAAAUAUGAUUCAAACUUUGCAACUCCUCUUUUCCGAGCAAUGGGUGGGCUUUGCAGCUAAUAUACACUUAAAAAAGUGUUAUUUGCCAUAGCUUACUGAAAACAUCUAAUGGUUGUGAAAGGUUGUCUUAGAAGUAGAUAACCAAAAAAUCCAUACUUACUGUUUUCUUUCCUGUGCCUUUCUCAUAUUUAUUGCUGAUCAUUUACAUUUUCUUAUCUUUUCUCAAUGAUGGAAUUGGAAUCAUAUCACCUUCUAUGGUUAAUAUAAAAGGAAUUGCAUGAAACUCUAAUUUGUAUGGUUUAUUUCAGUCUUUGUGAUGUGCAUGUUGUUGUUUGUCUAGCAGUCUGUCCUUAUUUUUGAUGUCGUAGUCGCAAAGCUACUUCUUUUCUUCGAAAACAUCCGAUUGGCUAACUUGUUUUCUCGAGUAUUUGCAGGAUUUUAAAAUGAUCAGAGUUGGGCCAUUUGGUGUUUUAUAAGAUAUUUAGAAGACUUGACCUUUGUGUUUCCAAAAGAUCUGCACUUGGAAAGUUGUGGACACUAAUUCUCUGUGCAGGUAUCAUCUUUCCAAGUCAAGCAGGUCAAGCAAGUUCAGUAUCAACAGGUAAUCGGAUGGGAUGCUCAUCCUGUGAAGCUUGUGCUUUCUCUCUUGUUGAUGCCUAAAUGUCUAGAAAUGUUCCAGCAAAUGUCCCUUGGCAUCAACAAGAAAUCCAAAGAACAAACAUGCCGAAUUGGUUAGCUAUCUAACUUUCUUCAAUAUGAGUUGAGUAUGGACCGGUGAAACCCAGGAAUAAAUCUUCCUGAUAACUACGAAUCUUAGGGAAAUGGGUUAGGCAUGCAUGAAACCCAUCCAGAGUGUUUGCUUUGGCAUAUUGUUGCAGAAACAGACGGCUUUGGUUAGAUUCCAACAUGCACUGUCGAUGGAGGUAGCACUACAUGGGGCCGAAGAAGAAAGAGAAAGGCGAGGAUCACACGGUUGCUGGAAACUGAUUCCUUCUUGAAAGGUAAACUUUUCCUGUGUUCUUGUGUUCUUCAUUUGGGUUUGUGCUUCACGGACAUGUUCUCCCUCUGCAUCUGCUGCACUACCAGUCCUGUCUACUUUACUAGGCUUUGGCUGCCUUGCAUCGACCAUGCAAUGGCAGCGUCUGUGUUUGAAUGCUUGCUCUUCUUAGUACAACUCGGUGGGGCUUAAGGCUUGAUCAAUGGCCUGCCGCCGCGAUGUCUAGGCCUUUUAGCCAUCGUUUCUUUCUUCUCGAGGAAUGAAACGAGGAAUGAAACGAUGGCUUUAGCCCACUUCCGAUGUAGGACUAAAUCAGACCGUAAUUGCUUGUUCAUUCUAAUAUGAUAGUUUUACGAUACAAAGGCCAGGCCCCAUAACGAAAGAUGAUUACGGGUUGGGCUUUCGAAGGUCUCCACCAGUUACUAGGGUUCUUCUUGUUAAGUGGAUCUGCAGAGACAAGGAAGCCCACUGCCUCCUAUUCGAUCUUAUAUACUGUUCACAUGCAUCCGCAGCACAUCUGCGUGACACAAUCUGCUCCGGCAAAUCUUGACUGCUACCCGUCACCAAGAUGUGCAUUUACUUGUUACCAAGAUGAACAGUUCGACAAGUGCAACGAUCACCGAUUCAAAUCUGUAUGUCUUUGCAAACGGUGAUCCCACUUAUUUUUGGCUGCUUGUUGCAGAGGACGUCUCCAUUGAAAGCUCAGUUGUAACACACCGAUCAUGCAAGUAAGCUUUUGGCAAUCUUCUUUUCCCUAUGGUAGAAUAAGAAAAAGGUCUUCUCACUCUUUAAACCUCAUAUGGUGAAUGCGCUAGACAUUGGGAUGUCAUGUCACUAGCACAGCCUGACACUCGAUCUUGGACCCAUCAAGCUGAGGAACACGACGACAUUAGUCGUAAUUCAAGUGAUACCUCGACGAUCUUGCAAAAUUCUCGUUUAACCCAAUAGUUAUUGUAGUUCGCUUAUAUAUAUAUAUAAAGUUUCAAUUACGUUAACUCAAAUGGAUAUUUUUUGAAUCCUUCGAAUCAUUUAUUAUAUUUUGGACCCAUUAACAUUAAGAUCAGAGGGGGGUUUUUGUAGUGCGAGAAGUUCUCGAUUUAGUUUUUGUAGGAUCGAACUCACUCGUACAUUUAAGAUUGAUUCGAUUGGCUGACGCAUCGAACAAUAAGAUUGCGUUGUAGUAAAAUACUAAAGAUAUUAAAUAUCAAGACUUAACAUGUAACAGAUGAUGUCUACGUGAUACGGUUGGCUGUUGUCUCCUUCUACAACCUGUUGUCUUGGAGCUGGAGACGCCGGAAACAGGAGGCGUCGAAGGAUGCAGAUUGUGAUGAGAUCUCCCUCAUUAGCGUCGUAGUCUGCGAUUAAUCGUCCUCCAUGUGGAUGGUGGAGGAGAAGAGGCCGAAAACUGCGGUAGCUGCCGUUGGGCCUUCAGACACGUGAAGUGUGUCCCAUUUGUCCGCUCCGAUGGCGGCCAUGAUCCAUCCCACGCCCGCAUGCUGAGUGAGGCCGACCGAUGAAAGGAGCAUGGUGAGGCAUGCUCAACCACAGCCAUGGCUUUCCUUCGCAUGGCGGUGGCCAAAGAGAAAGAGGGAUCUCAUGGGUCCAGGUUUGAACUUUUGGCAGUGGUGUGAGAUGGAAGGAGUUGGAGGUGCCGGCCGUCGAGAUGUUGUCGGAGUGCUGUCUCAUCCUCUGCGUCCCAUGUCAAUGGGGUUUGACACUGAGGGCGACUUGCCACUGAAACAAAUGCGUGAUUGCCUCGAUGGUGAGGGAGGUGGGGCCUGUAAGAGUUGAAGGUACUUGUUAAUGGCUGCUUGCAUGGACUUGGUGAUGAGCCAUCAUGAUGGUCAAAUGUAUAUCAUAUGUAGGUCAACUAUAUAUAUAUAUAUAUAUAUAUAUAUAUAUAUAUAUAUAUAUAUAUAUAUAUAUAUAUAUAUAUAUAUAUAUAUAUAUAUAUGAUAAUUUUUUGAAAUUUUUUUUAAAAAUUCUCAUAAAAUAUUUAUUUUUUUUCGUAAAAGAUGAUUUUACCCCUAUAUCCUUCAUCCUUGAUCCUCUCCACAUGUGGAUUCCUAGGCGAUGAGGGUCAUCUUCGUCAAAGAAAGCGAAGACCUCGGAUCCAUCAUUGAUCGCCUGUGAGCACUUGAAUGAUGGGAUCAUCUUUAUUGUCUUAUCGAAGAAGGAGGGAGGCCUCCAAAGAAGGCAAAGGUUUUGGACCUAUCUAAAUCCAUUGUUAUCCAUCGUUGGGUCUCCUCCUCCAUCAUCUCCCUCAUUGCCCAAGACCUUAUGCGUGGAGGUGAUGAGCGACGAAGAUAGCGUAAGUAAAAUAAUCUUUUAUGAAAAAAAAUAUAUAUUACAUGAUUUAUUUUUUUUAAAUAUGGGUGAUUUACAAGAAUUUUUCUAAACUAAAGCCUUUUUCAAAAAAUUAUUAUAUAUAUAUGUAAUGCAUAUAUAUUUGUUGUUUUCUGAAGGAAGCUUAAUGAAAAGAUUGAAUGCACAUCACCGGUCAGCAGAAGCCACACCAGCCUUCAAUAUGAACAUAAUUAUUGCUUGGCAAAAGAAGGCCAAACAUUGUUUUCCUUCACCCAAAGUGGAGAAGCUUUAAGGAAAGCAGCUCACCUUCACAUGCUGUGAUUCCCUGCCAUCCAUGGAAGGAAGGAAGGAUGGAGCAACUUCUCGAAUAAUUUCGAUGCUUUUCUUGACCCAGCCAUUCCAUCAGAAGCUGUCCAUCGCCUUCGCCCACCUCAUCCCGUCUCUCUCUCCAAUCUCCUCUCGGCUUUCCCUGUGCUUUGCCGUAGGGUUUCCGCUGUGCGUGCGUGUGUGUUGUCUGAGGACCCACGAGCUGCCUCCUCGCAGUUAGGUCCCGUCAUGUAGUGCAGUCAUGGCGGUGUCUGCUAAAGACAACGCCAUCAACCCCCCCUCGCAUUUAUGCGCGCUGCAGUACGUGAUACCACAUGAUAUUAGGGUGAGGGGGGAAGGGGGAAGGGAAGGACGCAAACGACAACCGCAGUUGGCUUUGACGUUGGACUGUCAUACCUAAUAGAACACCGAAAGCCACGGGAUCGAGUGGUCACUUGCCAUGCAUCUCUCCCAACGCAUGCUGUACUGUGGGAGGUGAGUGUGCCAGCUCCGUGUGGUGGAGGCGGCCGGCGACCGGAUCUGGGAAAUGGGGCCGGCCACGAGGGGUGUGAAGUGGAUGUGUGACGAGGAUUAUGACAGUGGCAAGCAACUCGUGGAUUUGGAUGUUGGAAGUGUUUGCCGAGCUGCAUCCUUGUUUUGGAUCUUCUGAGAAGUGUUAAUUAUUUGAUCGGAUGAUUGCACACAGUUAAAUCUCUGGGUGGCAUUCAAGAUCAAGUCAUGGCACUCCCUCCAUGCAUGCAUGUGGUCUCUCUGUCGCUCUUCAUGCUGAUCACUGUCCAUCACCAUAGGGUGGGAUUUCCAAUUAGUCUACACGCUGAGGUUGGUCCACUCUCAUGGCUAAACCCCUGAUACACUUGGAAAAGAGGUGGCUUUUGCAGUGAGACAGUAAAAUGAUGAGUGACAAAGGCCUAAUAAAGGUGGCAUGAGUAGUAGAAAGAAGGUUUGGUGAGGUUGUUGAAUACAGGUUUUUUUCUUCUUCUUCUUCUUGUUUGUCCUCACUCUUUGUGAUCAACAAGAUAAGGUUUGGAGUCGCAUGCAAAGCACCUGGUACCAGCUUUUUGGUAAGAAAAAGAUAAUGAGGAGUGAGGUGUUGGGUUUUGAUUAGUGUGCAGUGAUCUUUAGGGUUUGAUUUGUGGAAGGUGGCAGGCCCGGAGAAGCCACUCGAGGAUGGUGAUGCUUGAGGUGGUCACUGGAGGAGGGGGAAGAGGAUGACCUUUUUGGAGGUGUGGGGAACAGUGUGUUGGCUGGUCGCUUGGGUGGCUAACACUGAUAGCAACACCCAGCAAUCCAUCAAAUACAAAUGUAGCUGCAUCAGUCCCCACAGCACCACUGGAUUUAUUGGCUGAAUUCAUGUCAGAUAUCAGCAUGACACAGCAAGAACACAUGAAGUUUCACCACAGCUUCAUGAUUGCAACUCUGAUUUCUUUUUCUCUUUUUUUUCUUUUUUGUUUGCUUAGUGAGAUUGCACAUAGGAAUGAGGUUGACAUGUCUCAUCCGGAACAACUACAUGUUCUCUGUUGUUUGGACUGAUGCAUAUGAUACAUUGCAAGUUGAGCAGCAAUACUUUUCUUAGAAUGUCCUAUGAUGGGUCUGGACCACCUUACUCCGUUUGCCAAUCACAGGUGUCCAUCAGCUUGAGAAGGUAAGCUGUUGUCUAAGAUAGGACGAUGGAGUUGCCUUCCAAGGAAUGGAAGUUGAUCUGCAGCCGGUAGGUAAUGUUGUCAAUAGGAUGGAAAGAUGAUCGAUCAGAUUGUAUCAAUACAUCUGAUCAUAUGUUCUUUUAAGUGAAUAUGAAUAGCUCGGUGCUUUGUUUUAUUUCAAUAUGUCAAAAACCAUCAAGUAGCUCCCAUGUUUGAUGCAUAAGAUGAAGAUGAGUAGGAUUACAAAGAUAAUCUCAUAAGUCAUUUGCAUUUCUCAAGCAAAGGAGGAGGUAGGCCCAUAACAAUGCAAAUUAAGUUAAUGAAAUAUAUCUACUAGAUCAAUCAUGAGAUCGUUUCCUUUCACAUUGAAGGAAAAGUCUUCUUAAUUCAACUAGGCAGGUGUAUUAGUGAGUAGGACGAGGGAGUGAUUGCGAGAGAGAGAGAGAGAGAGAGAGAGAGAGAGGUUUCAGCAGCAAGUCAUACAAACACAUCUGUUUACUAAACUUGGUGUAUAUGAUGGAUGCCCACAAAUGCACCAAAGUCACCGUGCCAAUCCGACAUUUGACUUGAGCGGCUGGGGUGAACAAGAUCCUUCUGAAGACCUCGAUGGCAUAUGCCAGAAAAACUGGUUCCAUAAUUCGAGGAAAAACUAGUUGAAGUAUGGUUGUAGCAGAUAUCACCAAGCAAUCUUUUCUACCGACAUCCGCAGGGGGGAGGUUUGACAAGAGUUCAUCCACAGUUCUCUUCAAAGAACUGCAUCACCUUAAGAUGGCAAACACAACAAGUAGUGGAGAGAAGAAACAAUUACGAUAAGAACGAUCUCUGUAUAAGCGAAUCACAUCUAAUUAAGCUUUUAUUUGACUAUGCCAUAAGGAGAGCCUCCAUCUUUUGGCCUUAAUCUACAUGUUCUUCCUUGGCUCACGGUGCACAGAGUGGGCAGCAAAAGCCAGCUCCUGUGGAGUGGCCUCAAGAAAGAGAACUCAGAGAUAAAUAUAGGACGUUUCAAUUACGAUUUCUCUGCAUGAAAUCGAUAGCGCAAGUUAUUUCGAUUAAUUCCUCUCGCUUGCACUUCUGUUCAUGGCCAGCAGUUUGCUGAUGAUCCUCUUUGGUUUCUUAGGAAGGGAGCACAAGGCUUUGAACCUCGAAGAAGCACUCCUCAUGAGCGCAUCGCGCGGAAUCAAGUCGUCGUCCAUGUCGUUGUCCUCCUCCUCCGCGAGCUUCGUCUUGAGCGUUGCGAGCUUCGUGGCGGGGCACUUCAAUCUGGAGAUGCUCCAGCCGUCUUCUAAUGGGGUAGCAGUGCCGAUGUGGUGAAGCUUGAGUGCGUCCCUGUCUUCCCCUCUUGCUGUGGUUUUAGCCAGCAGUGCCUUGAUGUUGCUGGGCAGCUCAGUCACCUGGCCGCCGGACAUGGCGGCUCGGGAAUGCUCGAAGAAGAGGACCUGCACGACCACCCUCAGAGGAAGUAGCUCGUUCUGCGCGGCGUGCAUGCAGGCUUCCACGGAGAGUUUCUUGCAAUCCAGGAUUCGACACAGUUGCUUCCUCGCGUUCUUGUCGAGCUCCGGGUGUACCUGAAGACGACCAAACCAAGUUUAGGAUCAUGACAACAGAGAUGAUGAAUCGCGAUGUUGCGCAAAGACCGGUUACCCUGAGGUAGAUGUCGAUGACUCUGUAGAGAUCAUCAUGGUCGAGCCUGGCAAAGUCUGGAACAGCUUCCGCGAUUGCAAUUAGCUUCUUCAUGGGCAAGUUCUCGUCUCUGGCAAUCUCUUGGAGGUAACCAUCAAUUAGCUUGGCCACUCUCAGCUUGGAGCUGUGGGAGGCGGAGGACGACCUGCGGCUGUUCUCCUGUACCUCGAAUUCCACGUUCUCGGAAGAUCGAGACCUCCUCCUCUCACAACGAAGCUUCUCUCUGGGUGGACUGGUUGCUGGGCUCUGUCCUUGAAGCAGGAACUCCUCCAACAUGGCCAUCACUAUAUCGACGUCAUACAGCGUACCACUCGAAUUUGAGUCGAGUGGAAUCAGAAGACCAUCAACCGAUGCCUCCUCCAGUUGCAGUCCGAUUCGCCUGGCCAAGUCCAUCUUCGAUGAUGUCGAAGCGUGGAGUAUGUUGGCGGCCUUGAGAAGCUUGAGCAGAAAACUACAUGAAACAGAGCCCUUUUCGGUGGGGAGUAAGCUCACUAUCUUCUCCAUUAGCAGCCUGUGCUUCACGGGGGCUUCUGUAGGAGACUCUGACAAGGAGUCAUCGGCUUCCAGUUCAUUCUGUUGGCCAUUUCUGGACAUAUUUGGCAGCCACCUGCGAGCGUAGAUCCGUAGUGCCUCCCCGAUGAGCUUGUUGGGAACGAUGCCGGCGGAUUUCACCGCCACCAUGACCCUCCAGUAGUGGUCUAUUCCUAGUUCACUGAUGUCCCCGGCCCACCAGUUCUUGGUCGCUGCCUUCCGGCUGUGGCUUGACGUGAUCGCCUGCGUCGGGCUGGCGAUAAUGGCAGUGGCAAUGGCAUCGAUGCAGCGGCCGGUGAUGCCCAGUUCUUCGCACAGAGGAGAAUAGUUCCUCGUGCUCUGCAGCGUCACCAGCGUGUCCUUCCAUCGGCGGAGGAUGCAAGACUUGAAGAAGAGCUCGAGCUUGCCGACGAGGUUCCCACGGUCAGCGUCGUCGCUCAUCUGGAGGUACUCGGCGGCGCAACGCACGGGCACGAUGUUGAGGGAGCUGAGAGUGAUGGUGAUGCCAUAGCAGAACUUUGCACAGACCUCGAAGGCCUCGGCGCCGCCGGGAAGGUCCGGAAGUAAGAUGACUGUGUGCUCGGAGGUAUCCUUCAGUGAAGAGCAGAGCUUCUGCAGGCGCAGGCAUUUAGACAGGAGGGGAAACUACAAACACAAACAACCAAACAAGGUAAGUGAAUUAGGAAGAGAUGAUGGAAGAGAAAAAGUAUCGAUUGCAAGAACUGCCAAAGUAUCAGAAACACUGAUGAAUUCUGCCAAAGUAUUAGAACAAGUAGAGGUCUACCUUGUGCAGCUGAUACAAGCUGUUAUGCACCUGGAUUUGGAGGUCAGUUGAGACUUCUGACGAAACAGACCUGCCAAUUAGAACACAAGAAAUAAGAAUUCAGAGUCUGAUGACAUAAAAAGCAUCAAAAACUGCUAAUAGUUUGCAUCUAUCACAUCGAAGUGUUAUAAACUACUCAUGCAAUCCAUUCAGAACAAGUUUCAAAAGCCUCACCUUAUGGCUUCCGUGGUGAAGAAGGUAUCUGGGCGGUUUCCAAGCUUCAUGAACUUCAUCUUUGGCAGCUUAGUACAUCACCUGAACCAGCAACUAAUGAAACACCACAGCCAGAUUCCUAUAUGCUUCCUCCCCUGAGAUGGAAGACAAGUUGAUUCAUCCACUCACACUCUUUGUUUCUCUGGGCAUUCUUCUUGGUGGCAAAUAGAGAUUUAAGAAGAGUGGUUGGGUGGAAAGCAAACAGGGGUCAGAAUCCAAGGAGCCUAGAGAAGAAUGGAAUGCUGUGGUAUUGCUGGGGUCUGGAGGAUUUUAUGGAGGGAAUUAAUAAAUGCAAAUGGUUGACAGGCAGGGGGAUCAACAGUGAUGCUCUAAGGAAAUAUGAAGCACAGCUUCAGUCUAUUUUGAAGAAAUCAAACAGUCAAGAUACUGUAAUUUGACCUGAGUCAAUUUUUAGGGUCUGUAUGGAUAAAUUGGAUGCAUGCGAAAGGAUAUGCAUCAUGGUCUGAAGUGCAACUAUCAUUUUCAAGCUUUUCUCCAGUGGAACGCUCCCAAAUUCAUGGGACUUGUAUUCUGCUAAGAAAUGGUCACCAGAUGUUGACUCGGAGAAUAUUAUCUGUGGUCACAAGUUACUCUGUCUUUUGACUUCUAACCUGAUGAUCCUCUUCCAUCUGCAUCUAGCAAUUAGAAGAGAAGAGACCCUCGGUUAUGUGGGGAGGGAGAGAAUGAUGAAGUGGUUUUUUGCUUUUGUUCUGCAAUAUGCCCAUGCUGCUCCCCUCUAGUGCAAGUUUCUAGUUUCAUAAAGAUGCCGAUAAUAUUGAAAUGCAUAGUCCUCAAAUAAAUAACAGGAGUAGUAGAACCUUGCCAUUAUAAGGCCGUCAUUGGUCCUUCCUUUGAUGUCUUUAGCUUUCUUCUCUCUUUCCAACUUGAACUGUAAAAGGAGAUUCAUAUUCUCGGAAUGAGAUCAGCAUGCUUGACAUGAUAAACGAUGACUAACAAAAUAAUCUAAUGAUUCUGUGGCUACUAAGCGGGUAAUUUUUUUGACUGACGCUUGAGAAAACCAGAUGAGAAGUAAGCUGCAGGAGCUCAUGCCAAUCUUGCCUGUCUGAAUGGCUGAAGUGUUAAAAAUCGGAGCCCGCACGGUUAACAUGGACAGCGUGACCCCACAAACCAUCAUUGCCAUGGAAAUUUCUUCUCAGCUUCCCACGAAGAACCAAGGCAAAAGGAGGGGCUCCUUCUGUGACCAUUUUCUACGCAACAGUGUACCUUUGUACCUCCUUUUUUUCUUCUGGCACUUAAGGGGGACAGCUGCUGUUAGUCGAGGUCUCUUCUCCCUUAAUCAAGCCCUGUUUAGAGGCCACAAAUGGUCCACAUUAGCUGAGGAGACGGGGAAGUAAACAAGAUCCGUAAACCAAGCAUAAUACCUGACUGUAACCACGAACCAACAAGACUGGUGACUCCGUAUCUGUGAUUUGGUAGCUGAUCGAUCACAUGCAUACUACAUGAAGCUUCAUAAAUUUGGAUUGGCCUCCGUCAGGAGGCUGCAGAGCCGGCAUGGUGUGUACCAACGUGCAGCAGGAACUUGAAUGCUAGGCCACUGGCCUCAUAAAUUGAGCUCAACGCAACAGUACUAACCUGCAUCACCCAGACCACAGCCAUAUCAAAUGUAUCAAUCUUCGAAGGAAGGAUCGACCUUUGAAUGGCUGGAUUCCAGGCUACAUGCUAAGACAGAUACAUCCCUUCUCAUUUAUUCGAUAGUCUCGGUAUCAGUUGAGACAAUUGAAAUAAUUAAUUACUCAGCUCUAAAACUGGGAACAAAAAACCUUUAAGCACCAAACUUUGAAGUAUGGAACUCAAAUUAAGCACGUUCAUUUGAAAAGCCAAAUAUGAGAAUAUAAUUAUCAAGUAGACUGAAGACCCUGCAAGUGGAUAUUUAUCAUCCUAUUUAAGAGCAAACUUAUAUAAUUUGAGUUUUUGUACACCAAAAGAAUUAAAGAAGCUUUUGACGGUAGAAACAUAUGUUUUCCACUCUAAAUUGUAAGUUCAAUAACUUGGAACUAAAAUAUAGACAUGCAUGAAGAGGAAGAUUGUAAACAAGGAAGAAAAAAAUAUCAGCCUUAAUAUUACAAAUUUCAGCGAUCACCCAUUUAUUAUGCAAUUCUGAACACCCAUGAAAGUUCACUUGCAAAAUCAAGCAGGUAGUGGCUCCUCCAGAACUGCAAUUUCAAAAAGCAUAUAUACAGUCAGUAAGGUAAUGAAACAGCUUCAAGAAUCAUGAUUUCUUUAUAUAUGUAGGGGCUUAAGGCUAAGCAGGCAAGAGAGAAACCUUUUGUUUUCCUUUGAGUUCCAGUUGAGAUGUCUUCAGCAGCACCAUCACUCAGAACUGGUGCACCAGAUGGUACAUCAGGAAGAUUGAGAAGUUCAUCCUCUUCCCUCUGAGCUUGAGACUCUGCUUCUGGCUGUACCUCAGGAGUCCUUUUAGUUUCUUGUGCAGAUGACACUGAUUGGGCAGGAACUGUUGGCAUGGAUUGAAGGGUAAUCUGCCAGUACGCUUAUAAUCAGCAGCAUACUUGCAAAUAACCUUAAAAAAAAGUGGGGAUAGGUUUGUUACAUUUCCAGAAGAGACACAAUCUCAACGACAUUACUACAACUUGAUUAAAAGUUGGUCACUGAUUUCAUUAAAAAGAAAUUUAACUACAAUUUAAUGCCGACUCUACCAUUGUGUCAAAAAGUCAAUUUGUUAUCUUGCUUGUUUAUCAAAGUUAAGCUACCACUUUUGGUCCCUCAAGCAGAAAAUGAAGGGGAAUUGUCAUGUUCGAUACCUGUUCUACUAAAUGAACUCUGACUUGAAUAAUUGAACAGAAUAAACAAAAAAUACAAGUAUUUCAUUACGAGCAAGCUUAAAACAACUUAUUGAAGAAAUUAAAAAAAACUUGCCUCAGUUUCCAAAUUCUCAAAUUCUGCCAAAACUUCCUCCUCGUCUUCAGCAGAUAGGCGAUCUCCCAAGAUUGCAUUCAUUUCCUUGAACAAGGGCAAAGAAGCAAUCAAUAACUUUAAAAGGAGAGUUAGCAAUAAAAAUCAAUUUUAGAUUGACAGAAUGGGAUUUUUGACAAAGAGAUCAGUCUAGCCUACUUAUCUACUAACAGAUGACAGUUCCCGAAGUUACAAAAAGGAAACAUAAAAGAAUUUUACAAAUUAUCACAAAGAAGAUAACAUAGUCCCAUAAUAGGAGAAGUUUAAAUUUCAGCAGGUGAACAAAAUUGGCAUGAUCAAGGCAAAAAAAGUUUUGUUUAAGCUCGUUUCUGCUUGAAGAAUUUUACAAUUUUUCAAUUUAUGAUGGGUCAAGAUUAUAUUCAACUUCAGUAAAUGUUUAAACUAAAUUUUGUAUUCCACCCUUGCUAUUCUAGUCCCAAUCUUUCGCAAUUCUAUAACUAAAUCUUGAGGAUGGCCACAGUAAUUUAGGACUUGAACAAUCUUACUAGCGGUGCUGUAAUGUGGAGUUAGUUUUUUUUAUCAAGAGAGACAGAGGUGGUUUAACAGCCUUGUCAGAACAUUAACAGGUGACCUUCCAGAAAGAUUCACCACAUGGAUAUCCAUCCAGGCCUGCCACGUGCUGAGAGAUUCCUGCUGAAGAAAUUAACAGCAAGUUUUUUAUGCAUGAGGAGCUUCUGUUGAAGAUCUAAAAGAGAAACUUAUGAAUCACAGACCUAACAGCUGUCUUAAGUCGAAAUUGAUCAUAACCCCUAGUAUAAAAAUCUGAUAAUCAACCUGUCGAAGCUGCUAAAUGCAGAGACAAAAGACUGAACCAAACUACUAAAUGAAAUAACUAACUCAAAUUGGAGGAAAUAACAUGGAAGAGAUACAGAAAUUUAAUGAGAUAACUAAUCCAAGAUACAGUUUUUUAGUAUUAAUUAGGAAGGUUUGAACUUCCACGAAGUAAAAUCCAGAAUUUCAUACAAACCCAUAUAGAAAAGCUACUACAAUUAUUAACAAACAAGGUCCUAAUAGCAAAUUAGGACUUUCAAAUUCCAAAUCACUAAUUUAUUAUUAAAAUAUCAUUCCUAACCAGCAAGGAAUUUGACCUUACAAUAAUCAGCAAUAUUUUGAAAAAAUAAAAUAAUAUGUAACAUCUCUAUAACCACUUCCCAACCCAUCCAUCUCCCUGAUCACCAACUAUCCCAUAUUUCCAUCUUUUUACAGCACUGACUAUUGCAAUUAAGCUCAUCAAUUCCCUUGGCAGUUUUUGGUUCUAGCCUAACUAUACCAAAGAAAUUGGGUUUAUGUUGAGCUUAAAGCACAUGUAAGAGUGUUUCUGUCAGUCUCAAAUAACUAAUUGACAUAUGACAUAAGUUUCACAACGCAACCUUGUAUCUGGUUAUUGUCAGCCAUUUACCAGCCUGAUUGCAUUAUUCUAUCUUAAAUGGAAGUUAAGUUGUAAAUGGUUUGUUUGCAAGCAGCAAUGAUUGAACGAAACCAAAAAAAAAGAUCAACUGAAGUCUCACUUCUUGAUAAGCCUUUGCCUCAGCAGAGUCGUCCAUCAGCUUUUGAACAUCUUCCAGACUAAUCUCAUUUUGAAUAGCUUUCAUUGCAUCACUUCCUGCCUUCAAGCUAUCAAAUACAGCUUUCUGCUUGCUCGCCAGUUCAAUAUCUGCCAACUAAAAGAAAAAUAUCACUGCCAGUAUCACACAACCCUUGGAGAAGAUAGCCAUACUUACAUCUCUGUUAGAGUACUUAAAAAUGAAAGAAUAUUGCAUGCAGAAUAAGAUGUACCACACUACUACUUUACAUACUUGUUGUUCGACGUUUAUAAGCCAAGCGUCAACUUUUUUCAAUAGCUCUUCUUGUGUUUUCUUCUUCUUAAGCGCAAUCAAUGCCCGAUCUUUCCUCUUCUCCCGAAUCAGAUCCCUUGCAGCUUGCUUUUCAGCUUCAAUCACGGCCUCAAGCUAAAAAGUAACAGAAAAGGCAGAAAUGAAACUCAUAAUCCAUGAAACAAUUAGACCCUUUUUCUUCAGAUAAGUCAAAAAAGGGACUUUCAUUCGGUACUUACCUUCAUGCUCACUGAAGAUUAACACAAAUUUAAAUACAAAGACCUGAUCAAAAGUUCACUGAAUACAAAGCAUUGUAUGGAGCUCUAGAGUAGUUUCAACCACGAACUCAAAUACUAGUUGUCACAAUGUGUUCUAACCGGUAUUCAUCGGUCAAACCAAGGACCACUAUCGGAUCAGUAUACUGCCUGAUGUACCAAAAUAUCAUACCGGUCCGGUGGAUGACAUUUACUGUCAGUAACAGACGGAGAGACUAUACCAACCAGUAUUUUACUGGGUUAACCAAGGACUAGUAUGAUGAUACCGAGCAUAUGGGUCAGUACAGCAGACCAAUAUGAUUGAUAGAAACCAGUAUCAUCCUGAGAUUUUAAUCCUUAGUUUCAACCAUAGCAGUAGGUUCACCCAUGAAGAAACAAUCCACAUUUUUGCUCAAGCAAGAGAAGUAUGUAAUUUAACCAAGAAUCAUAGAACAAUCCACAAUAUCAAUGCCUAUAUUUUGGGUUAUGUUCUUGUUUCCGGUAAUAGAACACAGUUGUUGGUUCUCCAAUUUGCAGUUGUCAUCUGUUCUCCCAUGUCUCUUAUUAUAUAGCCUGAAUGCCUAUUUUUGUAUCCUUUUUCUUACCGGUCCCAAAAGAAACCAGACGAGAAAAUGAAUUAGCUCCUAUAAUGAACAUGCAAAAUCUACAUAGUUCAUCAGAAAAGACUCAAGCAAGGACGCGAUAGAAUCAUCAACCAGACUCGCGCGAAGCGAGGAUGCCGACGACGAUCGACGUACUCUUCCUCGGUUGGAUCAGGAAACUCGUACAAAAAAAAGGGGAAAAUGACAGGAAAAAACCGCAGCUUCGGGGGCUAGGAGGGAGCCAACCUGCUCCUGGUACUGGGCGAGCUUGCGGCGCUGGGUCUUAAGGGAGAGGAUGGCGCGAUCCACCUCCGUAAUCUUGGGCUUCUUCACGAAUAUGUUCCCCAUCGACCUCCUCGUGCCACCGCUCGCCUCCCGAUCGAGGGAAGGAAGGCGCCGGCCGAGAUGCGACGUUACCUCUCGACGAGAAAGGGGGCGAAGAGGACGCAGAGAAAUAGGAGAGCCAAGCGGGGUUAGGGUUGGGACGAUCGGGGAGAAGGGUCGGCUUUGGGUCUCCGGUCGAAGGUGAUCUGUCUGUGUGUUUGCGGCCCGAGCGUUUAAGCAAACCGAGCCGAAGUUUUCGGUGGCAUGGGUUGGCGCCGCAGACCUGGCCAGAGGCGCCGGGAGGGUGGCCUAUGUGGUCUUGGUUCGGACUCUAGUUUGUUCGAACCACAGUAGGCCCCGAACGGGGUGGGGCGGGGUAGGGCGGAUAGCGCUUCCCGUCCCGUCCUAUUCCCCAUCCCACCAAAUUCCACAACGCGGGGGCGGGAAUUCCCGUCGCGGUAGAAAUUAUGUGGUUAUCCCUGUUCUUCUAAUUAAGUCAUUUUUUUAUUUUUAAAAAUAAAAUUAAUUAAUAAUAUCAAAUAUAUAAUAAAAUUUUCAUGCCAUAACAAUAUUCAAAUACAAAUAUAUCGAAAUAUAAAAAUAUGUUAAAUAAAACCACAAUCAAAUAAAUCUAAAUACAUCCAAAUAAAUCUAAAAAUUAAUAAUUUUCUAUAUUAGUCCUAGUUUUUCUAAUUUUCGUUCAUAUAUUUGUGUAACAUGAAUCCUGCAUAAAUAAAAAAUAUAUAAAGUGCCUAUUAUAAAAACUUAAAAAGAACUAUUGAUAAAAAAAGAGACAAAUGUCAAUUAGGAUUUUGAACUUUUAAUAAUUUUUUUAUUAUUUUAUUUAUUUUUAUAUAUUUUUUAAUCUAUUAAAAUUAAUAUAUUAUUAGUUUAGUCAUUAAUUAAAAAUGUUAGAGUUAAUGUAUUUUUAUGUUUAUAUUUUUUUUAUUAAUUAAUAUAUAUAAUAUAAUAAUAUAAUAAUAUAAUUGGAGCGAGGAGUACUCUAUCCUUCUCUACUCUAUAACCAUGCUCAUAAUAAAAAAUAUCUUAUAUCUUCAUUUAUUCCUUCAUAGUCAACAAUAAUAGAUGGUCCCAUAGAACAUUGUACUUACAAGCAUAGUUGACAUCUUUAUUCAGAAAGACUCGACUCACUAUAGUUUCUAAAUAUCAAAUAAGUAGUUAAGAAAUUAUAAUUUGGAGAGGUACAUUAAUAUUUAAAAUAAGAAAGAAAUUAGAAAAUUAUAUUAUUGAUAGAAAGAUCAAUAAAAUAUAUAUUUAUUUAGGUUAAUAAUAACUAACCUUGUAUAUUUGAGAUAUUUGUAUCAAUUGUGUUGACUUCAAAUGAGUCGAGUGAUAUUGUCAUACAAACAAAAUUCUUAAGUAUAUCGCGGAUUACUAUUUACUCUUAAUAAAUUUGACACUUUACUAAGUUCUUGAAAUUAUUUAUCAACUCAAGCAAUCUUUAUACUCCUUAAAUUAUUUUACAAUAUCUCAUAAUAAUUAUUUAGUGCUCUCGAUAUCGAAUCUAUUUAUGAUAGACUCGAUGAAGAACCAUAAUUAGAUUCAAAUAAUUCUUCAUGUUAGAUAAUCAAAUUUUAUGUUAACAAUUAUAAAAUAUGAAAUUCUUUUUAUUCAAUAAAUUAACUAGAAAAUUUUAAUGAUCAUGUUGAUGGGAGGAAUACAUCUAUGUCAUUUUGUCAAAGCAGGCGAUUUGUUUGGAAUUUGAUGUAAUUCAUUUGUAUUAUGGUGAUUACAGCUUGUGACAAAUGGAAAGAUUCUGAAAAAUAAAUUCUGAUGAUGAGAUUCGGAUGUGCAUGUGUUAGAUCUCUUAUGAAACUUAAUUAGAAUUGUCUUAUUUAAAUAGUGACUUUAACAUUUAGUAAAUAAAUUUGUGUCCAUGUAACUUGGAUGAUCAUAUUGUAAAAUAUACGAAUAAUAUCUCAAGUUAUUCCGUCUCUGCAGUUGCUAAAAUUCAAUUGCAUUUGAUUGCGUCAUACAUAUAUUAGAGAUCCAUGACAAAGUAUGAUGUCGUAAUUACAUAUUAAUUGCGUCAUACAAAAAGGAGAAACAUCGUUUAUGAGUUCUUAUAUUUGCUUUCAUAUCAAAUGCUUUAAGUACAUUAAAUUAUAUGCGACAUUGACACAUAAACACACAGUUUUUAUUUAUUUUAAGAAAAGAUAAAGUACAAAGUGACAAGUAAACAUGUAAACACCAUGUCAGUUUUUAUUUAUAUUUAUUAGGAACGCCAUAGGCGGACAUUCUUCGUGUCAUGCAUUAAGCUUCGGUGACGGCGACGUCUCGUGAUCAUGCGAUGGCACUGAGAUGGAGGUCGUCGUAGUAAACGACGUAGACGUCGUAGGCGACGACGAGCUUCGCGACUGAGGCCGUCACCGUCUCGGUCACCAGCUUCCCCCAAGCGUACUGGAACACCCCCGUCCCUCCCACGAUGGCCCGCUCCGACUUCCCGGACGCGUCCAGUCUCCCGAUCACCGUGAGAGUGCUGUUGACGAACUUCCCCGCCGUGAACACCAGCACCAGCGGUACCAGCAUCACCUCCUCCCGCAUUGAUACGUGGAAGCCCGCGCCCUGCACCCUUCCGAGGAAGGUGGAGCUUUCGUCGGGGCCGACCCUCAGCACGGUGUCGUAGAUCUCGAUGUUCCCGAAGGUGUAGGGGAGGCUCAUGUUCACCACGGUGACGGUGGUGUUGUCGGGACCGAUAAAGGUCUCGUGGAAGUAGACGCGGAAGUGGAUUCUCUUCUGGAUGCCGAGUUCGAACUCGGAGGUGACCGGGAAGGCCGUGGCAGCAGCCUGGAGGAGGAAGAAGACGAGGAGGAAGUAGAGAUGAGUGGAGCUGUGUGGGGAUGAAGCCAUGGCUAGGAUGACACAAGGAUCGAAGUGAGGUGGGUACAACGCUGGAUCAGGAACAUGUGUUUAUAGAGUAAUGUCUGCGCCAUGCGUCGUUGACAAAUACCAACUUUCAUAAACAUGUAAACACCAUGCCACACGGAGAUGGAAGAUGGAAGAUGGAAGUAAUAUAGAUAAUCUUGAGCAAUGAAGAUGGAUAACUGAGAGAUCGAUGAUAGUUGCAAGCAGUGGCCAAUGAGGAUAGUGUUGCGUCUUCUGCUAGUGUCAACUGGCCACAUGUAACUCAUGAAUUUGUCUUUUUCUUAACCAACCACAUCGUUCGAUGAUAGUUGCAAACGUUGACAUAAUGCAUGUCAACGUUUCCAUGUGAAUAACACCCACAUAAUCCUUCACCUAUCAAAGGUGUGAUCGGUUGACAAAGUUCAUCAUUAUUAUGUAAGGUACAUUUAUAUUAGAGGAUCGUCAAAUGCCAGUGCAUGUCAUGGUACUUUUCAAUGUGCAUAAUUGACACAAACUGUGUGGAAUCUCUCCCUCUUACUUGCCCCUUCACACAAUGCAUUUCUUUAUCAACAUAUGUUUGCUUCACCUGAGUCAACUGUUCAUGUGAUCCACACUAAAGCCUCCGUCGGUUCAGCAAAAUCGGCUAAUUGUCGUUACUUAAUGUUGAAAAUUGAUAACAAGUCUUUGUAAGACUAUCAAUUAAGAAUUUUGCACAUUUAGUCUCAAGUUGAUUAGAGAUUUAAAGAGUCAAUAGCUAAUGAAGAAUCAAAUAUCUUGAAAGGCAAAGAACCGGUCCUACUUAACAAUUUAUUAACAUUAAAAGAGCUCAAGAUUAAUGUUUUUUUUUAUUGAGGUAAAUAAUUUGUGAAAAAUAAGAGUAUUAUUUUAGACAAAAUAAGUAGUAAAAAAGAGGAUCAAAUUGAUUAACGAAACGUGGCAUGUCCACGAAUCUUAAAGCAUCAGAUUGCAUCAGUAACUAGCGACCACCAAAGCAGUCUCCACGGUGAGAAGGGGGAAAUGACGAUGUGAAGAAUCGCAGAGGCGGCUCUCCUCUUUGUCCUCCUCGGUGGCAACGAGCGCGAUUUGGUGAUCAAGGUCCGAUCACUUACGAUCCCUUCUCGUCCAAUUUUCCCAAUCUUGGUUAGAGUUUUAAUUUGAUGGAGUGCUUGACGCCGUCUUGUAGUUUUGAUGUCAAUUUCUUGGUGCGAUCUACUGUUCGAUCAGAAUCUUUGAUGGGUCCUAGCCGAUGAUCAUGCAACCUAGUUGCUCUAUGAUCAACGAAAACGAAACCUAAUAUUAUAGUUUCUUUUUCCUCUCAGUUUAGAUUCACUUCUUCCCCUUGAUCACGCAAGUAGUCGAAGCUUAACUGCAGGAAUUGUUCGAGUUUUUUUCACGUAUUUGAGCUUUUUGUGUCGUAACCUACUACGUUUUCUUGAUUUUAGACUGAACUAGGCUUUGCACUUGGUUGCUAUAUAUGCAUUCAAGAUAAUACUCUUGCCAUCAAAUCAUUGAAUUAUGUGGGGAUUAUUCAUCGAACAGAUUCCCUUUAAGUCGCAUAGUCUUUUGUUCCUUUCCCUGGUUCUGUUGCUUGUUGCAUAUCUUAAGUACAUUACUGUUUCCUAUGUCUGCAUCUCAUGUAUUUCACGUUAUCCAAGCAAGAAAUUUGUCAGAUGUGCAUGAUGUUCAACCAAUUGAUCUAAUAAACGCCAACUUUAUCUACACAUCAAUUGAAAGAAAAGAACAUCUUAUCAUUAUUCCAGUUUCACAGCUAGAAAGUAGUGAUGCAUCUGAAACUGUAGCUGUAUGUGAAAAUUUCGGCAAGUCAGGUAAAAGAAGUAAGUAUUAAGAAGGAAAUGUAUUGGUACCCCUUCCAAUAAGGAGAUAAUAGUUAAACAAGUUGCUAUCGAUUAAACUUAUGGGUCAUAUAAUUUAGACCUUUUUAGGUCUCGUCUACAUUGUUAGUUGUUAUCAAGGAAGUAACUAGCAAUUUAUUGUGAUUCAUGAAUUCCUUUGCAUAGGAUGGAUUUAAUAAUGUUGCAUGAGUAAGGCUUUCUGCAUUAUGGCAUGGCUCAUGUUGAUAAUAUGCGGGCACAUAAAAACUACUGUAAGGGUCUACUUACAGAACCUUAUAGGAAGAUGUUUUGGAUAAUGGCUACAUGCAAUUAGUGGUGUUAAGGAAGGGACCUAUUUUUGGGUUGAUUACAUUGUAACAUUGCAGUGCCUUUAAAUUAGUAAGCUGCAAUAUAGAGAUUAAUAAGGGAACGUUGUGUACUCUUCUGAACCAAAUGAUGUUGUAUUUCUUCUUAUUUGGAGGUUUCAAGUUUCUUGAUUGAGUUUCAUUUUGUUGUAGUCUUUAUCUAAAUUUGACUCUUAAAAACCUCGAGUAAUUUAGUGAAUGUUGUUGGAUAAUGCUUCAAUCAUAGUUGGUGUGUUGCCAUCUAUAAUUAACUCCAGAUGACUAGAAGACGGGAGGAACUAAAAGACAAUCAAGUAAAAUGUUGGUAAACAAAACUUAAUAGGUACAAAGGCAUUUUAGUUUUUAGGUUGUUCAUUUAGUUGAUGUCACAUGGAAUAUCAUGUCCACAUCCACAAACUAUGUUUGUUUGUAGAGAGUACCUGUGCCAUUUAUUAGAUUCUACCCAACUAUCAUGUGACAAUAACAAUAUAAAAGGUUGAUUUUUUUAAUAUAUAGCGUCCUCAGAUUUGUCCAAUGAUGCAACUCAAAUUAGAUGAUUUUUGGCGACUUGAAACUUCAAAUACGUCUGCUUGAGUACCAUGGGUGCCAGCAGCAUUAUCUAGGCCAGUUUCACAUCAAUUUUAAGAGUAGCUGGAUGAUGAUAAAUUAAACCAUAUCAUCAAGACUCCUGCUUCUGUGUAUUGUAGUUUUAUUGAUCCUGAUCUUCCAUUAGAAUUUUAAGACUCAUGCAUGCGAAUACAUCAGAACGUCCUUUAAUUGAUGAAUUCUUUACCUCUGUCUUGACGAGCAGUUUCACCAGGAAUCAAACUAAUGGUGCAUGGCCUGAAGAAUGUAUGGGGAUCAAUGCGUGCAGUAGUUUCCACAGCAUGUGAGUUUAUGGUACUAACAUCAAAAGGAGCCGCUGAUGAGAAUAUUGUAGAGCAAAGACUGCUCAAGGAGCUGUGCAAACAUGGCUUUUAAUAAAAUUGACUUGGAUAGGGAGUUUUCUUGGGCUAAAAGAUUAUGACCUGUAGCAGUCCAUGGAUGAGCUUUUUGGUUGUGUAUGAUGAAUAGAUUUUUGCCUUGAGAGCAGAGCUUCAGGUUCUCGUUAGCCUGUAACUCCUUGCUUCUUUUAUCACAUGCUUUAGUGAUCCUCGAUGCCUGCAAGAUUACUGAAACUAAUAUUUGAGAUUGGUAGCCCAAUUUUUUCUCUCUCCAGUGGGUAGUUCAUUUGGUACCCUAUGGACUCGGUAUCUUUCCUUGCUUAUCCCGUAGCAGCAGCGGAAAUUUUGGUAGGAGAAGCUUUAGAUUGACUUUGUUUUCUCCAGUUUGUGGUACAAAUAUCAUUAUCUGAUGUGGUGUCUCUUGAGAUUGAUGUGGCAGGUUCUAAAUCUUACCAGGUAUUAAAGGAUUGUGGAUGUUACUUUUUCUUCUUUUUGAUUCCGUUGAAAUCUUUUGGUAGGUUGUAACUCACAGACGGAGAUUGAGCCGCAGCAAAUUGACUUGAAGAGCAUCAUCAUGGCAGCAACUGGGCUUGGACUUGUUUGAGGGAAGGUCACUUGGACUGGUAUGCUACUUAGCCCAAUCCAAUUGUUUGGUUACCGCAAAGCUCACUGGUUCAACAGAGAUGCAUACUAUUUCACGAGGGAUUACCUUGUUUAACUUUUGCUCCUAAGCCAUACAACACCAACGCUAACAGCUGAAGAAGAAUAUUUGGGAGUCUCAAUUAGAUCUUACAGAUCGUGUUCUCCCCUUCUGCUGCUUAGGAGGAUGGCGACGAAGCUGAGGCCAGCGCAGCCGCCGGUGACGAGGUUGCCCUCGCGGACGAGGAUCUUGAGGGCGACGGCGCUGAUGUCGGCGGUGAUCCGCCGCCCCUCCAUCACCAGCGCCCGCCACGGCUUCCCGGCGAAGGCGAGCAGCACCAGGACGGUGCAGCACGUGACCAGCGUCGCUGGCACCGCCACCGGUAGCGCUGCCCCCACGGACAACAUCCCGAACAACUCUCCGUACUGAUUGUGUAAAUGUAAAGACAAAGUUUGAUUGAAGCUUAUUAACAUGUUCCCUGGGGGGAGGAUUUUCAGAGCAGUGAGAUUUCCUCGUGCAAUCGGAGAAAUCUUAUUUGCUAUCACAUACAGCACCGACGUAUACAACCUCGACGACCAUGAUGAUGAGGAGGACGAGGAGGAGGCGACGAUGUUGUACCAGGAAUGGAUGGCAAGGAGGAGGCCCCAGGAGCAAUGAAGGAGGAGGGUGUAGAAGAGGAGAAAGAGGUAGACCCAUGUCCGCCUCUUGUUCGUAACUCUGGUAUGUCCGCGGUCGCCCUUGGAUGCUUGUUUCUCAUGGCCAGUGCUGCAGUUGCUGUUGCAGAAGAAGUGGAUGUGUAGCAGAAGCAAAAGUAAGUCCAACUCUGCUUGUGUCUCUGAGUUUCCCACCUUAGUCAAGCCAGCUGAAUAGCCUACUCACUUUUUUUAAUUUUUAUUAUUGUUUUAUCAUUUUUUAGAUGAAUGAUAAUAUUUAUAUAUGAAAAGAUAUUUUAUCUCAUUAUUUUACUUAAUAUUUUAAUAUUUAUAUCGAUAUUGGACUAACGGGAGAUGCCUUGCUCGGAUAGAAUAUAUCUAAGGGGGGAUAUAUAUAACUGAUAAGGGUAAUAAUUGUAAUAAGACUCACGUGACAUCAGCUGCAUCAGGUGACGCAUCACGCCUCUGUUGACUUGAUGAGGCACCUGGUCAACGUGGAUCGGAACGCCUACCAAGGCGCAUUAACGCUCUGUUCAGGUUCGAUCCCUCACGCCACGCCAACGGCAACGUUAGACGCUACCAGAAGUACGGUCCCGCUCCCUGCGGGCCAGCACAUUAGACAACGGUAAUUAUCACUAUAAAAACCCUCGCACUCUGAAGGGAAAAAAAGGGGGGGAGGGAAGGGAGAAAUCCCCUAGGACCAUCCACUAACUUGAUCGUCAGAGGGAUCGGGUCGAGCUCCCCGACCCGACCUUUGUGUAGGUGCGAAGGCGGAGGUCGUCCACCAAAGGCGCAGGCGGGGGUUCCCUCCCGGUGAAAACAGCGACCUCGUCCCAAUCGGAACACCGUGAUCGGCCACCUUAGCAGUCGGGAGGAGCGUCCCAGGAAGAUCCCCGUCAUCCGGACCCGAACCAAACCGCGUCGGUCCCGAUGCCACGGCUUAAAGUUGUUCACACUAACACUAACAUUUCGAUGUUUGUAUUAUGUUGGGACAUUUUUUUUUCGGUGAGAUAGUGAGUUGAGUAUUUUUUAUCCGAUCAAAAAGUUAUUUGAUAUAUUUAUAUUAUUGGGAUCAAUAUAGUAUAGAUGGGUCUAAUUUCUCUUACAAAAAAGAAUACCAUGAUUUAAACAUUGGGACUGAAAAAAAAUCUUAUAAGAUGCAAAGUUCAAGCACUAUCUUGGGUGGUCAGGUUGGGAACUCAUUGGAAGCUCUAUUACCACCGAUUAUGUAAGGUUAAAUUAUUUAAUUAGAAAAUAUUUAUUUUGCAUGUCAUAUUGAUGCGAAACAUCAUUAUUUUCAAACUAAUUAUCUCCUAUUUAUAUCGAAUCCAGAUUAAUUAUCCAUUGAAUUGUACCUAAUUUAUAAGGAUUCGCUGAAGGUAAAAUAAGCUUGAGAUAAUAUAUGAGUUCCACCCUUAAAAGAGAUGAUGAUUGAGCAAUUAGUUUAUCCCUCUAACUAUGGAGUAGGUUGGGAAGUCGAUGAAGCUCGAAAGAGAGGAUCCUGAGCAAGCAAUCAACCAACCUCAGUGGUUCUUCACUGAAAGGAGGAAGCAACGUAAGCAACAUCUAUGGAUGAGAGCAUUUUUCAUAUUUUUAAUGGUGGAGAAUCCCCGUUGAUUUGAGUUGAAAGUGUCAACUAGAAAUAAUCAAUAGAUCAUGGUCGCUAAUAUCAAGUUAUCUCCGAUAACAUCAAAAUCUCACUUCAAUAAUAUCUUCCAUUGUAAGAAUCCAACCCACAACAAUUAAAUACAAGAAAUGUGAUAGGGAAAGAGAUCAACUUCAAAAUCUCUAUGAGAAUGAUCGUUAGAUUUAAUAUUAUACUGGAUAGUAAUUGUAAUACCCCAAUUAGAAGUGAUAUGGUGAUAAUUGUCCAUCAGGACUUCUUUUAUAUUCUCAUAAAACUUUUCAUUAACUCAAGCAAAGUUCUUCAUGAUGUAUCACAUGUUAUGAAUAGUAUAUAUAAAUAGGGGAUCGAUACAUGAACCACCAUAUAUUGGGAGGUACAUAUUACAUGACCCUAUAUUAGACAAUACAGGAUCUAUACCAAUUGGUAUUGAUUGAAAUCCAAUCAUUAUAAAUUUGUGCUGACAAUUAUAUUGGGAGGUUACAAUUGCUUUAUUUUAAAUGAUCAAUUUGAUUGUUUGAACUAUAGAGAAGGGGUUUUAAACCCUUUCUUCUCUCCUUUUUCUACCAAUUUCACUCAAUCUUUUCAACUCUUUCUCACUUAUAUCUUUUUCUCAUUGUCAUGUUUUCACUCUCUUAAACUCAUCAUAACUAUAAUUCAUGGAUUAGAACAAAUGUGAGAGGCUAAUUUAGAAGGAUUACAAGAAGAAUAUUUUGAUCGAGAGGUAUAUAUUAUCAUUCUAGAUUUUUAUUUAUAUAUGAGAUGAUUAAGCCUAUUCUAUGUUUAUUUAUACAAUUUGAUGGUGAUGUAUCUAGAGGAGCAAUCUUUUACACUUGUCAUCUAGAUUCAGGCUCGAUAAUGUACUAGUUAAAUUUACACUAUGCCAUAAUGGGGGUUGAGGAGGAGGAUGCGACAUGAUGACAUUUACUGAUGAGAGCUUCUUUCAUAUUCUUAAUAGUGGAGAAUCUCUCGUUGACUUGAGUUUAAAAUGUCAACAAUAAAGACUCCGCUAAUAUCAAGUUAUCUCUAAUAACAUCAAAAUCUCACUUCAAUAAUAUGUAAAAAUCCAACCCAAGACAAUCGAAUAUAAGAAAUGAGAUUGGAAGGAGUUUGACUUCAAAAUCUCUAUAGAAAUGAUGUUAGAUUUAAUACUAAACUAGAUAGUAAUUGUAACACCCCAAUUGGAAACAAUGUGGCAACAAUCAUUGGCAAGGGCUUCUUUCAUAUUCUUAAGGUGGAGAACCUCCUAUUAAAUCAAGUAAGAUUCAUUGUACCAUGAUAUACCAUCUGAGACAAAUGAUACAUAUCAUUCUGACAAGGGAUUAGCAUGCGAACAGUCAUAUAUCGGGUGGUACACAUUACAUGAUUCUAUAUCGGAUGAUACGUGAUCUAUACCGAUCGAUAACGAUUGAAAUUUAAUUAUUACUGACUUGUACCAAUCGGUAACAAUUGAAUUUUGAUCGUUAUCAAUCAAGAGCUAAGAUUGUCUUAUUUUAAAUGAUCAAUUUGACUAUUUAAACUAUAAAAAAUAUUUUUAUAUCCUUUCCUCUCCCCACUCUUUCAACCCAUUUCACUCGAUCUUUUUAACUUUUUCAAACUCUUCUCACUCACAUCUUUUAUCUCAUUCUUAUAUUUUUACUUUCUUAAACUCAACAAAGCUAUAAUUAUAUAUUAAAUCAAAUAUAAGAUGUUAAUUUGAGAGGAUUAAAAAGAAUAACACUUUAAUUAAGAUAUAUAUAUAUAUAUAUUUCUUUUUAAAUUUUAUAUUUAUAUAUAAGAUAAUUAAGCUUAUUCUAUGUGGUCAUGUCUAUACAAUUUUAUACUUGUCACCCAAGAUUUAGAUCAUGAAACUCGACGAAAUACUAGUUAAGUUUAUACACGGGAGGGAAGGGAAAAACAAUGGAUGAUUUUGAAUAGAUGUGAUAGAGUAUACAUGACAUAGAUAUAGAUCAAACCUCGUCAUAUUCACAACCAUUGUAUUGUGAAGAAUCUUAAGACUAAUAGUAGUAUGAUGAUAGUUGAUUAUUCUUUUCCAAGUAGUAGUAUGAUGAUCAAUCUUAUGAUAUAGAGCAACAGAUCAGUGACGAAAGUAAAAGUUUAAACAUUCAUAAUGCUCCAUACUAAUAUAUGUCAUAAUUGUCCUUGCCUCAGGAGCCAUCUACGUGGUUCAUGACGAUCAACUUAUAACCAUCACAACAUUGAUGUACCAUUAACAUACGAUGUAUGUAACACCCUACUUCUACCCUACAUGUAUAACUAAAAUAUGAUGUCAUAUUUUAAAUUUUUAUUACUGCUAUCAAUAGGAGAGUAGUGAAAGUAGAUAAUCUUAAAAUUAAAACAUGCUAACUUACUUAACAAAAUGAUAGGAUUUCUCCUAUAUAUAGUAUUUUGGACAUUUAUACAUAAUUAUAGCCUCUAACUAAGAGAAAAACAUAAAUAUAACAAGUCCAAAAUUUAUACACACAAAACACCUACAGAACAUCAUGCAUAUCUAAGCUGGUAUAGGCUUGCAUAUACUCACUGCUCUACCCAAUCACUUGGGUGGGGUAUUAGUAAUGAGUACACUCAAUAAGUAUAAGCCCUUAUAGCUUUAUUUAGGUAGCAUAUAUCAUAUCAUAUAUGUAAUAUUUUAAAAUUAUUGGCGUAAGACAUUUAAUGGAAAACUCCCUUAUCAUAUAACUUCUUUAGUAAACAUAAUCCCACAACAUAGCAUAUAUAAAAUAAAGAGUUAAAGUUCUACUUCAAAAUAAUUCAAAAUGCUUAUAUGCAAAUAUAGGAAGUAUAAUAAAUUCAUUGACUUCUAUGCCCUACAUCAUAAUAUAUAUUUGCAUUCCCAUAUCAUAUGUUAUUAUAAUAUAUACGUGCACUCUCACACUACACGUCAUAAUAUUUACAUACACUCCCACAUUAUACAUCAUAGCAUAUACGUGCAUUACAUAUCAUAAUAUAUUCGUGUACUCACGUACCAUACAUCAUAGAAAAUAUAUACACUCUCAUACCAUAUGUCAUCAUAUAUGUAUACGUAUAUGAUAUUUUUAUCAUAAUUCAUAUAUUUUUAGACUUACAAAAUAUAUACAUUCAUAUUUAACUAAUGCUUUGCUCAUGACAAUCCUAUCAUUCGAAAUAUAAUUUUUAAAUUGUAUUAUACAUAUGACACCAUUAUUUUAUAGUAAAUUAAACUUAUACUUAAUUAAACUUAAAAAUAAAGAUAUUAAUAAAAAAUCAAGUUCUUUAAUAGUCGAAUGUAUUAGGGAGUGAUACUCCUUGGAGCAAAAGGUCAUGAGAUGUUUUAAUUAAUAAUCCUACCUCUUGAAUUAUUGAUUUAUAAUAAUUUAUAAUAAUAAUUCAUAAAAAAAAAAUUGAUAAAAAUCUCUUAUAAAAUAAAUUAUACUCAUCCUAAUAAUAUAUGAAGUUAUUCCUUCUCCAUGGUAGCUAAAAUUCAAAUUGAAUUAGUGUCGAAAGAUUAGAGAUCCAUGGCAAAGUAUGAUGUCGUAAUUACAUAUUAAUUGCGUCAUACAAAAAGGUGAAACAUCGUUUGUGCGUUCUUAUAUUUGCUUCCAUGUAAAAUGCUUUAAUUACAUUAAAUUAUAUGUGACAUUGACACAUAAACACACAGUUUUUAUUUAUUUUAAGAAAAAGAUAAAGUACAAAGUGACAAGUAAUUAUAUGCGACAUUGGCACAUAAACACACAACAGAGAGAGAGAGAGAGAGAGAGAGAGAGAGAGAGGAUAUAUAUAUAUAUAUAUAUANNNNNNNNNNNNNNNNNNNNGAGAGAGAGAGAGAGAGAGAGAGAGAGAGAGAGAGGAUAUAUAUAUAUAUAUAUAUAUAUAAGGCGGAGAUUCUUCGUGUCAUGUAUUAAGCUUCGGUGACAUCUCGAAUCAUGCGAUGGCACUGUGAUGGAGGUCGUUGUAGUAGACGACGUAGACGUCGUAGGCGACGACGAGCUUCGCGACAGAGGACGUCACCGUCUCGGUCACCAGCUUCCCCCAUGCGUACUGGAACACCCCCGUCCCUCCCACGAUGGCCCGCUCCGAGUUCCCGGACGCGUCCAGUCUCCCGAUCACCGUGAGAGUGCUGUUGACGAACUUCCCCGCCGUGAACACCAGCACCAGCGGUACCAGCAUCACCUCCUCCUGCAUUGAUACGUGGAAGCCCGCGCCCUGCACCCUUCCGAGGAAGGUGGAGCUUUCGUCGGGGCCGACCCUCAGCACCGUGUCGUAGAUCUCGAUGUUCCCGAAGGUGUAGGGGAGGCUCAUGUUCACCACGGUGACGGUGGUGUUGUCGGGACCGAUAAAGGUCUCGUGGAAGUAGACGCGGAAGUGGAUUCUCUUCUGGAUGCCGAGUUCGAACUCGGAGGUGACCGGGAAGGCCGUGGCAGCAGCCAGGAGGAGGAAGAAGACGAGGAGGUGGUGGAAAAGAGAGGAGCUGUGUGGGGACGACGCCAUGACUAGGGUGGUGGAUGGACAAGGAACGUGAAGUGAGAAGUGAGAUGAGCACAACAAUAAGAGGGAAAGUGUCUUUAUAGAGCAUUGGCUUAUGGCUCUGUCAUCAUCAUACAUAUCAUAUUUAUCACAGGUAAGUAUGAUGUACACAUCAUCAUAUUAAUAUUUAAGAGAUUAAAAUUAAAUAAUAUUUUGAAUCCUUAAUAUUCGAUAAAUAAGUCUUUUAGAUGUAAGAAUAUCUCAAAUAAAUUUUUGAAUAAUCAACCUUUGAUAAGUGGAUCAUCAUUAUAUUUAUACACGGAAAUGAAUCAUUUACAAUUAAUUAGACUUUGACAUGUUAAACUCAAUCAAUUCAUGAACUAUUAUUGAAAAUAUUUAUGGGUAUACGAUUAGAAAAAUAAGCUUAUAUGACUAAGGAUUGAAAGAAUCAGAUAACAUAAUAGUUUAAGUCUUUGGAUUGAAUUAAUAUCUUACUUGAUAUAUAUAUUAACUCUGAUCAAUUUGAUUCAAACUCAUCAAUAGUCAUACAACUAUGACAUGAACAAGCUCUAAAUUGAAGAUUUAUCGGGCAAGCUUAUUGAACUCAUCCAAGAGUCUUAUGGGUGCUAUUCAAAACAAAAUUGGACAAUCGUAUCCUCAUUGAACUUGGAAGAAAUCGACUCGAGCCACGUUAAUUUAGAUAUUGAGGUUGGAUUCCCCUAGUUGGACAUCUUAGUCGAACCUCAAAGUCAAAAGUCAUUCCAUCUUCCAACUAGAGCAACAAGAAUUCGGAAAAAAAUAAUGAACCAAAUCGAGUCAAGUUCGCCGGAUCUAAGUUCGACCGAAUGGUGUAUUUGGAGUCCAUCCUUCCAAUGCGGGGGGAAGAAGAUGGCAUAAAAUGCAAUAAGCGAUGCAUAAUAACACCGGUGGACGCCCGGUGAUUACAGCAUACGGGCUCUCGAUCGGUAGGUGCCUCGCUCUCCGCCUUCAGCAAGCAACGUAGACGUACAGCGACGGCUCUCGGUCGGUAGGUGCCUCGAAUGCAGGUGUCGCUGGGGAGAUGGGUGAUGGAGGUCCAAAAGAUGAGGCCAUUGACAUGAUCGAUGUCGACUGUAAUCUUCUCAUCUUAGGACAAGAUCUUCCACCUCACGGUCUCGUACGUUGCAUGGUGGGUGAACGAGGAGGAAGCCAUCGAUCGGGCGUUGGUUUCCUCCGUACACUUAUCUUUUCUCCAUGCUGUAGCUGUCGGUGAUCACAUUUGUUGCAUGUGAUACACGUUUUCUUUUUUUUUUUUCACCUUUGUCGUGUACUCUAAUUCUGAAAGAACCAUCACUUUCUGAUCACUGUACAUGACUGUGAUUCUUGCACAGUCAUUGAUCUAUUUCUUCUAAUAAUUGACUAUGAUUCUUGCACAAGAGAACUCGUAAAGCAUGAAAAUUUGAUAUUAUUAAUUAAUUUUAAUAAUAAUUUUAUUUUUAAAGUAAACAAAUAAAUUAAAAGAAAAUGGAGAAUUGCAUAUUCUCCACUCUGUUGAUACCCCUAUUUACUUGAGAGGAGACCAAUGUAGUUUCUACAAUCAAGUCAAACUAGAGUCUAAAUCAAAACUAUGUAGACCUCCCUUCCAUCCCUCUAGCUAGGUCUCAUUCGGUGCCAACCGACACCAUCGAAACUUUAGCUCAGUUUGCUUAAAUGUUCAGCUAGUAAACAUACAAACAUAUCACUUUCCAUCAAUAUAAAAGUACAUAUAUAUAUUACAAUAAUAUGUGAUAUGAUAGUACACACAUAUGUUAUGAUAUAAGGCGUAGAAGAUCAUACAUUUUUUAGGCUUCCUACAUGUGCAUAUAAGUAUUUGAAUUAUUUCGAUAUAAAAUUUUACCAUCUUAUUGUAUAUAUAAUGUGUUGUAGGAUUAUUUAUACAUGCUAAAGAAUUUAUAGGAUGAUGUGUCUAUCAUUAAAUACUUUAUGUUAAGGAUUUUAAAAUAUUAUAUACAUGAAAUGAUGUGCUCACAUAAAUAAAACAAUAAAGACUUAUAUUUACUGAGUGAUUAAUCACCGUAGAUCAUAUUUUACAGAUAAAAAUAUUAGUAUCCCACUCAAGUGAUUGUAUAGGGAAGUAAGCACAUGUAAGCCCAUGCUAGCAUAGAUAUGAACGAUGAUUUUUCAACAUUUUAUGUAUAUAAAUUUUGGACAUAUUAUAUUUAUGUUUUUAUUUGGUUAAAUGAUAUAAUCAUGUAUUUAAAACAUUAUGGAUAGGGGAAACCCUAUUAUUUUGUUUAGUAAGUUAGCAUGUUUUAAUUUUAGGAUUGUCAACUUUCCAUUGUAGUCAUAUUGAUAUCAGUAAUUAAAAUUUAAAAUGUAACAUCCUAUAUUAAUUAUACAUGUAAGAUAUGGAAGAAACUAGAAGUAGAGUAUUACAUAUUCAAUGUUCUUGAUAUCGAAUCCAUCUAUGAUAGACUCGGUGAAAGGCUACAGUUACAUCCAAGUCAUCCUUUAAAGAAUCAAAAUAUAUAUUAACAAUUAUGAAAUGUGAAAGAUUUUUUAACUAAUAAAUUAACUAGAAAAAUUGAAUGAACGAAUGAAUGCCAUGUUUAUGGGAGGAAUAGGUACAUGUCAUUUUGUCAAGGCACGUGAUUUAUUUGGAAUUUAAUGUAACUUAUUCGCAUUAUGUUGAUUAUAGUUUGCGACAAAUGUAAAGAUUCCAUAUCAAAAAAUAAAUUCCGAUGUGCAUGUGUUAGAUCCCUUAUGAAACUUAAUUAUUUAUAGAGUGACUUUAACAUAUAGUAAAUAAGUUUGUAUCUAUGUAACUUGGAUGAUCAUAUUGUGAAAUAUACAAAUAAUAUCUCAAGUUAUUCCUUCUCCGUAGUAGCUAAAUUUCAACUACAUUUGGUGUCGAAAGAUUAGAGAUCCAUGACAAAGUAUGAUGUUGUAAUUACAUAUUAAUUGCGUGAUAGAAAAAGGUGAAACAUCGUUUGUGUGUUCUCAUAUUGCUUCCUUGUCCGAUAAUUUAAUCGCAUUAAAUUAUAAGCGACAUUGAUAGGUUGAUGUUCACAAAAACACACAACACUAACAUUAUGACCCAUCGACCAUUUUGUACCCACUUGAUUCAGUUUUUAGAAUUAUAUUUGUCUGUUUCCAAAAAAAAAUAUUUCUUUAUGUAGUACGAAGUAUUUUUUUGAAUUAUAGUAUAUUAUAGUGAAAUUUUUGACAGAUAAGCUCACUCUACAGGAGAUGAGAUUUUUACCUCAUAACACUCAUCGCUUAAUUCUUUCCAAGUAAUUAGAUCCUUUUCAUCAAAGCAUUCAUAAUCUUUUAUAUAUAUAUAUAUAUAUUAUUGAAUUGAGCUGUACAAUAUUAUUUUAGUUGAUCUUAUUAACAACUUUAUAGUGUGGUCCGAUGCAUAAUACUGCUACUAAUCCUAAAUAGGAGAAGAAUAAAUUUACUAUAGUCAUAUAUACCUACAGCUAUGAAAAAUAAAGCAUGUCACCGUACUGUGCUGCAAAAUAUCGAGGUUUGUAAAAGCUUUUCUUUCUCAAUAAUAAGAAGCUUUUCUUUAUUUUAAGAUAAAGAUGGAAGUACAAAGUGACACGUAGAAUAGCAUUUAUUUCAGCCUUUUGUUUUGUCCUUAUUCCAACCGCUGUCUUCAUGGAGUGACACCAUAGCCGGAGUUCUUUUUGUCGUGUAUUAAGCGUCGGUGACGGCAAGGUCUCGCAAUCAUGGGCUGGCACUGCGACCGACGUCGGUGUAGUAGAUGACGUAGACGUCGAAGGCGGCGACGAGGCCCUCGACGGAGGACGUCACCAGCUCGCUCGCCAGCUUUCCCCAUGCGUACUGGAACACCCCCGUUCCACCCACGAUGGCCCGCUCCGCUUUCCCGGACGCGUCCAGUCUACCGAUCGCCGUGAGUGUGCUGUCGGCGAACUCCCCCGCCGUGAACACCAGUACCAGCGGUAUCAGAGACGCCUCCUCCUGCUGCGACAUGUGGAAGCCCGCGCCCUGCGCCCUUCCGACGACCGUCGAGCUAGCGUCGGAGCCGACCCUCAGCACGGCGUCGAAGAUGUCGAUGUCCCCGAAGGUGUAGGGGAGGCUCAUGUUCACCACGGUGACGGUGGUGUUGUCGGGGCCGAGAAAGGUCUCGUGGAAGUAGACGCGGAAGUGGAUUCUCUUCUGGAUGCCGAGUUCGAACUCGGAGGUGACGGGGAAGGCCGUGGCAGCAGCGAAGAGGAGGAAGAAGACGAGGAGGUGGUGGAUAGGAGAGGAGCUGUGUGGGGACGAAGCCAUGACUGGGGUGGUGGAUGGACAAGGAACGUGUUAUACUUGGCAAAGAUUGACAAGUGAGAGGAGCACAAGGCUGGAGGAGGGAGAGCGUAUUUAUAGAGUAUUGGCUAUGUCAUCGUCGUGCAUAUAUCAUAUCUAUCAUAUUAGACGAUAUUUUAGACUCUCUUAAAAAGGUAAGUAUGUAAGCAUCAUCAUAAUAAUAUUUUAGAGAUUAACAUUAGAAAGGAUUUCAAAUCCUCAAUUCAAAGUUGAGUCUUUUAGAUGUAAGAAUACCUCAAACAAAAUUUUUGAAUCAUCAAACAAUAAGUGAAUUUUCAUCAUGUUCAAAGAUUAAAAUGAAUCAUAUACAAUUAAUGAGACUUAGCAUGAUAAAUUUAAGUAAUUAUUAUUGAAAAUAUUUAUGCAUGUGAGAUAAAAAAAGAUGAGCGAAAAGUAAUAUAUGACUAAAGAUUGAAGGAAUCAGAGUACAGAAAGUCGGUUUGACAAGUAACACCACGUUUAGCCUUCCUCUUGAACGCCGGUCUCGUUCCAAAAUCGCCGGACGGACCACUUCGCUCUCCGCCGACAACACGCAACGUGUAGCUUCGCUGGGAUACGGGUGAUGCAGGUCAAAGAAGAUGAAGCCAUCGACAUGAACGAUGUGGACUGUAAUCGUCUCCAUCCUCGUCUUCUCAUCUUAGGACUAUAUCUUCCACCACACCGAAUCAUUCGUUGUAUGGUAGGUGAACAAGGAGGAAAGCCAUCAUCCAUGGGACUGCUUUUGGUUGGUUAAUCCUCACACUAGCUUCUCUCGAUGCUGUACCUGAUGGUGAGGCUUCUUGUGCACGUUUUGUUUCCAAAAAAUCUGUCUAUUUUGUUGAGAAAAUAUUUUCAUCUUAAUCAGUAUAAAUAGGGGGAAAAUAGCUUCAAUGUAAAACAGUUUUUUCAAUAAUUCUUCUUGUCUUCUAUUCUUUCCAACAUGAUAUCAGAGCAAGUGAGAAGAGCGAGACUCCAUGGCCAUCGAAGCCUGUUAUUCACCACAUCUCUUACCUUUGUAGAGCAGAGAAGGGGGUGAACUCUUUUCCAUCGGACUCGCUUCCCUGUCGGACUCCCCUCUCCGUCCGCUGAUACCCCAGUCGCUGUCGUGACCACACCCGGCAUCGCAAUCAUGUGCGACCACAACAACGAGGGCCUGUUUUGGUGCGACUGGCUACUCGCCCUCGGCAGUGGAUCCCUCUCCAACCCUGUCCGCUCCUUCCCUCUUCUCCUCCAUGCGGCUUUCUUCUUCAUCGGCGUCGCCUGCACCGACCCUAAGCUCGGGUUAUCUACCGCCAUAUCAUCAUCUUCAUCAGGUUGUGAUCUAUAUCAAUCGCAGCCUGCUGCCUCGGUGUCAACUGUCGAUCCUUAGCUCCUACUAAGAGCUAAUCGCUACAGCUUCCUCCUACUGCAGCUUCCUCAUGUUGCAGCAUCGUUGUAGCUUCCUCCUCUGUUGCAGCAUCGUUGCGGCUUCCUCCUCUGUUGUAGUUUCUGCUGUAGCUUUCUCCUAUGCUGGAGCAUUGCUGCAACUACCUCCUUUGCUCCGACUUCCUCCUUUAUUACAUCUAUGCUGCAGCUACCUCUUCUACUAUAGCUUCCUCCUCUAUUGUAGCAUUACUACAGCAUCGCUGCAGCUUUCUCCUAUACUGUAGCUUCCUCCUCUUCUGUAGAAUCACUGCAGAUUCCUCCUCUGCUAUAGCAUCGUUGCAGCUACCUCCUCUUCUGCAUCUACCUCCUCUACUGUAGCAUGAUAGCAGAUAAGAUUUCUCUAACUAUAUGAGAAAAUCUAGAGUUGAGAGAAAUCCUCCCUCUUAAUCUGUAUAAAUAGGGAGAGAAUACCUUCAAUGUAAAAUAGUUUCUUCAAUAAUUCUUCUUGUCUUCUAUUCUUCCCAACAGAUAAAAAGGGAUGUGGACGAGGCCAUCAAAAGGAACACACGUCAUUUAUGAUUACUGCUCGCUGCUCUUUGUUACUCGCCGAUGUCCUCAUCCAUCAGUAUGAACUGGAUGAGAGAAUAAUAUUCAAAAUACUCAGUUAAUAUUUUUCUUACUAACAGGAGUUUCUAUAGCUCAUGAUUCAUAACUUUAUUUUUGUCCCUUGUAUAAGAGCUGAUUUAAGUUUCUGUAUAGUUUUAUCAAUCGUGUUUUUUAUGCUAGUUUUACUUAUGACGCUGAAUGGCUUAUCUUAAUUACUAAUUGAGCAUUCAUCUCAUUAAGCAUUUAAUUAGAUGACACAGGGCACAUGCUCACGGUCACUUAUGGCUCCUCUUGCCAUCCUUCACGUGCAUGAUAUAUAUAUAUAUAUAUAUNNNNNNNNNNNNNNNNNNNNNNNNNNNNNNNNNNNNNNNNNNNNNNNNNNNNNNNNNNNNNNNNNNNNNNNNNNNNNNNNNNNNNNNNNNNNNNNNNNNNNNNNNNNNNNNNNNNNNNNNNNNNNNNNNNNNNNNNNNNNNNNNNNNNNNNNNNNNNNNNNNNNNNNNNNNNNNNNNNNNNNNNNNNNNNNNNNNNNNNNNNNNNNNNNNNNNNNNNNNNNNNNNNNNNNNNNNNNNNNNNNNNNNNNNNNNNNNNNNNNNNNNNNNNNNNNNUUGGACGUCACCAGUUUGCUCACCAUGUUCCCCCACGCGAACUGGAACACCCCAGUCCCUCCCACGAUGGCCCGGUCCGCCUUCCCGGAGGUGUCCAUCCUCCCUAUCAACGUGAGCGUGCUGUCGCAGAAGUCCCCGGCCGUGAACACCAGCACCAGCGGUAUCAGCGACGACUCGUCCCGCUGCGACGCGUGGAAGCUCACGCCCUGCGCCCUCCCGACUUCAGUCGAACGCUUGGAGGGGCCGGUCCUCAGCACGGCGUCGAAGAUGUCGACGUCCCCGAAGGUGUUGGGGAGGCUCAUGUUCACCACGGUGACGGUGGUGUUGUCGGGGCCGAGAAAGGUCUCGUGGAAGUAGACGCGGAAGUGGAUUCUGCUCUGCCGGCCGAGUUCGAACUCGGAGGUUACCGGGAAGGCUGUGGCAGCAGCCAGGAGGAGGAAGAAGACAAGGAGGAAGUAGAGAUGAGAGGAGCUGUGUGGGGAUGAAGCCAUGGCUAGGAUGACCGAAGGAUCGAAUUGAGGUGGGUACAACGCUGGAUCAGGAACAUGUAUUUAUAGAGUAAUGUCUGUGCCAUGCGUCGUCAACAAAAGCCAACUUCCAACCAAAUCUCAUUAUCAUGUCUACAUAAAAAACCCAAACGAAUAUUACUCUUGCAGGCGAAGGUCUCAGCGUAGGGAAGAAGAUAGCAUAUGGUAACACGAUGUACACACCAUAUAGUCUUCUCCAUAUAUAUAUAUAUAUAUAUAUAUAUAUAUAUAUGAUGUCGAGCAAUGGAGAUGGGUAACUGAGAGAUGGAGGGAUGAUAGUUGCAAGCAAUGGGCGAUGAGGAUAGUGUUGCGUCUUCUGCAAGUGCCAACUGGCCACCUGUAGCUCGUCAAUUUGCUUGUUAAUUAACGAACCACAUUGGCAACGCUAUCUUUCUUAAUGUGUUUCACCACAGAUGUACGCGGUUGGCUGAUGGCUGUCGCUCCCGUUUGUUCGCAUCUUCGGUUGUUGACAUGUGGAAAUGAAGUGUCGGUUCCCAUGCGUGAUCGGUACCUCACCACUCCACUUCAAGUCGCGACGUAAUUAAUGACCGACGGUGCGAUGCAAAACCUUCACUCGCCAAUCAAGUCAUUCGUGACUCAUGUGGGGCCAUUAACCAUCUUUUUGCUCUACAGUAAUCAAAGAAAAGCUCACAUGAUGUGUUCUCAUAUCAGCAUACAAAUGAAUUUUAUGUGACUUUUAAUAUACAUACAUAUUCUCUCCUGUCAAAACAUAUCCUAAACUCAUGUUUAUUUUUACCAUUAUAUAUAUCAUCACGAGACCAAAAGACAAAAAGGCAUGGGAUAACAUAACGCAUGUCAAUGUUUCCAUGUGAAUCACGCCUACAGAAUCCUUCACCUACCGAAGGUGUGGUUGGUUGUCAAAGUUCAUCAUUAUUAUGUAAGGGACAUUUUUCUCAGCAUAUCGUCAAAUGCCAGCGCAUGACGUGUUACCUUUCAAAGUGCAUAGUUGACCCAUUCCGCGUGUAAUGUCUCCUACUUAGUUGUCCCUUCACGCAAUGCAUUUCUUUAUCAGUAUACGUAUACUUCACCUGUUCAUAGCAUCCAUAUUAAAGCUUAUGUAGGUGCAGCGAAAUUAGUUAAUCGUCUAUAAAUAGGAUAGAAAUGGAUAACAAGUCUUAUUAAAGCCAUUAAUUAAGAAUUUAGAAUAGAGAUAGUAUCAUAUUUGAUUUCACAUUGAUCAGAGACUUAGAGAAUCAAUACCUAAUACCUAAUAAAGAGUCAAAUACAAAUUUUCGUUUUUUGACAGACAACUUUUGGGAUCCACCUUAGGAAAGGAAAGAUCAUGUGGUCCCGCUUAACAAUUUAUGAUUCAAAAGAGCUCGUGAUUGAAUAGUUUGUGAAAAUAAGAAUAUUAUUUGGAUAAAAAUAAAUAGUAAAAAAAGGAUCAAAUGAUAUAUGGACACGUGGCAUAUUCACCGAUCUUUAAAGCAGCCGAUCGCACGAGUAGUAAGAACUACCAAAGCUCUCUCCACGAUGAGAAAGGGCAACGAAGGCGGGGGAGUGACGAUGUGAAAGAAUCAUAAAGACGAUUGUUAGCAACCCUUGUGGUCGAGGUGCCAGCGUGGUUCGAUCCAAUCCUAAAUGCGCUUGUCCACGUAGAUGCUCGAGUGAUGGAAGUGAGCAUUAUGUCGUGUUGAGUUUGAGCCUCGUCUAUCUCAAUAUAGUUUCUCUCUUGGUGAGUGGCCUGCUUAUUUAUCACCGGACACAGGUUAGGGUCGAGAGGAAGAUUUUUUGAUUUGACCCUUGCGAAAGUUAAAUUAGUGUUGGGUGAAGUAAGAGGGAGUUAAAUGCUCAAAGUUCUUCCCAUGAUGUCAAUUAUUGGGUUGACUUUUAUACAUGCGAACAAAGUUCUUCACUGCUUCAGUAUGAUAUUCGAUUUAUAGAUGAAAGGUUAUGUUUUUCUUCAGCUUCAUGUUGCUCAUGGUCCAAAGUGAACUUGCUAAAAGAAAAAACACUGUCAUGAUUAUGAUGGAAUAAUAUUUCAAACACUUAGAUUUUUAAUAUAAAAUUGUAUGUAUCUAAGAGCUGGUUGGAGAAUUGUAUAAGAUAUGUCUAUAGUUCAACGAGUUCUGAUAUUUUUGGAGUUUGUUGCAAUAGGAUUUUAUUCGUAAUAUUAAUAAACGAGAUCGAAUAAUUCUUUUUAUUUUAGCCUUAUUAUUUAUUCUGCAGACGUAAAGCAAGAUAAACAUUGUUAGCUCUUAUUUAAUUGCUGUAGCUUUCGUUAUCGUGUCUCGGAUCACGCGAUGGAAGUGAGACGGACGUCGUUAUGGUACAUGACGUAGACCACGAAGGCGACGACGAGUCCUGCGACAUCGGACGUCACCUGCUUGCUCACCACGUUCCCCGACGCGAACUGGAACACCCCCGUCCCUCCCACGAUGGCCUGGUCCGCCUUCCCGGACGCGUCCAUCCUUCCGAUCACCGUGAGCGUGCUGUCGCAGAAGUUUCCCGCCGUGAACACCAGCACCAGCGGUAUCAGCGACGACUCGUCCCGCUGCGACACGUGGAAGCUCACGCCCUGCGCCCUUCCGACUUCAGUCGACCACUUGGAGGGGCCGAUCCUCAGCACGGCGUCGAAGAUGUCGACGUCCCCGAAGGUGUAGGGGAGGCUCAUGUUCACCACGGUGACGGUGGUGUUGUCGGGCCCGAGAAAGGUCUCAUGGAAGUAGACGCGGAAGUGGAUUCUCUUCUGGAUGCCGAGUUCGAACUCGGAGGUGACGGGUAAGGCCGUGGCAGCCGCAAGGAGGGGGAAGAGGACGAGGAGUAAGUAGAGAUGAGAGGAGCUGUGUGGGGAUGAAGCCAUGGCUUUGAUGAUGUUGUGGGAAACAACCUGGGAGCAGUGGCCUCGGGGCCGACGCGACUCAGUUCGAGUCCGAACGACGAGGAUCUUUGCUCGAGGUCUCUCGGGAUUGUCGGAGUGACCGACCGUGCGGACCAGACCACCGUUGGGUUCGUCGGGAUGUCUAGGGGGGAAGGCGUCCUCUCCUUGCGCCCCGGGGAAAUAGCUUCAUCUCCUUACCUGCACACAGGUCGGGUCGGAAGCUCGGCCCGACCCCUCCGACGAUCAAGUUAGUGGAUGUGGAGGGGGUUUAAGAAGAAGAAGUAUUUUUUGUGUCCCUCUUUGGUGUGUUCUCCCCUCCCCCCCUCUCCUGAUGAACGAGAGGGUAUUUAUAGGGAGGCUUAUUGUUUCUCGAUGUGUCCGCUUGCAGGGGGCAGGCUGGUUGUGUCUGACAUUGGUUUGGCGUGACGUGAAGAACCGAGCCUGAGUAGGUGUUAAUGCGCCUUGGCCUAUGUUCCGAUCCGUUUGAUCGGGUGUCGUCGCGUCGUCCGAGGCAUGAGGUGUCAUCUGACGUCAGUCAGGUCUUAUUAUAAUUAAUAUCCUCAUCAUGACAAAAUGAUCGAAGUUAGGUGGGCACAACGCUCGAAAAGGACAUGUAUUUAUAGAAGAGGCGUUGCCAAGCGUCGUCAACAAAUGUCAACUUCCAACUACCGCAAUUAUCAUGUCUGCGAAGGAAGAAGAUGGAUGUUUGGCCUUCCCGGUGAAUGCAUCCUUCAACUCAGAGAUGGAAGAUGGUUCCCGAGUGUGAUCGGUGCGUCUCGUGCAUUUAUUAUAGAGGAUCGUCAUAUGCCUUGUUCGCUUUCAAUGUAAAUAAUUGACCCAAUCCGCGCGCAAUCUAAACCACAUAGUGGGCCCAUCACACAAUGCAUUUCUUUCUCAAGAUGUGUUUGCUUCACCUAUUUCAACUGUUUAUGCGGUCCACAUUAAAACUUCUGUCGGUUCUGCAAAAUUGGCUAAUUAUCGCUUCUUAAUGUUGAAAAUUUAUAACAAGUGUGUGUAAGACUCUCGAUUAAAAAUUUUAAACAUAUUUAGUCCCAAAUUGAUUAGAGUCAAUACCUAAUCAAAUACGAAAAGAUCAUCCCUCCACUCCUACUUAACAAUUUAUUAACAUUAAAAGAGUUCAAGAUUAAUAUUUUUUGAUUGACGUAAAUAAUUUGUGAAAAAUAAAGGUAUUAUUUUGAAUAAAAUAAAUAGUAAAAAAAGGAUCAAAUUGAUUAUGGAAACGUCACAUUUUCACGAAUCAUAAAGCAGCAGACUGCAUCAGUAAGUAAUAUAUAAUUUUGGAUAAAAAUAAAUACUAAAAAAGAUGAAGGGGGAAAUGACGAUGUGAAGAAUCCACAGAGGUGGCUCUCCUCUCUGUCCUCUUCGGUAGCAACAAGCACGAUAUGGUGAUCAAGGCCCGAUCUCUUACUAUUCCUUCUCGUCCAAUUUUCCCAAUCUUGGUUAGAGUUUUAAUUUGAUGGAGUGCUUGACGCCGUCUUGUAGUUUUUUGAUGUCAAAUUCUUGGUUCGAUCUACUGUUCGAUCAAAAUCUUUGAUGGUCCUAUAAACUAGUUGCUCUAUGAUCAACAAAAAUAUUAGGGAUAAUCCUAAUAUUUUAGUAUUUGAUAGGGAUAAUCCUAACACUUGCCAGCUCUUUCAUCAUAUAGGUUAAAGAAGCAACACCUAAGCAUCAGCAUGGGAGUCACCUGCUCCCUGCAACCGCUAGCAUAUAAACUCAUCUAGUUUGAGUUGCAUCACGGGAUAAAUCUGAGGAAUCUAUAUAUUAAAAAAAUCCACCCUUUAUAUUGUUAUUGUCAUAUGAUAUUGGGGUAGAAUCUAAUAAAUGACACAGUUACUCUACAUACACACACACUUAUAUAUAGUCUUAUAGAUGUGGACAUGUGACAUCAACUAAAUGAGCAAUCUAAAAACUAAAAUGCAUUUGUACCUAUUAAGUUUUGUUUUCCAACAUAUAACUUAAUUUAAGAGGGCAAUGCACCAGUUAUGAUUCAAGUAUUAUUCAACAACAUUCACUAAAUCACUCGAGGUUUUAAGAGUCAAAUUUAGAUAAGGACCAGGACAAAAUGAAACUCAAUCAUGAAAAUUAAAACUUCUAAAUAGGAAGAAAUACAAUAUCAUUUUGUUCAGAUAAGUACACAACAUUCCCGUAUUAAUCUCUAUAUUGUAGCCUACUAAUUUAAAGGCACUGUAAGAUUACAAUGUAAUCAACCUAAAAAUAGGCCCCUUCCUCAGCGUCACCAAUUGCAUGUAGCCAUCAUCUAAAACGUCGUCUUAUAUGGUUCUGUAAGAAGACUCUUAUAGAAGUUUUUAUGUGCCCACAUAUUAUCAACAUGGGCCGUGCCACAAUGCAGAAAGCCUUACUCAUGCAACAUUAUUAAAUCAUUCAUAUCCAAAGGAAUUCAUGAAUCACAAUAAAUAGCUACUAACCUCCUUGAUAACAACUAACAAUGUAGAGGAGACCUAAAAAGGUCUAAAUUAUAAGACCCAUAAGUUUAAUCGAUGACAACUUGUUUCUUAAGCACCAUCGUGCGAGUCACUUAUUUCCUAAUAAGUGAUGUGAUUUUUAGAAAGUAAAUAAUAUACAAUCCUUUUUCGUGUGUGAAUAAUAACGAAUGAAUAUUAUAUUUCUAUCUUUAUAUGUGAAAAUAAAAUAAAAUUAAAUUUAAAAUAAUAAUUAAAUAUUUACUAAUUUUUAGGGAGAUUUCAUCUUCUUCUAUAUAAACUAGCUCCCCCUUCCUCAUUCCACACCGAGCAAAAUAAAAGUAUUGAAGAAAAGAUAUUUCAAGAAGAUGAUUUUGAGGUGAGGUAAGAUCCUCUAUUCUUUUCUAAUCAAAUUUUAUUCAUAUUUUAAAAUCUUUAAUAUUAAAAGAUUUUCUAUUCUAUUCUAAUCAGUUUUGAUUCAUAUUUUGAAAUCCUUGAUAUUAAAAUUGUUGUGAUCGUAUGAUGCAUAAUAAUAUUUUAAUUUUAAAAUUUUAUAAUUAAUAAAUAAUGAUAAUUGAUUUAUAAUGUUAGAAUGAUUAUUUGAUUUAUAAUGAUCUUUUAAACUUAAGUAACUUUUAAGAUUGAUUUAAUUAUUAAAACUUUUAUUAUUUUAGAUUAAUAUAAUAGUUUUAAUUUAUUUAGUUAUAUAUAUUUAUAUUUUAAGAAUUAGCUAUAAAUUUGAAUGACUUAAUUAGUUUUAAAUUUAAGAUUAUGAAUUUAAAAUUUUUAAUUUAUGAAUUUAAAAUAUUUUUUUAAUAAUUUAAAAUAUUAAAAAAUUUGAUAAGAUGAGCCAGUCUGACUUGAGGUAGGUUGAUCUGUCAAAUUGAGUCAAUCCAACUCUUAUAUCAUAUUUAUCAUAAUUUAUAUUAUUUUUAGAUUUAUAAAAUAUAUAAAUAUAUAUUUAGCUCAUACUUAACUCAUGACAAUCAUAUUAUUCUAAACAUACUUUCUAAAAUAUAUUAUACAUAUAAUAAGAUAUAUGACUAUUAUUAUAUAGUAAAUUAAAUUUAUACUUAUCAGAUUAAAUUUAAAAAUAAAGAUAUUAAUAAAAAAAUAUGUUCCUUAAUGAUUGAGUGUGCUGAAGAGCAAUAGACCUACCAAACUACGAGCAAAAGGUUAUGAGAUGCUUUAAUUAAGAAUCUUGCAUCUUCAAUUAUUGAUUUAUAGUAUUUUAUAAUAAUAAUUCAUUACAAAAAUAUUUUUUAUAAAUUAAGUUAUACUCAACCUAUCAAUAUCUCAAGUUAUUCCUGAUAGGGGAGUCACCGUGGAGUCAACGGGGAUACGGACCAUGACGCCAGCCAUCCCAUGGUGGGACAAUCAAAGUGACUCCCCUCAGGAAGUGAUGGCGACGCGACAUAACAUGACACCCUCUGCGCGUGGGCCGCACCCUGCCCAAGUGAACGGGCAUUAACGCUGACUCGACGUUCCCAACGUCACCCCCUCAACCAACGACUCCCUCGCCCAUACCCUGCGACACGAUGGUCCGCCACGCAACCCUAAUGGCAAUGUCAAAUCCAGCCAGAGGCACGACCCUAUUCUGACAAGUAGGAACAUCAGGUAAUGUCAGACCCAAACUAUAAAAGAGUCCAGGGCCUAAAGGCCAAAGGGGAGAACUCUACACAGAAAAAAGCCCUUCUCGCCCACUAAUUGGAUCGUCGGAGGGGUUGGGCCAUCAGGACGGCCCGACCUUUGUGCAGGUACACGGCGGCCGACCACCGGGGAUUUGCAGCCGGCCAUCUCUGAAGGCCACCCGCCGAUCGGGUUUGCCCCGAGCGCUCACCCAAAAGGCGUCAAGAGGCUCUACCCAUGAUCUUCGGCAUCCGGACCCCUGAACCGAGCCUUAUCGUCCCGAGAUCACGGCUCAAGCAGGUGCAGACCGCAUCAAUUCCUUGUCCGUAGUAGCUAAAAUUCAACUAUAUUUAGUAUCCAAAGAUUAGAGAUCCAUGAUAAAGUAUGAUGUCAGUAAUUAUGUAUUAAUUGCGUGAUAAAAAAGGUGAAACAUCGUUUGUCCAUUCUCAUAUUUGCUUCCAUGUCCAAUGCUUUAAUUACAUUAUAUUAUAUGCGACAUCGACACGGUCUCAUGUUCACAGAAACACACAACACUAACAAUAUGAUCCAUCGACCAUUUUGUACCCACUUGUUUCAGUUUUCUUUGUGUGUUUCCAGAAAAAAAAAGGCUUUAUGUAGAACGAAGUUUGAUAAUUUUUUAGAAUUAUAGUAGAUUAUAAUGAAAAAAUUGACAGAUAACCUAUCCUUAAUGUCACUCUACAGGAUAUGAGUUUUAUACCACAUAAUACUCCUCGUUUAAUUCUUUCCAAGUAAUUAGAUCUUUUUCUUCAUUCAAGAAUUUUAUAUGAUGCAUAAAAGCAUUCAUGAAUUUUAUAUAUAUAUAUAUAUAUAUAUAUAUAUAUAUAUAUAUAUACUUUAUUUUAUUAUAUUGAGUUUGGCUGUACAAUAUUAUUUUAGUUGAUCUUAUUAACCACUUUACAGUGUGGUCCGAUGCACUACGAAUUCUAAAUAGGAGAAGAAUUGAUUUACUACAGUCAUAUAUACCUAAAAAAUAAAACAUGUCACCGUACUUUGCUGCCAAAUAUCGACGUUUGUAAAACCUUUUCUUUCUCAAUAAUAAGAAGCUUUAAUUUAUUUUAAGAGAAAGAUGAAGAACAAAGUGACACGUAGAAUAGCAUUUAGUUCAGCCUUUUGUUUUGUCCUUAUUCCAAUUACUGUCUUCGUGGAGUGACGCCAGAGGCCGAGCUUCUUUGUGCCUUGUAUUAAGCUUCGGUGACGGCCACGUCGUUUAAUCAUGCGAUGGCACUGCGACCGACGUCGGUGUAGUAGAUGACGUAGACGUCGAAGGCGGCGACGAGGCCCUCGACGGAGGACGUCACCAGCUUGCUCGCCAGCUUCCCCCAUGCGUACUGGAAAACCCCCGUCCCACCCACGAUGGCCCGCUCCGCCUUCCCGGACGCGUCCAGUCUCCCGAUCGCCGUGAGCGUGCUGUCGGCGAACUCUCCCGUNNNNNNNNNNNNNNNNNNNNNNNNNNNNNNNNNNNNNNNNNNNNNNNNNNNNNNNNNNNNNNNNNNNNNNNNNNNNNNNUUAGACGAUAUUUUAGACUCUCUUAAAAAGGUAAGUAUGUAAGCAUCAUCAUAAUAAUAUUUUAGAGAUUAACAUUAGAAAGGAUUUCAAAUCCUCAAUUCAAAGUUGAGUCUUUUAGAUGUAAGAAUAUCUCAAACUAAAUUCUUGAAUCAUCAAUCAAUAAGUGAAUUUUUAUCAUGUUUAUAGAUUAAAAUGAAUCAUAUACAAUUAAUGAGACUUAGCAUGAUAAAUUUAAGUAAUUCUUAUUGAAAAUAUUUAUGUACGUGAGAUAAAAAAAGAUGAGAGAAAAGUAAUAUAUGACUAAAGAUUGAAGGAGUCAGAGUACAGAAAGUCGGUUUGACAAGUAACACCACGUUUAGCCUUCCUCUUGAACGCCGGUCUCGUUCCAAAAUCGCCGGCCGGACCACUUCGCUCUCCGCCGACAACACGCAACGUCUAGUUUCGCUGGGAUAUGGGUGAUGCGGGUCAAAGUAGAUGAAGCCAUCGACAUGAACGAUGUCGUCUGUAUUCGUCUCUAUCCUCGUCUUCUCAUCUCAGGACAAUAUCUUCCACCUCACGGUAUCAUACGUUGCAUGGUAGGUGAACAAGGAGGAAAGCCAUCAUCCAUGGGGCUGCUUUUGGUUGGUUAAUGGUGAGGGUUCCAUCACAUUUGUUCCGUGUGAUACACGUUUUCUUUCCACCUUUGGUGAAAGAAGAACAUUUGGUGACUAUAAGGGCAUAUUUGCAUAUCAAAUUUGCGAUAAAAAGGGAUGUGGAUGAGACCAUCAAUGUGAUUGAUGCCUCAAUUUUGGAGAAGGAACGCACGUCGUUUACGAUUGCUGCUCUUCGUUACUCGUCGAUCUCCUCAUCCAUCAGUAUGAACUGGAUGAGAGAAUAAUAUUCAAAUUACUCAUUUAAUAUUUUUCUUACUUAAUAGGAGUUUCUAUAGCUCAUGAUUCAUAACUUUAUUUUUGUCCCUUGUAUAAGAGCUGAUUUAAGUUUCUGUAUAGUUUUAUCAAUAGUGUUUUUUAUGCUAGUUUUACUUAUGACGCUGAAUGGCUUAUCUUAAUAACAAACUGAGCAUUCAUUUCAUUAAACAUUUAAUUAGANNNNNNNNNNNNNNNNNNNNNNNNNNNNNNNNNNNNNNNNNNNNNNNNNNNNNNNNNNNNNNNNNNNNNNNNNNNNNNNNNNNNNNNNNNNNNNNNNNNNNNNNNNNNNNNNNNNNNNNNNNNNNNNNNNNNNNNNNNNNNNNNNNNNNNNNNNNNNNNNNNNNNNNNNNNNNNNNNNNNNNNNNNNNNNNNNNNNNNNNNNNNNNNNNNNNNNNNNNNNNNNNNNNNNNNNNNNNNNNNNNNNNNNNNNNNNNNNNNNNNNNNNNNNNNNNNNNNNNNNNNNNNNNNNNNNNNNNNNNNNNNNNNNNNNNNNNNNNNNNNNNNNNNNNNNNNNNNNNNNNNNNNNNNNNNNNNNNNNUAAUUGGAUAAGAUAUAUAAUAUAACUAAUUGUUGUAAGUAUUAGAUUUUGUGAUCCUUUUAUAAUUGGAUAUAUAUAUUAGAUAUAACAAGAGGUACGUCUGUAAACACGUACAGACGUACCUCUUGUUGGGAAAUCUUGGGGGCGACAUCACAUGCACAGCGGAAGAACAAGAAAACAAAAUCCUCUAUUCCCAAAGAGAUGUUCGUCGUCGUGCAAAGAUUGGUGCGCAAAAUCCGUGAAACUUAAAACUACGUAUAGAGUAGAUUGUGUUACCUAGGGAGAUCGUAUAUCCUUGUUUCGUUACAGCUUUUUAGGAGAGGAUGAAAGAGGUCAAGCGUCCUCCUCUCUAGCGGUGAUCUACAUAGUAGGGUUGCGACGAUGCUCCUCAAAACUCCAGGCCUGCUAUGAGGUGGAGAGGGAGAGGAGAAUAGGAGAGGCAAGCAAAUGCUCUAGCUCUGAAUCCCUCCUAUUUAUAGAAGCCCCUUGUCAAAAACCUAAUGGAUCCUCCCCUAGUGGAUAUUGGAUCUACAUCUAAUUACCCAAGCCUUUUAGAUUAGUGGAUCUUUAUCCAAUAAUAUCACAUUGGCUCUUAUUGGAUCUCGUCCAUGGGAUCCAAUAAUUCAUGGGCUUAUUGGAUAUCCAAUAAGACAAGGGCUCUAGCGGAUAUCUCAUAUCCGAACCUUUACUUAUCGUAAUGCCUACCAUAUGUGUGUGACCCUCUAGACCCAAUAUCGAGUUGGCUGUGAGUUAUACUUGUCAGAACUCCUUCUAACUUAGUGAAUUAUUAUCUAUGCAAUAAUUCACUCGACUCAUCGACUACGGACGUAUUAGACCACUACGUCGUAGUCCCCAGACGAUACAGGGGAAUCCAAUCCAUUGGACCUGUCUGUCCUUAGUUACCGUGUACUUAUAGUCCCUCAUCCACCUAAUAUCCCAGAGACCGUAUAUCGAGCAUGGUGUUGUUAGACUCAUACGGUUUUUACUCGAGUCUCGCUCUACUCGGAUUCUCCCGGAGAACUGUUUCUCUCUUAACCCGAAUGGCCCUAGCCAGGGAUUUGUCUGAGCAAGAACACAUGGGAUAUUCCUCUCAUGAUGUCGAGAGUGGAUGAUUCUCUAUCGACACUCAAUAGCCCUCGUAAUGUCGACUGUCACUCCCAAUGACAAGUUGUAUUAGAUCUGGGACAGCCAAACCUAUAAGUCUGGUAUCAAAGAGUGGAGCACUCAUACAGGACAUCCUUGGUGUCUCAAGUCUAAGGACCAGAUACACCACUAGGACUACGGAAUUGCUGUCUAACAAUAAGGCAUCAUUAACCAUCCAACAUUCCGUAAGAGGAUCAAUCAAUUAACUCAUUCUCCAAUGAGCACCUAUACUAUAUCCCUAGUGUCCCUAUAUGAGCAACUAUGAAACCAACUGCAUCCAUCAUAUGGACGAGUAUACAGCACACCAAUUUGUCCGGUUAUUAUGAUGUCUCUUUCGAGUAACCUAUGAUCGGGAUUAUUUAUGAUAUGUGUUUAAAGGUAAAUCGAUCUUAUUAUCGUGAUCUCAUCACGAUCUGAUUCCCAUUGCACAGAUCCAAGGACAUCACAAUAUAUACAUGCAUAUAUGCAAUAGUUAAUAUAAAGUGAUAAAUAUCAAAAUAUAAUAAGUAAAAAAAAGAUUCUGUGUCAAGUCACACGUGUAUCACUCACGUGAUUGGCUUGUUGGGCACCUAUAACUAGCACCUCUCCGUCUCCAUUGAGGGAUUAUAGUUUUCUCAAAAAAAUCAUCAAUCUAAUUGGUCCCGUGAAAGGAUAGAAAGAGAGGAGAAAGGAUAUACUCAUUGUAGAUUCUGCAACGAUCUUGGAUUAAAGACGGUGCAUUGAAGAUCAAACAAAAAUAUUUGAACAAGCAUCAAAAGGUACGUAUCGUUAAACGAGAUCUAUGUAUUUGAUUUCAAUCCUGGUAUAAAGGUUAUUUUCGUAUUUUAAACAACACAUUACAGUUUUUUUGCUUACAAUUUGGUAUCAAAGCCUGGUUUUUUAAAUCAAACACAUUAUAUCUAUUAUUUUGAUGCAUGAUUGGCUUAGGUUUUGCAAAAUUAUAGUUUUACCCUUUGUAAAUUUCAUAAUUCUGAUUUAUGUUCUGUCAACAUAUUUAUGGUUUUUGUCAUCGGGUCUAAUUUCUAUCAAAUUAUAGUUCUACCCUUUAUAAAUCACAUGAUUUCAAUUUAUAUCCUUUCAAAUAUUUAUAGUUUUAUCGAAAUUGAGAAAUUUAGUUUAUAUUCUCAAUUAUAAAAUUGAUAAAUAUGAUUUAUUAUAAUUAUGAUUAAAUUUAAUCAUAAUUAUAUUUUUGAUUAUUUUAUUAUAUUUAAUUUUGAUAAAAAAUAUAAAUUAUGGUUUACUUUAUAGUUUUCUCAUAUGAAAUAUUAAUUAUAUAUGUAGUAAAUAAAAUCAAAAUAUAAUUAUUAUUUUUAAAAUUUUAUUUACUUAUUCACAUGUAUAUAUUUGAAAUUAUGAAAUAAUGUUUAUCUUUCACAUGAAGGCAUGAUUUAUAUGUUAUCAUGAUUAUCAUAUGAGUUUUCUUUUACUGAUUAAAGUUCAAUAAUUAUUAUGGUUAUUCUAUUAUUGAACUGCUUAGUGGGACUUGAAUGAGCUAACUAGCAUGUGUGGGACUUGAAUGAGCUAACUAGCAUGUGUGGGACUUGAAUGAGCUAUUAUUCACUAUAAUACAAAUAAGGAUAAGUGGGACUUGAAUGAGCUAACUAGCAUGUGUGUUCAGGAAGAAUUGAGAUUAAGACAGGAAAGUUCAUAUAAUGUCAUUACUACUACUCAAGGAGGUGGUAAUAAGAAAAGAAAGUUAAAGCAUCAUCCAUCAAAGAGAUUUGUCGAGUCUGAAAAUGUUAAACAGACUAAUGGAAAGAAAGUCUUUACUGUAAAGUAUUUUUUUUGUGACAAGAAAAGAACAUGUGAAGAAGGACUGCAUUAAAUGCAAGACUUGGUUCGAAAAUAAAGGUAUUAAUUCGACCUUUAUAUGUUUUGAAUCAAACAUUACAAAAGUUCCUUCAAACACUUGGUAGAUUGAUUCUGAUGCUUCAACUCAUGUUACCAAUAAGGAUUUCUUUCAAUUCCAAAACCAAAAGAACAUUAAAGAUUUAUUAAUAUGGGAAAUCGUCUUAAAGCGAAAGUGAUAUAAAUGAGAACUUAUCAUCUACGCAUAGAGACGGGUCACCUGAUGGAUCUUAUUGACACAUGUUAUGUCCCUACAAUUUCUAAAAAUUUAGUUUCUUUUUCUAGAAUUGAUGAGUUAGGAUAUUGUCUUUCUUUUGAUAGUGGCAAACUCAGUAUGUUUUAUGAUUCAAUAAAAGUUAGUUCCGGAAUUCUGUAUGAUGGUUUGUAUAGAAUUAAUUUGGAUAUUGAGUUUACAAAGACAUUAAUAACCCUACAAUCAAGUGUUAGAUUGAAACGUAGUUUCAAUAAUGAAAGAUCUUCUAUAUUGUGGCAUAUACGAUUGGUGCAUAUCUCCAAGGAAAAAAUUGAAAGAUUAGUGAGGAUAAUAUUUUGGAACAUUUAGACUUCACUAAUUUUGAUAUUUGUAUAGAUUGUAUUAAGGGAAAGCAAACUAAACAUAUAAAGAAAAAUGCCACAAGAAGUAAAGAAUUCGUUCAGAUUAUUCAUGCUGAUAUCUGCGGACCACUCCAUAUUCCUUGUUUUAGUGGAGAAAGGUAUUUUAUCACAUUUAUAGAUGAUCUGUCCAGAUAUGACUAUGUUUAUCUAAUACAUAAAAAGUCUCAAGCCAUUGAUACAUAAAUGAGGUCGUGAGACAAUUAGAUAUAAAAGUUAAAAUUGUCAGAUCUGACAAGUUUAAUGAAUUUUAUGGUAGAUAUGAUGGAUCUGGUUAGAAUAUUGGUUCUUUUGCUAGAUUCCUAGAACAAUGGGAUAUUUAUGCUCAAUAUGUAUUACCAGGUGUGCCAUAGCAGAAUGAUGUUGCUGAAAGGGGAAAUCAUACUCUUAUGGAUAUGGUUAGGAGCAUGAUAAGUUAUUCCUCUGUACUUAAGUCGAUGUGGUGUGAAGCUCUUAUAACAGCUAUGUACACAUUGAACAGGAUUCUUAGUAAGUCUGUUUCAUCGACUCCAUUUGAGUUAUGGACUGGUAGGAAGUCCAGUCUAAGACAUUUACAUAUUUGGGGGUGUCCUACAAAGAUAAAAGUAUUUAAUCCAUAUGAAACGAAAUUUGAUCUAAGAACUAUUUCAGGAUAUUUUAUUGGUUAUCUAGAAAAAUCCAAGGGAUACAGAUUUUAUUGCCCUAAUCAUAGUAUGAGGAUAGUAGAAUCUAGUAAUGCAAAAUUAUUAGAAAAUGGUGAAAUCAAUGGGAGUAAAAAAUCUUGAAUGAUUAAUUUUGAUAUUGAGGAGAUUUAGGUUAAUUCUCCUAUAUCAUCUCUUAUUUAAGAGAUUGUUGUUCCUCAAAUCAAUGAGAGUAUUAAUGAGGGUGAAUAAUAAAAUAACAUCGAAGAACUCUCACAUAAUGUUGAUGUCACCGCUGAUGAUCUUGUAGAACAAUCACAAUUGGCAGAUUUAAGAAGAUCUCAAAGGAAAAAGAAACAUGUCAUUUCUGAUGAUUAUGUGGUAUAUUUACAAGAAUCAAAUUAUUAUAUAGGAAUAAAAAGAGACCCCUUAUCGUUUCCACAAGCUAUAGAAAGUAAUGAUUAUGAAAAAUGGUAUGAUGCAAUGAAAGAAGAGUUAAAAUCAAUGGUUCAGAAUGGUGUCUAAGAUCUCGGUGAAAUGCCCAAUAAUUGUAAAAGAGUCGAUUGUAAAUGCGUCUUUAAGAUAAAAUGUGACUCAACGUGCAAUAUCAAACGAUUUAAAGCCAGACUUGUGGCCAAAGAUUUUUCUCAAAAGGAAGAUAUCGACUAUAAUGAGACUUUUUCUUCAGUUUCUAAAACAGACUCAUUGAGAAUUAUCAUGACAUUAGUAACUCAUUAUGAUCUUGAGUUUCAUCUGAUGGAUGUGAAAAUAACAUUUCUGAAUGGGGAUCUGGAUAAGGAAAUCUAUAUGGAACAACCUGAAGGAUUCGUAGAAAAGGGAAAAGAAGGUUAGGCUUGUAAACUUAAGAAAUCUAUUUAUGACAUUAAACAAACUUCUAGACAAUGGUAUAUAAAGUUUCAUAAUACCAUUACUUCCUUCGGAUUUAAGGAAAAUACUGUUGAUCAGGGUAUAUAUCUGAAGGUAAGUGAGAGCAAGGCAGCCUAUGUUAUUAGUAUUGAGAUAUUCAGAGAUAGAUCUCAAGGAUUAUUAGAAUUAUCUCAGAAAGGUUAUAUUGAUCGUAUGUUGGAGAGAUUUAAUAUGCAACUUUGCUCAGCCAAUGAUAUACCUAUUACUAGAGGUGAAAAUUUCAAUUAAAACCAGUGUCCAAGAAAUGACUUAGAAAAGAAUCAAAUGAAAAAUAUUCCUUAUGAGUGCGUAGUUGGAAGUCUAUUAUAUGCUCAAACUUGUACAAGACCAGAUAUCAAUUUUGCAAUUGCAAUACUGGGAAGAUACCAAAGCAACCCAGGAAUGAAACAUUGUAAAGCUGCAAAGAAAGUAAUGAGAUAUGUACAAGGAACGAAAGAUUAUAUGCUCACAUAUAGGAGAUCAGAUCAGCUUGAAGUAAUAGGAUAUUCAGAUGCUGAUUUUGUAAAUUGCCUCGACAGUAGGAAGUCCACUUCAGGAUUUAUAUUUAUGUUAGCUGGUGGGGCAAAUUCUUGGAAAAGUGUAAAGCAAUCACUUAUUGCAUCAUCCACAAUGGAAGCUGAAUUUGUGACAUGCUUUGAGGCCACAAAUCAAGUUUUAUAGCUGCGAAAUUUCAUCUCAGGAUUUGAUAUGGUCGACUCAAUUGCCAAACCACUGAAUAUAUUUUGUGAUAAUACCACAACAGUUUUCUUCUCUAAGAAUGACGAGUAUUUUAGUGGUUCCAAGCAUAAUGAGAUAAAGUACUUUGUAGUUAGAGAAAGAGUCCAGAAACAGCAAGUGCCAAUUGAGAACCUGAACACCACUAUGAUGAUUGCUGAUCCAUUAACAAAGGCCUUACAAUAUAGAAUAUUUAAAGAACAUGCUCUUAGAAUGAGGCUUGUGCGCAAGUCAUAAAGGAUAUGAUGACACAUAUUUAUAUGGAUGUUAUUAUUAAUAUUCUUCUUGCUUAAUUAAACUUAUUUGUUUCUGCCAUCCUUUUUACAUUUAUGUUUAUGCAUAUUAUAGUUGAAUGUAAUAACAAGAUAAAUUAUCAUUAUAGACUAUAUUAGGAAAGACUAACAAUGUUGUGGUACAUAGAAGGAAGUAUGACAUUGAUGAAAUACAACCGCUAUGAUUCGUAUUGAUAGUUGGACUUAAUAUAGUAUUAUUAUGUUUAUUGGACUUAUUGGCUUAUUAAAAAAAAAACAUGGCCACGUAUAAAAUAUUUUUCAAAAUUCUUUAGAAUCCAAUUAGGUAAAAUUAUUUUUUAAAUAAAUUUUAUUUUUAUUUAUUUUGAUUUUGAUUAUCUCUUUUAUAUCUUAUCAAUUAAUGGAUCAAGUGGGAGAAUGUUAGAUUUUCUGAACAGAUGACAUCAAACAAAAAUUUCUGAACAAAUGACAUCAAAAGAUAGCAUCGUUAAACGAUAUCAAUAUAUUUGAUUUCAAUCUUGACAUAAAGGUUAUUUCCGUAUUUUAAACAGCAUAUUACUGUUUUUAUUUUUACAAUAAUAGGUUUUCAUUCAUAAUUUUAUUAAACGAGAUCGACAUUUCUUUUUAUUUCAGCCUUAUCAUAUAAUAGUUCAUCUCCUGACAUAUCUGAUCGCCGUGGCUUUAAUUAUCGUCUCGCGGAUCACGCGAUUGCGGUGAGACGGACGUCGUCAUAAUAGACGACAUAGAUGUCGAAGGCGGCGACGAGUCCCGCUUUGUCGGACGUCACCAGUUUGCUCACCAUGUUCCCCGACGCGAACUGGAACACCCCCGUCCCUCCCACGAUGGCCCGGUCCGCCUUCCCGGAGGUGUCCAUCCUCCCUAUCACCGUGAGCGUGCUGUCGCAGAAGUCCCCCGCCGUGAACACCAGCACCAGCGGUAUCAGCGACGACUCGUCCCGCUGCGACGCGUGGAAGCUCACGCCCUGUGCCCUCCCGACUUCAGUCGAACGCUUGGAGGGGCCGGUCCUCAGCACGGCGUCGAAGAUGUCGACGUCCCCGAAGGUGUUGGGGAGGCUCAUGUUCACCACGGUCACGGUGGUGUUGUCGGGGCCGAGAAAGGUCUCGUGGAAGUAGACGCGGAAAUGGAUUCUGCUCUGCCGGCCGAGUUCGAACUCGGAGGUCACCGGGAAGGCCGUGGCAGCAGCCAGGAGGAGGAAGAAGACGAGGAGGAAGUAGAGAUGAGUGAAGCUAUUUGGGGAUGAAGCCAUGGCUAGGAUGACCGAAGGAUCGAAGUGAGGUGGGUACAACGCUGGAUCAGGAACAUGUAUUUAUAGAGUAAAGUCUGUGCCAUGCGUCGUCAACAAAUGCCAACGUCCAACCAAAUCUCAUUAUCAUGUCUACAUAAAAUACUCAAACGAAUAUUACUCUUGCAGGCGAAGGUAUCCGCGUAGGGAAGAAGAUAGCAUAUAGUAACACGAUGUACACACCAUAUAGUCUUCUCCAUGAAUAAAUAAAUAUAUAAAUAUAUAUAUAUUUUUUUUAAAUAUAUUAAUAUAUAUGAUCUCUAGCAAUGGAUAUGGGUAACUGAGAGAUGGAGGGAUGAUAGUUGGAAGCAAUGGCCGAUAAGGAUAGUGUUGCGUCUUUUGCAAGUGCCAACUGGCCACCUGUAGCUCGUCAAUUUGCUUGUUAAUUAACGAACCACAUUGGCAACGCUAUCUUUCUUUAUGUGUUUCAACACAGAUGUACGCGGUUGGCUGAUGGCCGUCAGUCCCGUUUGUUCGCAUCUUCAGUUGUUGACAUGUGGUAAUGAAGUGUUGGUUCCCAUGCGUGACCGCUACCCCACCACUGCACUUAAAGUCGCGACGUAAUUAUUGACCGACGGUGCGAUGCAAAACCUUCUCUCGCCAAUCAAGUCAUUCGUGACUCAAGUGGCGCUAUUAACCAUCUUUUGCUUUACAGUAAUCAAAGAAAAGCUCACAUGAUUUGUUCUCAUAUCAGCAUAGCAAAUGAAUUUUAUGUGAAUUUUAAUAUACAUACAUAUUCUCUCCUGUCAAAACAUAUCCUAAACUCAUGUUUAUUUUCACCACUAUAUAUAUCAACACGAGACCAAAAAACAAAAAGGGAUGGGAUGACAUAAAGCAUGUCAAUGUUGAUGGGGAUAUAAAGAGGAAUAACCUUUUGUAUAUGAACAAAUACUAGAAGACCAUAUACGCAGCGAAAUAAAAUGGAAACACAAUCAAAUAGAACACCAAGAUAUACGUGGAAAAUCCCUUCAAUGUGAAGGGUAAAAACCACGGGGCAAACUAGAGAUAAUCCACUAUGAGAAUAAUGAAUAUACAAAUCUCAAUCUCUUACCCAAAACCCUAGCAAUAACCACAAGAGGAUAACUGGGAUACAAGGAUCACGUCACUGCCCACAAUAUCUAAAACCUCCCCAAGUAAUCACAGCAAGAGUCUACUGUAGAUUUGAUCUAACCUGAGAUGAGAACACUGCUAGAUGAUUGAGAACAGUCUCUCUGCGUUGUCCUUGUCUUCUUCCCUUUCUUUCUCUUAUUUUUCUACCUUGUUCUUCUCUCUUUGUUGUUACGAGGAUGUCAACGUUGCUGCCCACGUUGCUGCUUGUAAAACGCAGCCCCCACACCCCCCUUAUAUUGAUCUAGGGUUAGGUCAAAGGGGUGUGGGUUGUGGGCUGAAUCCACUUUGGGCUGCCAGCCCAACAACCUCCUCCUUCAGCCCAUAAGGGAGGUUGUCCCAUGACUCCUCAAUGUGAAGCCAUGCCGACCAACUGUCGGCAUAUCUCCUGUCUUUCUUUUGGUAAGGUCUUCGUCAACAUGACUGCUCCGUUGUCAUCUGUAUGAAUUUUCUGAAGCUGCAACUACUUCUCUUCAAAUACAUUUCGAAUCCAGUGGUAUCUAACAUCUAUAUUCUUUGACUUGGAAUGAAACAUUGGGUUCUUAUACAAAUGGAUGACACUCUGGCUGUCACAAUGCACCACAUAAUUUUCCUGUUUCAGCCCCAAUUCUUGUAAGAAUUCUUUCAUCCAUAAUAUUUCUUUGCAUACCUCUGUAGCAGCAAUAUAUUCUGCUUCUGUGGUAGAGAGAGCAAUACACCUUUGCAACCUGGAUUGCUAUGACACAGCUCCCCCUGUAAAAGUAAGUACAUAACCUGAAGUAGACUUCCUCGUAUCUAUAUCUCUUGUCAUAUCUGCAUCUUUGUAACCUGUCAACAUAGGUGGUCUACCUCCAAAGCUUAAAUAAACCUUAGAGCUCCCUUUGAGAUAUCUAAAAAUCCACUUCACUGCUGCCUAGUGCUCUUUGCUUGGAUUUGCAAGAAAUCUGCUAGUAACACCCACUGCAUAUGCGAUGUCUGGCCUUGUACAUACCAUUGCAUACAUUAAACUCCCAACUGUUGAAGCAUAAGGAACCUUUUGCAUUUUCUCCUUCUCCUCAUCACUUGAUGGGCUCUGUUCUGAGCACAACUUGAAGUGACUUGCAAGAGGAGAACCAACUGGUUUUGCAUUGCUCAUACUGAAUCUUUCCAAUACCUUCUCGAUGUAUUUCUUCUGUGACAACCAAAUCUUCUUGUUUUUUCUGUCACGAGAAAUCUGCAUGCCUAGUAUUUGCUUUGCUGGCCCCAUGUCCUUCAUUGCAAAAGACUCACUCAGUUCCUUCUUUAACCUGUCAAUUUUAGACAUAUCUUUCCUAAGAAUAAGUAUGUCAUCAACAUAAAGUAAGAGAAUAAUAAAAUCCUCACCAAACCAUUUGAUGUACACACAAUGAUAUGAAGUCGUUCUUUUAUAUCCAUUUUCUGUCAUAAAUGAAUCAAACUUUCUGUACCACUGUCUUGGAGCUUGCUUUAGCCCAUACAAGCUCUUCUUCAACUUGUAGACAAGAUUAUCUUUACCUUUGACUUUGAAGCCUUCUGGUUGCUCCAUAUAAAUUUUCUCCUCUAAAUCACCAUGAAGGAAAGCUGUCUUCACAUCUAACUGCUCAACCUCUAAGUCCUGGCUAGCAACAAUACCAAGAGCAAUACGAAUAGAAGACAUUUUAACAACAGGAGAAAAUAUCUCUUCAAAGUCAAUACAUUUCUUUUGACCAAAGCCUUUCACAACCAAUCUAGCUUUGUACUUUGGUUGAGAACAAUAUUCUUGAGUCUUCAACCUAAAAACUCAUUUGUUCUUCAAGGCCUUCAUUCCAUUUGGUAGUAGCACCAAAUCAUAAGUGUGGUUCUUCUGAAGAGCAUCAAUCUCUUCCUGCAUAGCAACUAACCACUUCUCUUUCUGCUCACUCUCAACUGCUUCCUGGUAACUUUCUGGUUCACCUGCAUCAGUAAGCAUCACAUACUCAUUUGUAGAGUAUCUUCUGGAAGGUUGACGUUGUCUAGAAGAUCUUCUCAACUGAGGUUCUGCGGGAACUUGCUCUCCUACUUCUUCUUGCUCAACAUGUCCUACAGGUAAAUCAACAUCAGGCUCUACACUAUUUUCCUGCACAUCUCCCCCAUCACCCUGAUAUACUGGAGGAAUAACUAGGUCACAAUCUGCUAAUCGUUCUGCAGAAGUCUUGGCUAGUGCCUUCUUCUUCAAAUCCUCAAAGGUUUGAUCCUCAAAGAAGACCGCAGCUCUGCUCCUGAACACCUUCUGCUUUUCUGGAUCCCAAAGCCUAUAACCAAACUGAUCAUGUGAGUAACCAAGAAAAAUACAUUCUUUAGACUUACCAUCCAGCUUGGACCUCUCAUUAUCUGGAAUAUGUGCAAAUGCACGACAACCAAACACUCUCAAAUGCCUAUAGGAAACAUCUUUCCUUGACCAUACAUGCUCUGCAACAUCACCAUCUAGGGUUGUACAUGGUGAUAAGUUGAUCACAUCAACUGCAGUCCUCAAAGCCUCAUCCCGAAACCUUUUGGGUAGCUUGGCCUGUGAAAGCAUACAUCUGAUCUUUUCCAUGAUGGUGCGGUUCAUCCUCUCUGCAAUUGCAUUAUGCUGAGGUGUACCAGGAACUGUCAUCUCAUGUUGGAUCCCAUGUGACCUGCAAUAGUCAUUAAACAAUCCCGUAUACUCACCACCAUUAUAUGAUCUUAUGCAUUUCAAUUUCCUUUCUGUCUCCCUUUCAACCCUGGCAUGAAACUCUUUGAAGACAUUAAUAACCUGAUCUUUGGUCUUCAAAGCAUAAGCCCAAACUUUCCUGGAAAAAUCAUCUAUAAAAGUGACAAAAUAAAGUGCACCACUUAUACCAAGAACAUCAACAGAUCCACCAGGAGUUUUUGUCCUCAAAGGACCACAUACAUCUAUAUAAACACGGUCUAAGGCAUGCAUUUUUCUAGACAAAGCAGCAUUAGCAAAUGAAACUCUAUGUUGUUUACCAGCCAAACAAUCAAUACAAGGGUUCAGAUGUAUACCUCUGAGAUCUGGCAAUACCUCUCUCUUGGAAANNNNNNNNNNNNNNNNNNNNCUAUACCUGUAUGUAGCAAAAAACUCUCUCCGAGGUGUAGCAUGAUAAGAAGCACCUAUGUCAAUCACCCACUCAAGAUCCUGACACACACAAGAAAAAAUAUCAUCAGAAUGAGACAAAAUCAAAUAAUCACCACCCUGCACUGUAGCUAUAGUAUUAUCCUUUGACUCUGUAGACUCCACUUCUUUUUCCUUUUUCUUGUUCUUCUUAGGUUGCUUACAUUGGUUCUUGUAAUGUCCUUUCUCACCACAGUUAUAGCAAACAAUAUCUUUUCUUGAUCUUGACUUGCUCCUACCCAUACGUGAAUUGCUUAUAGACUUUGACCUUCCUCUGUUCUCUGAGAUAAGUGCCUGUGAAUCAUUCUGAGAUGUUGCUGAACUCUUUCUUCUCAACUCCUUAUUCAACAAACUGCUUGUUACUUGACUCAUAGUGACAAUACCAUCUGGCGCAGAAUUACUAAAGGAAACCACCAGUGUCUCCUAACUUUCUGGUAAUGAACUGAGAAGUAACAAUGCCUGCAACUCAUCAUCAAGAGACAUUUUCAUAGAGGAUAACUGGUUAGUAAUACUUUGCAUUUCAUUCAAAUGCUCAGCAAUAGAAGCACCCUCUCUAUAUUUUAGGUUCACAAGUUUUCUGAUCAAAAAAGCUUUGUUGCCAAUUGUUUUUCUUUCAUAGAGACUUUCCAAUUUUUUCCAAAGAGAAUAUGCAGAAAUUGCAGUAGAAACAUGGUGAAAGACACUAUCAUCAAGCCACUGUCUAAUAAACCUAAUUGUUUUUCGAUCUAACCUCUUCCACUCAUCAUCUGUCAUAGUUGUAGGUUUUGCACUAUCCCCUUGCAAAGGUCCAUUCAAAUCUUUGCAAUACAAGAGAUCUUCCAUUCUUGGUUUCCAUAUCAUCCAAUUAUUUUCAUUCAAACUAAUCAUGCGAGAAACAUUACUGGCCUUCAUGUUCAAAUACAAAAAUUAAAUUACCAAAAUCCCGCUCUGAUACCAGUUGAUGGGGAUAUAAAGAGGAAUAACCUUUGUAUAUGAACAAAUACUAGAAGACCAUAAUACGCAGCGGAAUAAAAUGGAAACACAAUCAAACAGAACACCAAGAUAUACGUGGAAAACCCCUUCAAUGUGAAGGGUAAAAACCACGGGGCAAACUAGAGAUAAUCCACUAUGAGAAUAAUGAAUAUACAAAUCUCAAUCUCUUACCCAAAACCCUAGCAACAACCACAAGAGGAUAACUGGGAUACAAGGAUCACGUCACUGCCCACAAUAUUUAAAACAUCCCCAAGUAAUCACAGCAAGAGUCUACUGUAGAUUUGAUCUAACCUGAGAUGAGAACACUACUAGAUGAUUGAGAACAGUCUCUCUGCGUUGUCCUUAUCUUCUUCCCUUUCUUUCUCUUGUUUUUUUGCCUUGUUCUUCUCUCUUUGUUGCUACGAGGAUGUCAACGUUGCUGCCCACGUUGCUGCCUUUUUCUGCCUCUUUUCUGCUUGUAAAACGUAGCCCCCACACCCCCCUUAUAUUGAUCUAGGGUUAAGUCAAAGGGGUGUGGGUUGUGGGCUGAUAAAGCCCGGGCUGAACCCACUUUGUGCUGGCAGCCCAACAACGUUACAUGUGAAUCACGCCUACAUAAUCCUUGACCUACCAAAGGUGUGGUUGAUUGUCAAAGUUCAUCAUUAUUAUGUAAGGUAUAUAUUUUUUAAGCAGAUCGUCAAAUGCCAGCGCAUGCCGUGUUAUAUUUCAAAGUGCAUAGAUGACCCAAUCCGUGUGUAAUGUCUCCUACUUAGUUGUCCCCUCACGCAAUGCAUUUCUUUAUGAGUAUACGUAUACUUCCACCUGAUCACAACAUCCAUAUUAAAGCUUAUGUAGGUGCAGCGAAAUUAGUUAUUCGUCGAUAAAUAGGAGAAAAAUGGCUAACAAGUCUUAUUAAAACCAUUAAUUAAGAAUUUAGAGAAGAGAUAGUAUCAUAUUUGAUUUCACAUUGAUCAGAGACUUAGGGAAUCAAUACCUAAUACCUAAUAAAGAGUCAAAUACAAAUUUUCUUUUUUUGACAGACAACUUUUGGGAUCCACCUUAAAAAAGGAAAGAUCAUGUGGUUCCGCUUAACAAUUUAUGAUUCAAAAGAGCUCGUGAUUGACCUUUUAUUCAAUGGGGUGAAUAAGUUUGUGAAAAUAAGAAUAUUAUUUGGAUAAAAAUAAAUAGUAAAAAAAUGAUCAAAUGGUGUGUGGACACGUGGCAUAUUCAUCAAUGUUUAAAGCAGCAGAUCGCACGAGUAGUAACAACUACCAAAGCACUCUCCACGAUGAGAAAGGGCGGCGGGGGCGGGGAAGUGACACGAUGUGAAAGAAUCAUAGAGGCGGCUCUCCUCUCUACCCUCCUUUCUCUUCUCCCUGCCACACGUCCUCCUCUUUAAUCGCAGAUUCGUGGACGAUCGAGUCCGGCGGCGACGAGCGCGAUGUGAGUUUGAGUCUCGUCUCUUGAGUGCAGUCAGAUUUCUGCACACAGAUCGAGAUCGGAAGAAAGAUUUUUUUGAUUUAACUCUUUCGAUGCCGAUCAGGGGGUUAGCUUUUAUACUUGCAAAUAAGGGUCGAUCGUACGUGAUCUGUUAAUAGUGGCCAACUCCUCGAGCGAUCGGUUUGUACCUCUUGUGCGAGCGUCGAUCGACCUACAUUGAUCCACAUUGUGUGACAUCGUUCCGAGCUUUCCGGAGUGGCUUUGUGCUAUGUAGCGUUGUCUCGUACGACCUCGGACAGUAUGAGAACAUGCGAUCGUCCUAUCCGAGUACGAGAUGUCACGUCGAUGCAAUGCAUCAUAUCAACCCUGAGGCUCCAUGUUGGCGCUGAUUGAUAGCAUAUAAGACAUCAUAUCAACCUUUGCCCUAUGAUCGAGGAAACGAAACCUAGUCUUAUGGUAUCUUUUUCCCCUCCGUUUAAAUUCACUUCUUCCCUUUGAUCACGCGUGUAAAAGAAGCUUAACCGGAGGAAUGUAAGAGUUGUCUCACGUUUUUGAGCUUUUUGUACCGUAACCUAAUAAGUUCUCUUGAUUUUAGAGUGAAUUAGGCAUUGCAUUUGGUUGAUAUGUAUGCAACUAAGUACAUCUGUACGUACAGCAGCAACUCAAGUGGAUAUGUGUUAUUUUCAGUUCCCAUCAAAACUUUGAAUAGUCGAUUUUAGUUUUUUUUUUAAAUAUGUAGCCAAAGAAAGUCCCUUUCACGGAAUCUUCCUUCGGCAUGCUGCAGUUGAUUAUAAAUCGAUCGUAAAAUAUAUAUUAAAAUGAUUUGAGGUUAAUAACCCAAGCAUAUAUUGAAUAAUAAUUUAUUGAUAAAAUUGUGUAUUAUUCGAUUGAAAGGAAACCGAAGGCAUGAUAAGUUUUUGUCUUAUGUUUGUUGUAUCAUCAAAAGACAUGAACCAAAAUACGGUUCACUGCUUCAACAUGAUCUUCGGUUUACAGAUGAAAGGCUAUAUUGUUCUUCAGCUUGAUGUUCCUGAUGGUCCAAAGUGAACUUGCUAAAAGAAAAAACACUCGUCAUGAUCACGAUGGAAUAAUAUUUCAAACUCUCAAUUUUUAAUAUAAAAUUGUAUGUAUCCAAGAGCUGGUUGGAGAAUUGUAUAUGAUAUGUCUAUAGUUCUCCGAGUUCUGAUAUUUUCGAAGUUUGUUUCAAUAGGUUUUUAUUCAUAAUAUUAAUAAACGAGAUCGAAUAAUUCUUUUUAUUUUAGCCUUAUUAUUUAUUCUGCAGACGUAAAGCAAGUUAAACAUUGUUAGCUCUUAUUUAAAUGCUGUAGCUUUCAUUAUCGUGUCUCGGAUCACGCGAUGGAAGUGAGACGGACGUCGUUAUGGUACAUGACGUAGACGUCGAAGGCGGCGACGAGUCCCGCAUCGUCGGACGUCACCAGCUUGCUCACCAUGUUCCCCGACGCGAACUGGAACACCCCCGUCCCUCCCACGAUGGCCCGGUCCGCCUUCCCGGACGCGUCCAUCCUCCCGAUCACCGUGAGCGUGCUGUCGCAGAAGUUUCCCCCCGUGAACACCAGCACCAGCGGUAUCAGCGACGACUCGUCCCGCUGCGACACGUGGAAGCUCACGCCCUGCGCCCUUCCGAAUUCAGUCGACCACUUGGAGGGGCCGAUCCUCAGCACGGCGUCGAAGAUGUCGACGUCUCCGAAGGUGUAGGGGAGGCUCAUGUUCACCACCGUGACGGUGCCGUUGUCGGGGCCGAGAAACGUCUCGUAGAAGUAGACGCGGAAGUGGAUUCUCUUAUGGAUGCCGAGUUCGAACUCGGAGGUGACGGGGAAGGCCGUGACAGCAUCAAGGAGGGGGGAAGAAGACGAGGAGGAAGUAGAGAUGAGAGGAGCUGCGUGGGGAUGAAGCCAUGACAAAAGGAUCGCGGGCACGAUGAAAAUAAUAGAAAAUAAGAAUAAUUAUUAAAAAAAAAUUAUUAAAAAAGUUUUAUUGAAGUACUUCAGCUUGAAUACAUUAAGUUGCCCAUGUACUAUUUAUACAGAUUAGGAGAGAGGAUUUUUCUUAACAGAAUAAAGGAUUUCACUCAAGAUGGUGCACCUGUCAAGGAUACCAAUCUUGGAUCGAUGCAAAGAAUGAUUUACGAGUUAGAGGCUUCAUGAGUAGGGCAAGAGCAGAUUGCUGUUGCUGUUGUUGCUGUUGCUAUUAUUGUAGCUGCGACAGCGAUAGCUGCAGUAGAGGAGAAAGCUACAGUAAUAGAAAAAGCUAUAGCAAUGCUGUAGCAGAGGAAUAAACUGCAGUAGAGAAGGAAAUUGCAGCAGAGGAGAAAACUACAGUAGAGGAGAAAGCUGCAAUGAUGCUACAAUAAAAAAGGAUACAACAAAGGAGGAAAGGUGGGGCAGUGCUGGUGAAUGUAGCACUAGAGACGUCAUAGCGGAAUAAGAGACGUUAGUGCAGAGUGGUAGUGGAUAAGACAGUUGUCGUUCACCGAGGAGGAAAGAUUUAAAGAUUUAUUGUCGGAGGUGGAAAAGAUGAGUCGGAGGAAAGAUUUAUCAUCGGAGGUGGAAAAGCAACAGAUGAGUCGAUAGCGAGAAGAAAGUAACAUAUGAGUCGAUACUUAAACUUAGAGAUGGAAGAUGGUUCCCGAGUGUGAUCGGUGCGUCUCGUGCAUUUAUUAUAGAGGAUCGUCAUAUGCCUUGUUCGCUUUCAAUGUAAAUAAUUGACCAAAUCCGUGCGCAAUCUAAACCACAUAGUGGCCCAUCAGACAAUGCAUUUCUUUCUCAUGAUGUGUUUGCUUCACCUAUUUCAACUGUUUAUGCGGUCCACAUUAAAUCUUCUGUCGGUUCAGCAAAAUUGGCUAAUUAUCGUUUCUUAAUGUUGAAAAUGUAUAACAAGUCUGUGUAAGACUCUCAAUUAAAAAUUUUAAACACAUUUAGUCCCAAAUUGAUUAGAGAUUUAAAGAGUUAAUAUCUAAUCAAAUACCUUGAAAGGAAAAGAUCCCUGCACUCCUACUUAACAAUUUAUUAACAUUAAAAGAGCUCAAGAUUAAUUUUUUUUUAUUGACGUAAAUAAUUUGUGAAAAAUAAAGGUAUUAUUUUGGAUAAAAUAAAUAGUAAAAAAAGGGAUCAAAUUGAUUAUUGAAACAUCACAUUUUCACGAAUCUUAAAGCAACAGACUGCAUCAGUAAGUAAUAUAUAAUUUUGGAUAAAAAUAAAUACUAAAAAAGAUGAUCAAAUGAAUUAUGGACACAUGCUAUAUCUACCAAUCUUAGUGCAGCAGAUUGCAUUAGUAACCAACGACCAAGAUGAGAAGGAAGGGGGAAAUGACGAUGUGAAGAAUCCACAGAGGUGGCUCUCCUCUCUGUCCUCUUCGGUAGCAACGAGCACGAUAUGGUGAUCAAGGUCCGAUCUCUUACUAUUCCUUCUUUUCCAAUUUUCCCAAUCUUGGUUAGAGUUUUAAUUUGAUGGAGUGCUUGACGCCGUCUUGUAGUUUUUUGAUGUCAAAUUCUUGGUUCGAUCUACUGUUCGAUCAAAAUCUUUGAUGGUCCUACAACCUAGUUGCUCUAUGAUCAACAAAAAGGAAACCUAAUAUUAUAGUAUUUGAUAGGUAUAAUCCUAACACUUGUCAGUUCUUUUAUCGUAUAGGUCAAAGAAGCAACACCUAAGCAUCAGCAUGGGAGUCACCUGCUCCCUGCAACCGCUAGCAUAUAAACUCAUCUAGUUUGAGUUGCAUCACGGGAUAAAUCUGAGGACUCUAUAUAUUAAAAAAAUCCACCCUUUAUAUUGUUAUUGUCAUAUGAUAUUGGGGUAGAAUCUAAUAAAUGACACAGUUACUCUACGUACACACACACACUUAUAUAUAGUCUUAUAGAUGUGGACAUGUGACAUCAACUAAAUGAGCAAUUUAAAAACUAAAAUGCAUUUGUACCUAUUAAGUUUUGUUUUCCAACAUAUAACUUAAUUUAAGAGGGCAAUGCACCAGUUAUGAUUCAAGUAUUAUUCGACAACAUUCACUAAAUCACUCGAGGUUUUAAAAGUCAAAUUUAGAUAAGGACCAGGACAAAAUGAAACUCGAUCAUGAAAAUUAAAACUUCUAAAUAGGAAGAAAUACAAUAUCAUUUUGUUCAGAUAAGUACACAACAUUCCCGUAUUAAUCUAUAUAUUGUAGCCUACUAAUUUAAAAGCACUGUAAGAUUACAAUGUAAUCAACCUAAAAAUAGGCCCUUCCUCAGCGCCACCAAUUGCAUGUAGCCAUCAUCCAAAACGUCGUCUUAUAUGAUUCUGUAAGAAGACUCUUAUAGAAGUUUUUAUGUGCCCACAUAUUAUCAACAUGGGCCGUGCCACAAUGCAGAAAGCCUUACUCAUGCAACAUUAUUAAAUCAUUCAUAUGCAAAGGAAUUCAUGAAUCACAAUAAAUUGCUAGUUACCUCCUUGAUAACAACUAACAAUGUAGAGGAGACCUAAAAAGGUCUAAAUUAUAAGACCCAUAAGUUUAAUUGAUGACAACUUGUUUCUUAAGCACGGUCGUGGGAGUCACUUAUUUCCUAAUAAGUGAUGUGAUUUUUAGAAAGUAAAUAAUAUACAAUCCAUUUUCAUGUGUGAAUAAUAAUGAAUGAAUAUUACAUUUCUAUCUUUAUAUGUGAAAAUAAAAUAAAAAUUAAAUUUAAAAUAAUAAUUAAAUAUUUACUUAAUUUUCAGAGAGAUUUCAUCUUCUCCUGUAUAAAGGAGCUCCCCCUCCCUCGUUCCACACCGAGCACAAUAAAAGUAUUGAAGAAAAGAUUUUUCAAGAAGAUGAUUUUGAGGUGAGGUAAGAUCCUCUAUUCUUUUCUAAUCAAAUUUUAUUCAUAUUUUAAAAUCUUUAAUAUUAAAAUAUUUUCUAUUCUAUUCUAAUCAGUUUUGAUUCAUAUUUUGAAAUCCUUGAUAUUAAAAUUGUUGUGAUCGUAUGAUACAUAAUAAUAUUUUAAUUUUAAAAUUUCAUAAUUAAUAAAUAAAUAAUAAUUGAUUUAUAAUGUUACAUUGAUUAUUUGAUUUAUAAUGGUCUUUUAAGCUUAAGUGACUUUUAAGAUUGAUUUAAUUAUUAAAACUUUUAUUUUAUUAUAUUAAUAUAAUAGUUUUAAUUUAUUUAGUUAUACAUAUUUGUAUUUCAAAAAUUAGCUAUGAAUUUGGAUGACUUAAUUAGUUUUAAAUUUAAGAUUAUAAAUUUAAAAUUUUUAAUUUAUAAAUUUAAAUUAUUUUUUUCAUAAUUUAAAAUAUUAAAAUCUAAUUUGAUGAGAGAAGUCUAACUUGAAGUCUGACUUGAGCUAGGUUGAUCUGUUAAAUCGAGUCAAUCCAACUCUUAUAUAUGAUUUAUUAUAAUUUAUAUAUUUUUAGAUUUAUAAAAUAUAUAAAUUCAUAUUUUGCUCAUACUUAACUCAUGAAAAUCAUAUUAUUUUAAACAUACUUUCUAAAAUAUAUUAUACAUAUAAUAAGAUAUAUGACUAUUAUUAUAUAGUAAAUUAAAUUUAUGCAUACUAGAUUAAAUUUAAAAAUAAAAAUAUUAAUAAAAAAUUACGUUCCUUAAUGAUUGAGUGGGCCAAAGAGGGAUAGACCUACGAGCAAAAGGUUAUGAUAUGUUUUGAUUAAGAACCCUGCCUCUUCAAUUAUUAAUUUAUAGUAAUUUAUAACAAUAAUUCAUAAAAAAAUAAUAAUUUUUUUAAUAAAAUAAGCUAUACCUAUCAAUAUCUCAAGUUAUUCCUUGUCCGUAGCUAAAAUUAAACUAUAUUUAGUGUCCAAAGAUUAAAGAUCCAUGACAAAGUAUGAUGUCAGUAAUUAUGUAUUAAUUGCGUGAUACAAAAAGGUGAAACAUCGUUUGUCCGUUCUCAUAUUUGCUUCCAUGUCCAAUGCUUUAAUUACAUUAUAUUAUAUGCGACAUUGACACGUUCUCAAGUUCACAGAAACACACAACACUAACAAUAUGAUCCAUCGACCAUUUUGUACCCACUUGUUUCAGUUUUCUUUGUGUGUUUCCGGGAAAAAAAAAAAGACUUUAUGUAGUACGAAGUUUGAUAAUUUUUUAGAAUUAUAGUAGAUUAUAAUGAAAAAAAUGACAGAUAACCUAUCCUUAAUGUCACUCUACAGGAUAUGAGUUUUUUACCACAUAAUACUCGUUUAAUUCUUUCGAAGUAAUUAGAUCUUUUUCUUCUUUCAAGAAUUUUAUAUGAUGCAUAAUACUGCUACUAAUUCUAAAUAGGAGAAGAAUUGAUUUAUACAGUCAUAUAUACCUAAAAAAAUAAAACAUGUCACCGUACUGUGCUGCCAAAUAUCGACGUUUGUAAAAGCAUUUCUUUUUCAAUAAUAAGAAGCUCUAAUUUAUUUUCAGAUAAAGAUGAAGAACAAAGUGACACGUAGAAUAGCACUUCUUUCAGCCUUUUGUUUUGUCCUUAUUCCGACCGCUGGCUUCAUGGAGUGACGCCAUAGCCGGAGUUCUUUUUGUCUUGUAUUAAGCGUCGGUGUAGUAGAUGACGUAGACGUCGAAGGCGGCGACGAGGCCCUCGACCGAGGACGUCACCAGCUCGCUCGCCAGCUUCCCCCAUGCGUACUGGAACACCCCCGUCCCACCCACGAUGGCCCGCUCCGCCUUCCCGGACGCGUCCAGUCUCCCGAUCGCCGUGAGCGUGCUGUCGGCGAACUCCCCCGNNNNNNNNNNNNNNNNNNNNNNNNNNNNNNNNNNNNNNNNNNNNNNNNNNNNNNNNNNNNNNNNNNNNNNNNNNNNNNNNNNNNNNNNNNNNNNNNNNNNNNNNNNNNNNNNNNNNNNNNNNNNNNNNNNNNNNNNNNNNNNNNNNNNNNNNNNNNNNNNNNNNNNNNNNNNNNNNNNNNNNNNNNNNNNNNNNNNNNNNNNNNNNNNNNNNNNNNNNNNNNNNNNNNNNNNNNNNNNNNNNNNNNNNNNNNNNNNNNNNNNNNNNNNNNNNNNNNNNNNNNNNNNNNNNNNNNNNNNNNNNNNNNNNNNNNNNNNNNNNNNNNNNNNNNNNNNNNNNNNNNNNNNNNNNNNNNNNNNNNNNNNNNNNNNNNNNNNNNNNNNNNNNNNNNNNNNNNNNNNNNNNNNNNNNNNNNNNNNNNNNNNNNNNNNNNNNNNNNNNNNNNNNNNNNNNNNNNNNNNNNNNNNNNNNNNNNNNNNNNNNNNNNNNNNNNNNNNNNNNNNNNNNNNNNNNNNNNNNNNNNNNNNNNNNNNNNNNNNNNNNNNNNNNNNNNNNNNNNNNNNNNNNNNNNNNNNNNNNNNNNNNNNNNNNNNNNNNNNNNNNNNNNNNNNNNNNNNNNNNNNNNNNNNNNNNNNNNNNNNNNNNNNNNNNNNNNNNNNNNNNNNNNNNNNNNNNNNNNNNNNNNNNNNNNNNNNNNNNNNNNNNNNNNNNNNNNNNNNNNNNNNNNNNNNNNNNNNNNNNNNNNNNNNNNNNNNNNNNNNNNNNNNNNNNNNNNNNNNNNNNNNNNNNNNNNNNNNNNNNNNNNNNNNNNNNNNNNNNNNNNNNNNNNNNNNNNNNNNNNNNNNNNNNNNNNNNNNNNNNNNNNNNNNNNNNNNNNNNNNNNNNNNNNNNNNNNNNNNNNNNNNNNNNNNNNNNNNNNNNNNNNNNNNNNNNNNNNNNNNNNNNNNNNNNNNNNNNNNNNNNNNNNNNNNNNNNNNNNNNNNNNNNNNNNNNNNNNNNNNNNNNNNNNNNNNNNNNNNNNNNNNNNNNNNNNNNNNNNNNNNNNNNNNNNNNNNNNNNNNNNNNNNNNNNNNNNNNNNNNNNNNNNNNNNNNNNNNNNNNNNNNNNNNNNNNNNNNNNNNNNNNNNNNNNNNNNNNNNNNNNNNNNNNNNNNNNNNNNNNNNNNNNNNNNNNNNNNNNNNNNNNNNNNNNNNNNNNNNNNNNNNNNNNNNNNNNNNNNNNNNNNNNNNNNNNNNNNNNNNNNNNNNNNNNNNNNNNNNNNNNNNNNNNNNNNNNNNNNNNNNNNNNNNNNNNNNNNNNNNNNNNNNNNNNNNNNNNNNNNNNNNNNNNNNNNNNNNNNNNNNNNNNNNNNNNNNNNNNNNNNNNNNNNNNNNNNNNNNNNNNNNNNNNNNNNNNNNNNNNNNNNNNNNNNNNNNNNNNNNNNNNNNNNNNNNNNNNNNNNNNNNNNNNNNNNNNNNNNNNNNNNNNNNNNNNNNNNNNNNNNNNNNNNNNNNNNNNNNNNNNNNNNNNNNNNNNNNNNNNNNNNNNNNNNNNNNNNNNNNNNNNNNNNNNNNNNNNNNNNNNNNNNNNNNNNNNNNNNNNNNNNNNNNNNNNNNNNNNNNNNNNNNNNNNNNNNNNNNNNNNNNNNNNNNNNNNNNNNNNNNNNNNNNNNNNNNNNNNNNNNNNNNNNNNNNNNNNNNNNNNNNNNNNNNNNNNNNNNNNNNNNNNNNNNNNNNNNNNNNNNNNNNNNNNNNNNNNNNNNNNNNNNNNNNNNNNNNNNNNNNNNNNNNNNNNNNNNNNNNNNNNNNNNNNNNNNNNNNNNNNNNNNNNNNNNNNNNNNNNNNNNNNNNNNNNNNNNNNNNNNNNNNNNNNNNNNNNNNNNNNNNNNNNNNNNNNNNNNNNNNNNNNNNNNNNNNNNNNUCGGACGUCACCAGUUUGCUCACCACGUUCCCCCACGCGAACUGGAACACCCCCGUCCCUCCCACGAUGGCCCGGUCCGCCUUCCCGGAGGUGUCCAGCCUCCCUAUCACCGUGAGCGUGCUGUCGCGGAAGUCCCCGGCCGUGAACACCAGCACCAGCGGUAUCAGCGACGACUCGUCCCGCUGCGACGCGUGGAAGCUCACGCCCUGCGCCCUCCCGACUUCGGUCGAACGCUUAGAGGGGCCGGUCCUCAGCACGGCGUCGAAGAUGUCGACGUCCCCGAAGGUGUUGGGGAGUCUCAUGUUCACCACGGUCACGGUGGUGUUGUCGGGGCCGAGAAAGGUCUCGUGGAAGUAGACGCGGAAGUGGAUUCUACUCUGCCGGCCGAGUUCGAACUCGGAGGUCACCGGGAAGGCUGUGGCAGCAGCCAGGAGGAGGAAGAAGACAAGGAGGAAGUAGAGAUGAGAGGAGCUGUGUGGGGAUGAAGCCAUGGCUGGGAUGACCGAAGGAUCGAAGUGAGGUGGGUACAACGCUGGAUCAGGAACAUGUAUUUAUAGAGUAAUGUCUGUGUCAUGCGUCGUCAACAAAUGCCAGCUUCCAACCAAAUCUCAUUAUCAUGUCUACAUAAAAUACUCAAACGAAUAUUACUCUUACAGGUGAAGGUCUCCGCGCAGGGAAGAAGAUACCAUCUAGUAACACGAUGUACACACCAUAUAGUCUUCUCCAUGAAUAUAUAUAUAUAUAUAUAUAUAUAUAUAUAUAUAUAUAUAUAUAUAUGAUGUCGAGCAAUGGAGAUGGGUAACUGAGAGAUGGAUGGAUGAUAGUUGCAAUCAAUGGGCGAUGAGGAUAGUGUUGCGUCUUCUGCAAGUGCCAACUGGCCACCUGUAGCUCGUCAAUUUGCUUGUUAAUUAACGAACCACAUUGGCAACGCUAUCUUUCUUUAUGUGUUUCAACACAGAUGUACGCGGUUGGCUGAUGGCUGUCGCUCCCGUUUGUUCGCAUCUUCGGUUGUUGACAUGUGGAAAUGAAGUGUUGGUUCCCAUGCGUGAUCGCUACCUCACCACUCGACUUAAAGUCGCGACAUAAUUAAUGACCGACGGUGCGAUGCAAAACCUUCACUCGCCAAUCAAGUCAUUCGUGACUCAUGUGGGGCCAUUAACCAUCUUUUUGUAAUCAAAGAAAAGCUCACAUGAUGUGUUCUCAUAUCAGCAUACCAAAUGAAUAUUAUGUGAAUUUUAAUAUACAUACAUAUUCUCUCCUGUCAAAACAUAUCCUAAACUCAUGUUUAUUUUCACCAUUAUAUAUAUGAUCACGAGACCAAAAAACAAAAAGGGAUGGGAUGACAUAAUGCAUGUCAAUGUUUCCAUGUGAAUCACGCCUGCAUAAUCCUUCACCUACCGAAGGUGUGGUUGGUUGUCAAAGUUCAUCAUUCUCAUGUAAGGUAUAUUUUUUUUAGCAAAUCGUCAAAUGCCAGCGCAUGCCGUGUUAUCUUUCAAAGUGCAUAGUUGACCCAAUCCGUGUGUAAUGUCUCCACCUUGGUUGUUUCCUCACGCAAUGCAUUUCUUUAUCAGUAUACGUAUACUUCACCUGUUCAUAACAUUCAUAUUAAAGCUUAUGUAGGUGCAGCGAAAUUAGUUAAGAUUAAUAUUUUUUGAAUGACGUAAAUAAUUUGUGAAAAAUAAAAGUAUUAUUUUGGAUAAAAUAAAUAGUAAAAAAGAGGAUCAAAUUGAUUAUGGAAACGUCGCAUUUUCACGAGUCUUAAAGCAGCAGAUUGCUUCAGUAAGUAAUAUAUAAUUUUGGAUAAAAGUAAAUACUAAAAAAGAAGAUGAUCAAAUGAAUUAUGGACACAUGUUAUAUCUACCAAUCUUAAGGUUGCAGAUUGCAACAGUAACUAACGACCACGAUGAGAAGGAAGGGGGAAAUGAUGAUGCGAAGAAUCUGCAGAGACGGCUCUCCUCUCUGUCCUCUUUGGUAGCAACGAGCGCGAUAUGGUGAUCAAGGUCCGAUCUCUUACUAUUCCUUCUCGUCCAAUUUUCCCAAUCUUGGUUAGAGUUUUAAUUUGAUGGAGUGCUUGACGCCGUCUUGUAGUUUUGAUGUCAAAUUCUUGGUUCGAUCAAAAUCUUUGAUGGUCCUCGUCGAUGAUCAUGCGAUCUAGUUGCUCUAUGAUCAACGAAAAGGAAACUUAAUAUUAUAGUAUUUGAUUGGGAUAAUCCUAACACUUGUCAGCUCUUUUAUCAUAUAGGCCAAAGAAGCAACACCUAAGCAUCAGCGUGGGAGUCACUGCUCCCCGCAAUCGCCGGCACCUAAACUCAUCUAGUUUGAGUUGCAUCACUGGAUAAAUCUGAGGACUCUAUAUAUUAAAAAAAAUCCACCUUUUAUAUUGUUACUGUCAUAUGAUAUUGGGGUAGAAACUAAUAAAUGACACGGUUACUAUAUAUAUAUAUAUAUAUAAUCUCGUUGAUGUGGACAUAAUAUUGCAUGUGACAUCAACUAAAUGAACACCUAAAAUCUAAAAUGCGUUUGUACCUAUUAAGUUUUGUUUUCCAACAUAUAACUUAAUUUAAGAGGGCAACGCACCAACUAUGAUUGAAGUAUUAUCCAACAACAUUCACUAAAUCACUUGAGGUUUUAAGAGUCAAAUUUAGAUAAGGACUACGACAAAAUGAAACUCAAUCAUGAAACUUAAAACCUCUAAAUAGGAAGAAAUGCAACAUCAUUUGGUUCAGUAAGUACACAACAUUCCCGUAUUAAUCUCUAUAUUGCAGCCUAGCCUACUAAUUUAAAGGCACUGUAACGUUACGAUGUAAUCAACCUAAAAAUAGGCCCCUUCCUCAGCACCACUAAUUGCAUGUAGCCUAGCCAUCAUCCAAAACAUCUUCUUAUAAGGUUCUGUAAGGAGACCCAUAUAGAAGUGUUUAUGUGCCCGCAUAUUAUCAACAUGGGCCGUGCCACGAUGCAGAAAGCCUUACCCAUGCAACAUUAUUAAAUCAUUCCUAUGCAAAGGAAUUCAUGAAUCACAAUAAAUAGCUACUUACCUCCUUGAUAACAACUAACAAUGCAGACGAGACCUAAAAAGGUCUAAAUUAUAUGACUCAUAGGUUUAAUCGAUAGCAACUUAGUUUCCUAAGCACCAGCAUGCGAGUCAUUUGUUUCCUAACAAGUGAUCUGAUUGUUAGGACAUUCCUUUUUCAUGUAUGAAUAAUAAUAAAUAAAUAUUAUAUUUCUAUCUUUAUAUGUAAAUAAUAAUAAUUAAAUAUUUAUUUACCUUUCAGAAUAUCUUAUCUUUCUCCUAUGUAAGCAUAAUGUGAGUAUUAAAUAAUAUAUUUUUCGAAAAGAUGAUAUCGAGGAAUGGAUAGUCGAGGAGAGACAAGAUCCUCUAUUCAGUUCUAAUCAAUUUUCAUUUAUAUUUUGAAAUCCUUGAUAUUAAAAUUGUUAUGAUCAUAUGAUGCAUAAUAAUAUUUUAAUUUUAAAAUUUUAUGAUUAGUAAAUAAUGAUAAUUGAUUUGUGACGUUAGAAUGAUUAUUUAAUUUAUAAUGAUCUUUUAAGCCUAAGUGACUUUCAAGAUUGAUUUAAUUAUUAAAACUUUUAUUUUUAAAUUAACAUAAUAAUUUUAAUUUAUUUAAUUAUAUAUUUGUAUUUCAAUAAUUAGAUAUGAAUUUGUAUGGCUUAAUUAGUUUUAAAUUUAAGAUUAUGAAUUUAAAUUAUUCUAAUUUAUAAAUUUAAAUUAUUUUUAAUAAUUUAAAAUAAUAAAAAUUAAUUUGAUAAGAGGAGUCUAACUUGAAGUUUGACUUGAGUCAAGUUGAUACGCUAAAUCAGGUCAAUCCAACCCUUGUAUUAAUUUUAUCAUAAUUCAUGUAUUUUUAGAUUUAUAAAAUAUAUAAAUUUAUAUUUAGCUCAUUAUAAUCGUAUUAUUCGAAAUAUAUUUUUUAAACUAUAUUAUACAUAUAGUAAGAUAUAUGAAUAUUAUUUUACAGUGAAUUAAAUUUAUAUUUAUCAGAUUAAAAUUAAAAAUAAAGGUGUUAAUAAAAAAAUAUGUUCCUAAAUGAUUGAGUGUUCCAAAGAGCAAUAGCCCUAUUAAAUUGAGAUUAUAGGGUCAUUAGAUGCCUUAGUCAACACUACCUCUUGAUUUAUUGAUUUAAGUAAUUUAUAAUAAUAAUUUAUAAAAAAAAUUUGAUAAAUUUUUUAUAAAAUAAACUAUACUUAAACUAACAAUAUGUCAAGUUAUUCCUUGUUCGUAGUAGCUAAAAUUCAACUAUAUUUAGUGUCGAAAGAUUAGAGAUCCAUGACAAGGUAUGAUGUCAUAAUUAUGUAUUAAUUGCGUGAUACAAAAGGGUGAAACAUCGUUUGUUCGUUCUCAUAUUCGCUUCCAUGUCCAAUGCUUUAAUUAUAUUAUAUUAUAUGGGACAUUGACAUGUUCUCAAGUUCACAUAAACGCACCACGGUGACAGUGGUGUUGUCGGGGCUGAGAUAGGUCUCGUGGAAGUAGACGCGGAAGCGGAUUCUCUUCUGGAUGCCGAGUUCGAACUCGGAGGUGACGGGGAAGGCCAUGGCAGCAGCGAAGAGGAGGAAGAAGACGAGGAGGUGGUGGAAAGGAGAGGAGCCGUGUGGGGACGAAGCCAUGACUAGGGUGGUAGAUGAACAAGGAACGUGAAAGUGAGAUGAUCACAACGCUGAAG
rnacentral:lncRNA from 1 species